CAGGAUGAAGUGGUUGCUGCUAGAGACCAUUGCUAUGUUCUAGGAGCUAUACAACAAGACGCAGUGAAGUACGUUACAGUUAGUGAUGGGUCUACGAGGGAUAGAGUGGUUCAGUGGUGCACGCUAAAUAUUUUUGGUAGUUGCUCGUGCAAACUAUUCGAAAAGAUUGGAAUUCCAUGUUGUCAUAUUAUUACGGCACUGCGAGGUGAAAAGAUAUAUGAACUACCUUCAUCUUAUAUUUUAAAGAGAUGGGAAACACGAUGCAAGAGGUAAAAGAGAUAUAAAACCUUCAUAUUAAUGUUGACUAUCUUUUUAUACAUCCUUACUUGACUAACUUUUUUAAAAAAUAUUACUUUAGAGAGAUUGUGCAUGAUGAUGAAGGCAACUUAUUGGAAGAGAAGCCCGAAGAUGCUGAUGAAGUGGAAAAAAGAAAAAACUUGUGGUUAUUCGAAACAAGAUAGAAGAUUCGAUUCAAAGAGCAAAGAGUUCAAAAGAAGCUAUGGAUUUCUUGGUUUCAAGUGUGCUGAACAUAAAUGAUUCUUUAGGACAAAUUGUACCUAGCAUGGUGCAACCUUCGCAACAAGAAUACGAGAAUUUUAUUGGUUGCGAAAUUCCAGAAGAAAUACAAAUACAUCCUCCAAAUGAUGUUCGAUCAAAGGGAAGGAGUAAAAGAACUAACAGGGCUAAAGAACUACCAAAGCAUCGCAAAGGAAAGAAUGCAAAGAAAGACAAGGACGCACCUAUAUAGAUUAUUUUGCUGCUGUUUCUAUGUGCAAACCAGCAUAAUAAUAUCUAACUUGUACUGAUAUUUAUUGUAUCAAUUACAGUGCUAUUUCUAUGUGCAAACGAGCAUAAUGAUAUCUAGCUUCUACUGAUAUUUAUUUUAUCAAUUACAGAGACUCAUAUGAGCUCAUUUGGUCUGCGCAGUUGUGUACUACUCAUACUGACCGAGUACAUGUUGCCGGAGCAAGAUCAAAAUCUUUGAGGCCAAAACAAGAUCAUUCUAAGCCUUUAUGCGGUUACUAAAUCACUCACACAUCAACACAAUCAAAGUGUUGUUUACAAUUCCACAAAUUUUACAUGGUAUAGUUUACAUUCUGAAUCUGAAACACCGAGGUUUAGUCUCUUCCGUUCUGUAAUACAGUUUCUUGAUGGUUGCACUGUCAUCGUAGAAGCGCUCAAGGUGGACAGAUUGCAAAAGCUUCAUCGUAAUGUCUAUUGGCUGGGUUCUGCGGAUUGACUCCUCGAUAGCUGCUGGCUGGGUUCGCCGCUGCAUCCAGGAGGACCGCUGGCACGCCAAAUGAGGAGCGUCGUCGCGUCUGAGGACGGCCGCCCACACUAUCGCAUGCGGGUCGCCGUCGGCUGGCCGAAGCACCGAUCCGAACCCUACUUAUUCGUCAUGGGAGCCAGCAGCUUCAGACUAGGUUGGAAGUGGUGCCGGUGUGGGCGGAGAUCGGCGGUGUGGGCGGCGGCCGAAGUGGUGGGCGGCCCUCGCCGUGGUGGGCGGCCACGGGCGGCGAGCGCGUUGUACGUGCCGCCCCUCUACUCUCCACCGUGCCGAUCGUGUUUCUUCUAUUUGGGGAAGAAGGGGGUGGCGGGGGGGGUUUCCAUAAAAUAUCCAGGAAGGACUUGGGGGAGGAGUGGGGGUUGGUGGGGGGCCUGUUUGCAAAAGGGGACGCUGAACGUUGGAUCGCAGAUCGGUAGCCCAUGUUCUGUUUGCCCAUGAGAGCACGGAGCUAGCGCAUCAGAUACGACGCCAGCUGGGAAUGGGAUGCGCGGCUGCGAUGCGAUCUCCCUGCCUGGCUGCUCUUCUCCAGGGAGCCGAGACACGUGCCCGUCUGCCACAGCACCCGCUCCCCACGCGCAACGCGUGACGCCGACACUGACACAUCCGUGAGUGGUUCCGUGCCGCCGGCGGAGCACGUGUGCGCGCGCAGCGGCCGACAGGCCACGCCGCCAGCCUGCGGCGCCUCUGGAACUCUGACGUUCUGAGUCGCAGCGCACGGCCUUGAACCUGAAUGGGCAAAAACCAGCGGCAGAUUCACGUUGGCGGCCGGCCGGCCUCGGCUUGGCGGGCGCAGUGAGAGCAAGUAUUAUGGCUGGCCGCGAGCCGGCUGAAUCACCGCUGGCGGAGAGAAAAUGUGGAGCAGGCGUCUCGCGAAACGGCGGCUUGAAGCGGGCGGAUUCGCGCGGGCUGCGCUUCCAUUCGCUGCUCUGCUGCUACGUUCCCUCCACAUUAUCUGCAUGUGCUACUGCAGAGCUAGAGCUAUCGAUGCUGCUGCUGCGUUAAUUGGAAGUCACGCUGGAGUUUAUUUGGCCAGCGAGCGGAGUCCACGUCAGCGUGAGCGGUCAUCACUGCCAGGCCAGGACGCCGAUCAGAAAGCUCAGGGCUGGUCUGGGACGGAGUUGCAUGAUUGCACGAGUCCAAACCUGUGUACUACGCAGGUUGGAAAAAUUCUGUCUAAAUUUUCCGAAUAAGAAUCCGCGCCCAACUCACGAUCGAACUUUUUUUCCGAGGUCUUUAAGUAGCUGAUGGGCUUCACUAAAUAAAGAAGAACACUCUAUACAUCAGUUUGAGUUGGAGGUCUCCUCCAUAACUGUUUUUUUUUCUUGGUUGGGAGUGCCAACCCCUGCUUCGUUCAGGUGCAAAAGACAGUCUAGCAGUAUGCUUAUGGAUUUUGGGUGUUUUCUUGUUCUUUUCUUGGGGGGGCCGUGAACAUUUUGCAGUUGCAGAGAGUGAUGUCUAAAUACUCUCUCUCCAUUUUAGCCAUCACUCUUCACAACAGUGCUUCAAGAUCCCAGAGUGAUGCAAGUUGAGGCUUCGGUACCAGGUCAAUAAAAAAACGUGAGAGUCUAAAAGCACUUGAUGGCGGUACAAAGAGAGCAAAUGCAACAAUUUAUUCUUAUAUAGGGUCCUAAGCUUGGUUCAGGUGCUUAGAUUUUACUUAUUCACCAUGUCCUAAUUAGCAAUUCUUUUGGGGUAAUAUUUGAAUAUUGUCAAAAUUUUACUCCUCCAACAAGUAUCUAAUUUUGAUUGAAGAUAAAUUGACAGCUCCAAAAUUAAUAAAACACAGGUUAAAUCGGUUAAGCACGUGUACGCUGGAUUUGUAUAUAUAUAUAUAUAUAUUUUUUGCAUUUUUCCCUCGAAAUAAAUAGGGCUCGAUCUUGCUUGCCACAUUCACACAGUUUCAAUUGCUCGCUCGCACGCGCAAACGCCGCCUCUUCCUCCUCCCAUCCUCCCCCCGACAUUCGCCGCACCCGUUUCCCCAGAUCCCAAGGAACGAACCAGCCCACACCUCUCGCCGCGGCAUUUCCUCGAACAUCCCGCGCGCGCGCGGGCGCCCCGCCGCCGCCGCCGCCCAUGGGCUCCCUCCCGGUUAACGCCUCGCCGGAAUUCGCCGCGCAGAGGCGCGCCACGGUGUCGGCGUCGGACCUGGCGCCGCUCUUCUCCACGCAGCGCCGGCACCUGGACCACUUCUUCGACCGCCUCGACAUGUCGCAGGCGGCGGCGUUCGCGCAGGCGCUGCUCGACGCGCCCGGGGCCGUCUUCUUCACGGGCGUCGGCAAGUCCGGCAUCGUGGCGCGGAAGAUCGCGCAGACGCUGGCGUCGCUGGGCUUCGCGCGGGCCGGCUUCCUGGCCCCCGUCGACGCGCUCCACGGCGACAUCGGCGCGCUCUUCCCCGGGGACGUGCUCGUGCUGCUCUCCAAGUCCGGCGCCUCCGACGAGCUGCUCGCGCUCGCGCCCUGCGCGCGCGCCAAGGGCGCCCACCUCAUCUCGCUCACCUCGGCGGCGUCGGGGGCCGACUGCCCGCUCGCCGCCGCCUGCGACCUCAACGUGCACCUGCCGCUGCAGGGGGAGGUAUGCCCCUUCGGCCUCGCGCCCGUCACCUCCACCGCCAUCCAGAUGGUGUUCGGGGACACCGUCGUCGCUGCCAUAAUGGAGGCGCGCCGACUCUCCAGGGACCAGUACGCCUCCAACCACCCCGCCGGCAAGAUUGGCAAGACCCUCAUCUUUAAGGUAACUACCUCUGACACAAUCACACAAACUAAAACAGGCUACCCACGCAUUACUUUGUUCAGAACGCACUUGCAAUGAUCUUGUGCUGCCACCCCCGUGGGAAACAUCAGAUCUCAAAUGCUUGUUACUACUAAGAUUCCCAAAUUGUUCCUUGGGAAAAAAAAUGGAGAUUCAUUACUAUUGCGUGUCGGUGGGAUUGGUUCUGUAGAUUUCCCUGUGAAAUGCUCUUUAUUAUUGGAUAGUUUUGUCACUAUCCACCGACAUUUUGUUUCUGUCUAUCGUUACCUGUCACCAUCUUUUCAUAUGGGACGAUAUUAUGCACAUGCCAUUUAAAACCUGUCUUUUUCAUUGUCGCAAGAAAAACAACAAGAAAAGGACUCAUCAUUUGCGUGCGUUGCCCAUUGUUUAAUAGUGACAGGUUUUAACAAAUUUCGUAGCGCUGAGUUAUAAGUAAGGCAGGUCUUUUAGACUAUGAAUGAGGUGUGUCUUUUAAACUAUAUGUUCUUAUGCAAACCGCAAACGUUCUGUAGGUUAAGGCGGGUCUGUGGGAUUGGUUCUGUAGAUUGCCCUGUUAUUAUGAAACCGACAUUUUUUUUCUGUCUAUCGUUGUCUGUCACCAUCUUCAUAUGGAACGAUCUUAUGCACAUACCAUUUAAAUCCUGUCUUUUUCAUUGUCGCAAGAAAAACAACAAAAAAAUGUCUCAUCAUUUGCGUGCAUUAUUGAUUGUUUAAUAGUGACAGUUUUUAACAAAUUUUGUAGCUCUGAGUUAUGAAUAAGGCGGGGUGUGUUCGUGACAUGACAUAUUUGAAUGAAAGUCUUGUACUCUUGUUAAUGUGGAAAGUAGUUACUGAAUGCGAAAACAAGGGUAUAUUUUGUUUCUUCAAAAUUACUACUAUCUGAUUUCUGUGGGUCUUGUUAUUGAUCCAGCAUGCUAUCAUUUUCUUUUCCUUUGGGUGAGGCAUAUCUUUUAUACUAUAUGUUCUUAUGCAAACACCCUGCAGGUUAAGGAUGUUAUGAAGAAACAGAAUGAACUUCCUCUGUGCAAGGAGGGAGAUAUGAUAAUGGACCAACUCACAGAGCUCACCAGUAAAGGUUGUGGGAGUCUGCUUGUGGUUGAUGAAGAGCAUCAUUUGAUUGGCACCUUCACUGAUGGCGAUCUCCGCCGUACAUUGAAGGCAAGCGGGCCAGCUAUUUUCAGUCUCACAGUUGGAGAGAUGUGCAACAGGUUUGCCAAUAUUACCUUGCUAUUGUUACUGGUCCUUUGUUAAUUAUUUCUUGUAAGUAUGAGGUGGUAGUUAUAUGACACUGAAAUCGUUCUAGUACAUCUGGGAUUUAGAGCCUGGCACCGCCCCUUUGGUUUGCUGUAAACUGAAUCGCUUGUUUUCCUGCCAGCUUAUCUUUUUUGGCCUAUUGUUUAGUCCAAUUUCUGAAAUUAUGUUGUUUUGUUAAACCAUUUAAUUUACAUGUAUUAACUUUACAGGUGCAAUACUAUGGAAAUAUAAUACUGGGCCAUAACAUCGAUGGCUGGCAUAAUUUAAAUGGCAGGAUAAAAUGUUGAAAAAAAAUGUAUUGCGAACAAUUAUGAAAUAGCUGAGUUCCCUAUAAAUUCAAUACAUUAUUAUAGUAAAUUAGACUCAGAACAUUAUGCUAAUGAACACUAUCAAAGAAGGAAAAUAAAUGUGCUGGUUACAAUAUCCACUUACUUAGUGUAGAUAAUGCUGACUUCCUUGUAUUUGUGAUGUCCUGUGUUCUGUUGCAUUUUAUCUUACAGGAAUCCAAGGACAAUCACCGCGGAUGCAAUGGCAGUCGAAGCCAUGGAGAAGAUGGAAUCACCUCCUUCACCUGUGCAGUUCUUGCCUGUUGUCGACGACAACAAUGUCGUGUGUGGGAUCAUUACACUGCACGGAUUGGUCUCUGCCGGAUUGUAGACUUCUGUGGUCAUCACCUUCUGCUGGAUUACAUGUUUUUUGUACCAGCUUACCGGGUUCUUAAUGAUUCAGUUUGUCUGCGUCUAUUUGGCUCUAGGCUGCCAAUUGCAUGUAUUCUUGCCGUUCAGUUUAAACCUGAACGCGUUUUGUUGCUACGGUAUCAUGUGUAGCUGUCAAUGUACCCUUAUGUAUAGUGUUUGGUAAGAGGAAUACGCUCCUCAAGGCGUUUUAUCGCAACAGUGUCACGUGUAGCCUAGACUGUCAGUUUAACCUUAUGUGUAGUUGGCUGCUUGUGUAUGUGUCGUACCCUGUUCUGUAAAUGAUUGUGAAUGUUGAGACAUUUCAAUGCUGUUGAGCAAGCAGAAGCUGUAGCCCCACAAACCUUAUUGAUCCUUUCAAUUCUUGUGUAGGGUUGACAGUGUUGGUGUUUAUCUAAAUUCUUUAUCUGUGGCAGACUGGUCUCACGCAUUUUGCCUGACUGCUCCGUGUCCAAAUGCAAGUAGUAUCAUCUGUUCUAGUCUUCUAAAUUACAGAUUGCAUCGUGCCGAUUGAUGAACACCAAGCACAGACAUCAUUUACAGGAAACCGUAGUGCUACCAGCUCAGUCGACUAGAAACAUGCACUUAGUAGCUGUUCUAGUCUUCUAAAUUACAGAUUGCAUCGUGCCGAUUGAUGAACACCAAGCACAGACAUCAUUUACAGGAAACCGUAGUGCUACCAGCUCAGUCGACUAGAAACAUGCACUUAGUAGGCAUGGUGAAGUUAUACAUGCACUGAACAAACACAAUGGUCCAUGCUCCAUCGGGCCUUCAAUCUCAAGUUCCAGAAAUCUAACGCAGACUGUUCUGAGUCGAUCAGGAGGGAGGUACAAUCAACGCACACCAAUGUUCCAAACUUUGCAGCAGCAACUUCGUAAUGAUGCCCAAAAUACUACAUCAUCUAGCUGCUACAAGGAAGCUUCACCUUUCCCAUUCAGAAUCCGGGUGUGGACGCUCCACCCGGGGCUUGCUGCUAGUUAGGGGAGCUGGAUGGUGCGUCAAGACCUGAUCCCAGCCCAUGAUGUGUGGCAACGCAAACUGCACGAAUACAAAGAAAGAGCAGUCAAAAGCAUGAAUAAACCAUAUGCAAUAUAUACAAUGAAUGAAGAGGAGAAUCAAUAAAUAACAGUGGCAUGUGUACUAGUUUUAAGAGCGUUCUGACUUGUGUGCACCAAAGUGAAGUUCGAGAUCUUAGAAAAUGUAUAUGCCUGAACACACUACCUAGUCAUGGGCUUCAUGCUUUCAUGGCACUACUGGUUGAGUAGGCAGGCAGAUGAUAAUAGACAUAAGCUAUCAUUUACAGGUGCAGAUAAGAAAAUGGAUCCAUGUAAACCGGCAUGCCCUUUCUUCAAUGAAGAGCUUUGACGGAAACAUGACACCAAAAUCUAUUGAUUCUUAGACGGAAACAUGACACCAAAAUCUAUUGAUUCUUAGUCAUUUAUUGGCAUGGCCUAGCUUAAUUGGACAGUGGCAUAAACAAACUUUUUAAUGGUUCAUAUAACUUUGAUAGAUUGCAAAUGCAAAUAUUGCAACUUACACUCAGUGCUGUGCGCAUCACUGCAAACUCAGCUUUUGUGAUAGGGACUGAAAGGCGAUCAGUAGUCUUCUGCAAGUUGUUCAGAACGGCUGCAAAAAAAUUGUCACACAUUUCCAAUUAGAACCGAUAAGUAGAGAAAGAAAGUUCUAACCAGAUACGCAAGGGUACAGAGCAAAUAAAAGAACAAUGAUGUCAUAACGUAAUGGUAAGUGGUAACUAGCCAUAGCAGGAAAUUCUGUCAAAAUGCUAGCUAUAGCAGGAAGCAUUUCCUUUUUCAUUUUAGGAAGCAGCUUCAACAGUGGCAAGCAAAACCCACAAAUCCCAACUUAAUAUUUGAUAAAUGGGUAGUGCCUCAAUAGUUUUCCUAAGCUUCUCAAACAUAAUUCCUUUUGGUUAAAGCUUUUAGGCUAUGCUCAAUAUAUAUGGCGAUAUCAGGUAUCUAACAUCACAGAAAUGGGCAGUUGAAAAAUGCAAUGUAAGAGUCACUUACUUAUAUUAACAAAGUAACCGCUAUCACUGCCAAGGGGAGUAAUCGACAGAGAUUUUUUCACCUGUCCUUCAUGACUUGAACACAAAAGGGUUGGUGUUAGAAGGCUAAUAUAAAAACACAGGUUACCUGUCUGAUCACGCAAUACUAUCACAAACCUUGAUUUCAUGGACGGAUCAUGGAAAAACUCACAGGAGUCAGCAGGCCCAAGACUUAUCAAGCUUCCAACUUCAGUAGGUGACAGAGCAAAAAGCUACAUAAUAGACGUUCCACGAUCAUAAAAUUAAGGCACAUGUGAUUGGAAUAAAGAGUAAUAAGUCUUCAUUAGAGUAGUUUUCUUCAACAGGAAAUUUAAUUUCACAAAACUAAUAAAGAAAAAUAAUCUUACCUGUUUCUUUGUAUAGUCAUACUUCCUUUGUCCAACAGCAGGAAAGAAUGUCAACAUUACUGAUCCAUUUCUGUUCAUCCGAGAUCCUCCAGACUAAUGAAACAAAGAAAUUAUGUUUUGAAGGAAGAACAAUGUAUGCCCAAAAAAACAAACAAGUAAAAGGAAACAUACUUCCAUUUUGCUGAAACUUGGCAGUAUAGGAUGAAUAGAAAGUGCAGCCUUUCCCUUGAAUACAGUAUAGCUUGCAAAUUUUUUACCAGACAGGUUCUCUGCACAAAGGGAUUAAGCAGGCAUCUUAUCAUGCAAGCAAUAUCGAUACUAGCACUCAGCAUGCAGAAGGCUGAUUUAUAACUAGUGACAAAGGUUUCACCAUCAAGAUUUCCUGCUGAAGUUGAGACAGCUUGUUGGAAUGUCAACGAACCACUCCAAAGAGGUUCUUUUAGAUCAAAACCUCUCCUGCGAAAGGAAAACAGGUUUUAAUAACUUACAAUAGUAACUUAGCUUCGCAUCUACCAAUAUAUUGAAGACAACAGUAGGCUCAAAUGUUGAAUUAAGUCAAGCAGGGAAAAGGGUUGCAGAAACAUACAGCAGCAAAGGAAUGGCUUGAAUAUGGCAUUAGGAUUCAGUGAUUUUGUUUUAAUUAAGAACUUUGCAUAAUGUUGACCACCGACCACAUCCAUUGAUACUUGAUAAAUUAAAAUGGGAACUACACGAACAUAUGAAAAGCAGAAGAAUAAUAGAAAUGAUCAUCCACAUACAAACAGCUAAUUUGCAGCAAGACUUUUGUUCUCAUGAUCACGCAACAACAUUAAUUUCGACCCUCAAUAUAUUCUUAAUAGUUUUAAGUUUGUUCAUAAUGAUUUCUCUGACAAGGUCCAUUCUUCAUCCAAUGCAUUAGGCACACAAAACAAAUGACACAUUAGCACUUCAGGCAAACUGAUUUACACAGGAGACAAGAUAUCUCAGCACUCAGGACAAUCACAUUCAGAAAACCAAAUAAUAUUGAUGUCUGUGUUAAGUAACAGUACAAUUAUAAAACGUAACUCCAGUUGCUAGUACUUAAGGUGCAAAUAAGUAAUGAGCCGCUAUACAUCGCUGCGCAAUGUCAUGAAGGAAAGUGCGGCUCAGGCUCAGCAUGGGGAGGAGAAAAUCCCUCUUUCCACAGCGAGAACUCCAUCUACUACAACAAACAUCAUUAGUGGAAGCGAGGACAAAAGGAAACGCACCUGUACAUAAACCCUACCCCUAAACCCCCCUAAAACCCCGGUCACUCUAACUACAACAGCAGGCACAGAACGCGCCCGGCCACACCUGAUCAACGAGCCCGCUGGCGCUGAGAACACCAAGCAUCACGCCCCGCAAUAACGCACCCGGAUACAGGAAUGGCACUGCGGCGGCGGCGGCGAGGGUCCGCUCCGGGAAGCGGGGGAUGGGGGGAGAGAAAGGGUUAGGGUUUCGGGUCGCGGCUCACCUGGAGGCGGGGGGGAGGAAGCGGGAGAGCCGCAGCAUCGUCUCGUCGCCUUGGUGGUCGCGGCGGCGGAGGGGAGCAGAGCGAGCGCCGGAGAAUGGGGGAGUGAGCGAGUUUCGUCUCACUGCGGCGGCAGGCCAAGGCGCGGCGUCUGUCUCGGGGACCGUGUAGCAGUGGCGACGUCUUUACGGGCCGAAACCUCAAGGUGGGCUGCCGUUGCCACUCUAAAGCCCAAAAACUAGCCUCUUAGUCUAAUGCUGGGAAAAAUUCUUUUUACCUUCUGAACUUUAGGAUUAAUCCGCAUUUUCUCCCUUAACAAUAAAACUAUUUACCUGAACUUCUUAAACUCACCAUGCCGGACACAUAUCUGUCUGGAUUCUCUUAGCGGUUUCUCUCAUUUUUUAUAUUUAUUUUAGCUGUAUCUUUCAAAUAUCAUAGUAAAUCAAAAAAAAUUAUAAAAUUGAAAAUACAAUUUUUUGGACUCCACAUUAGCAGAUCUAUGCAGUGAACAUAUUAUAUAAUAUAAUUUAAUAAAAAAAAUUAUUGUACUUUUAGAUAUAUAGUUUUCUAUAAUUAAUUCAUAACUACAGUUUUCGUGAUCCAAUUAUAGUUAAAUUUUUAUAAGGGGCUAAUCAUUAUAUUCUUGAGCUGUACUAAAAUUUUCAUAUUUAUUGAAUCAUGUACGCUUGAGCAACUAAAUUCCAAGCUAUAUCAGAGACUCUUCAGUUUCUCAAGCAUACAUGAUUCAAUGAGUAUGAAAUUUUUACUAUAGCUUAAACAUAUAAUUAUUAGCCCAUCAUAAAAAUUUCACCAUAAUUGGACCAUGGAACUGUAGCUAUGAAUUAAUUAUAGAAAAUUAUAUAUCUAAAAGUACAAUAAAUUUUUUUACUAAAUUAUAUCAUAUCAUAUGUUCACUGCAUGUAUUUACUGAUAUGUUCACUGCAUAUAUCUUCUCAUGUGGAGUCCAAUAAAAUUGAAUUUUCUAUUUUAUGAUUCUUUGUAAUUUGCUAUCAUUUUUUAAAGAUUCAGCCAUAAUAAACAUAAAAUAAAAGGAGAGAAACCAGGCAAAGAGAAACACGGAUUCGUCCCAAAAUUCAUGGAGGUAAAAGAAAACUUUUUUUUCUUAGUUCUGCAUAAUUAGACCCCAUUUGAACAUUUUAAAGAAUCAGCGCAUGUCGCCCGAACAAAGGCCAGUCAUAAUUAGACCCGAUGGGAACAAAGGCAAUAAUCCGUAGUCCAGUUCCUUUUCUUUUGCCCUGGCUCGAUAGAACGCUUGCUUACCCCUGGCAAUCUGAGCAGGACCACUGCUGCACCGCUCUUUCAAAAUCCUCGAGGGGAUCAUCGUGAAAUAAAAUGGAAAAAGAAAAAGGGCAAUUUCUUUUCAUGCCAGGCACCACAAUUUGGUUUAUUCGAGGGGAGAAAAUCGUUGGGCCACAGUACAUGUGAUGUGAGAGCUCGAUUUGUUCGUCAUUGAGACGCUCCAUCAGUCAUGGCCUCUUGCUCCCCUGAUUCUCAAUUGUGCGAGUCCGAUCCCUUGCAUUCCCCUUUCUUCUUCGAGGACAUCCGCAACUCCCAUUUGCUUGGACGAGACUAGGGCACGAUGGAUUUUACAGAUGGUCACACGCAUUAACAUUUGUUUGCGCAUCAUGCAUCACAAAAAUGGAGCAGGAGACUAGUUCACUAGACGGGGAGGAGAGAACGAAGGGGGCAAGUGGCUAGCUUAGUUGGAUUUCUUGGCUGGCGGGCCGCAGAAGGCCUCCCGGUUGGCGGCGCCGCCGCCGCGGACGAGGAAGUGCCCGAGCGACGGCGUGGUGGUCCCCGUCACCCGGUUCUCCUCGCACAGGAACUCCCGCCCGCACGCGCGCUCCACCUCCCGCUCGUAGUCGUGCACCAGCACCUCCGUCUCCGCGCCCUUGGUCCGCGCCAUCACCGCCGCCGAGUAGAUCGCCGACAUCCUCCCCGGCGACCCCUCCGUGAACCUUCACAUCAUAAUCAAUUAGCUUGUCAAUUGGCUUGCUUACCGAUCCAAGAAACUAUGGACGACGCACGCGACACGCGUGGCGCAUCGCUGGCUCGUACCCGCGCGGGCCGUCGACGAGGAUGAUGUCCCAGGCGACGUCGUAGAGCUGGUUGGGGAGGUCGUUGAUGGCGAGGCGGCACUCGGAGAAGAGCAGGUUCUGGACGGGGCGGCACUCGGCGGCGCGCGCGGCGCGGGCGGCGUCGAGGAGGUCGGGGAGCUCGCGCACCGCCGUGGCGUAGGCCACGUCGUAGGCCUCCAGCCCCGGGUGCUUGCCCUCCAGGUGCGCCACGUAGUAGGGGUUCUCGUCCAGGAACACGGUGCGCCCGCCGUGGUUCAGCGCCCGCCACAGCGGCGUCUCCGCGCCCAGCCCGAACACCAGCAUGUUGCACGGCGCGCGCCGCCGCAGCACCGACGCGAUCGCGCGCACGUCCGGCUCCGGCAUGCACCCCGACGAGUUCCCCGCCGCCGCCGCGUACUGCACCAGCGCGUCGAACACGUACAGCGGCAGGCCAGCCUCCGCGACGGCGGCGCCUCCUCCGCCGCCGCCGCCCGAAGCCGCGGCGGCGGUGACCGUGAACAGCGUCGCCUGGUACGCCGCCGCGGCCGAGGCGCGCGCCGUGGAGAACACGGUGAGGAGGGACACACAGGUGAACAGGGCCAGGAAGAUCACCAGCCACAGGCACCGGGACCAGCCAAGAAACGACAUGGGGGAUGUCGGCGCCACGGCGUUCGCCACCUUGUUCGAGGACGUGUGCACGACGAGCAGCCUCGGCCCGGCCAUUGCCUUCAUUUCUUCCUCCUCCUCUGGCUCUGUGUGCUUGUGUUGUGUCUGGAGUGAAGGCUAAUAAGGUUUAGUAGAUGAGGGUGGUGUGCGGAUGGAAUGUUCGCUCACACUGACAUUGAGAGAUCAGAGUUGGCAAGGAAGAAAGGAAUGGAGGUUGGGAUGGGAUUGGGGGUUGGGGUAGACAGCAGGCCAAAGCUAGCUGAAUUAAGCAAAGUUAAAUAAGCGUAUGUUGGAUUAGUAGUUGGCAUGUUUGGCAGGAAAGCAAGCUCGGUUAAAAAUUGCUUGAGGGUUGCAACCUGCAUGCUUUGCUUCAGAAUGGCUCAAAUUUGGGUAGGUUUUGAUGGCACUCUUUGAUUUUGACACCAAAUCUUUCUUAUAAAAUAGGCUAUACGAUGUCUUGUUUUAACCACUUUUUAGAAAUGAAAAUGUACACAAAGACCGCAUUGAAUGUGUACUUCUUUUUUUUGCCAGAUAUUCUGUUAAAUUAAAUGAAAAUAUUUUUAAGUUCCUACUAUUGAAAUUUCUGAGUACCAAAAAGGCCCAUUAAAAUGGGAAUGAGCUGAAUAUGGAUAUUCCCUGAACAACCUAGUCAUGAUACUUUCUUAGAAAGAGUGAGGAAUAUGGUUUUGGGUGUGAAACACACAAUGCCAAAUCUGCCAUUACCUGAUGAUAGAAGAGCAUCAUUAACUGCUCGAAAAGCUACAGAAGAUGACACCUGGUUUUAGGAGGACAACCAGCAGCUUUCUGGCCAUCACCAGUCACAUGAAACAACAGCAGCCAACACAGCAUAUCAGGUUUGGUGAGAAGAAAAUGUUGAUGAAAAGGAGACUGAAAAUUCCUCUGGCUGAUCGCAAGAUGCUAUCAGCAAACACUUGGAAUGUAAGCCACGGGCGUGCCAGGAGCUAAAGUCUUGCAGAUAGGAGGUGGCUGUCAGUCUGUAUCUCUCCGUUGCCUUCAAGUAAAGCCUUGGCAAAACCGGGCAUGAAACACGCAUUGCCCAACCCUUGUGCUGUCCAGAAGGACCAGAACAAUUUCAUAUCUACAGGAGGUAACUCGAAGUCACAACAUAAAGUUGUUCACGUCGGUGACAAUAUCAUAUGAGCAUGGGUUGAUCAUCCAGACAAAAGAUUAGUUGCUCAAGAGAUGCUAAAACAUAAAGUGAAAACGAACUUUAUAGGAAUAGCAGGCAGGGAUGGCAAUGCUCCAUCUCCUUUGCAUAUUUCUCAUAAAUACAACUGGUGCACCCAGUUUAACAUCUGCGGUGUCCAAGCCAACCGCAAGAAAAUUGUUUUGCCACAUUCAACUAUUGGAAUUUGAUGACCAAGCCAAACAUCUCAACAAUUUCCAAUUUCCAUCAGCAGAAAAGCACAAACACAAUACAGGGGAUUGAGAUGGAAACUUAUAGUUCAUAACAUUUGCCGUUAGGCGUUGGCAAUGCAUUAGCUUCAACGAACAGAAGAUGCAUCUCUGGCAUCCCUGCAGUAAAGAAGCGAUACUCGGAAGAGAACCAAGUUUUUACAAAAUCUCACGGGUAUCAUGAUCAUCGCCAGGUGUGACCAAAGAUAUAAUACAGCAAGAUGUCAGCAGGAUCAUGCAGUACCGCACCAGUAGGCCAAGUGCUCAUCCUUGCGAGAUGUGCUAUAGAGCCCACCACAUUUCAGGCAAAUGAAGCUGCUUCCAUCGGCAAAUGCAUCCAGGAUGAUCUGCUUCCUUCCACUCACGGAAAGAAUGCAGGUCUCAUCAGAAUUCAGCAUAUCGACAGGGUCUGACCCAGGUCCUUGUCGUGGGUUAGCAUUUGUUGACUGUGCCUCUGCUAUGGCACAUUGGGCAAGCAAAGAGGCAAGCUCAUCAACACUAGGACUGGCCUGCAAUCUCUGUGCGUAGAGUUCCCGCGCACGGUUCAUAGUCUGGAUGAGAGCUUGUUCACCACCUUGUGAUCUUAUGGCUAGGAGAACCUGCAUAAUUCCAUAAGUUCAGAAUCAAUAACACAUAGAAAUGAGCCUUCAUAAGUUCAGAAUCAAUAACACAUAGAAAUGAGCCUUCAUGAAACAAGAUAAAUGAGUUAGACAAGGUAAGAUUUGAAAGCUAAAUUAAGUACCACAUGACCCAUCAUAAUCAUCAUCAUGAAAAGCAACAGUAUCAAUAAGCCUUAUUGGGAUAUGUAAGAAUAUCAAAACAAACAUCUUCCAUAAAAUCAAAAAAGAAAUUAUGCAUUCAAAUACAAGCAGAAUGCUCGUGCCAAAUUGCCAGUGUUUGAUUCAUUGCCAGAAUGAGACCUACGAAGUUAUUAUGGGAUAUAAUUAUAUCACCACAAGCAUUGGAUCUCACAGGCGACGGCUAGGGGCAUAAUCUUAUAUCGCCAAACUCUUGUUCUGAAAAUCAGUUCCGCUUAAUACACGCAUAGCUAGGGUGCAGGCAGGAAGCACUAAUGACAUACUGCAGUGUCCCAAUUAGGAAGAUGCUCACAAAGGUUGAGCAUUUUCAUUUGACCCAUGUGAUACAUCAGGUAGGAUGCUAUAGAUGUCCAAUGCAAACAAGAUAUGGAAAUUCCAAGUUUCCAACACCGCUGAAUGACAAUACAUAUGUAGUGAGAUUUGGUUAGUCCAAUAUUGAAAUUAGCACCUUAAGACUUGAAUAGUUUUAUCAGGGUACCAAACACUAACUUAUCCGGUAUGACUUUCUUCCUGUUCAACUUUUUCCAUCUAGAUCUUCUAGUUUUACUAAUUCCCAGCUAUACAAGGUCUUGAUGGUCAUUUUCAACAGGCCAAAUCGUAAAUGGUUGACAUGGACUGGGAAAUAAACAUUAUCGAAUUCGAAUGUACUCUGCCCAUAUGAGUAGGGCGCCACCAGUUUUGCAAAUAAUAUACGUGCAUCAAAGCUGACAUUGGGUUUAGCUCAAACUCAAGCACAUGUAAGCAUUUUAUCUAAAACAAAAUGGUCUCAUGAGAUGGUAAUAAUUUGGUCAACAGAAACAUAACAUUAGCUGAACUUGAAAAAUUCACUACAUGACAGAAGCAACGCAUGUUCCUCAAGCUCAAUACAACCUGGCUGCUUGAGCUGAAAUUGCACAUCCCGACUUUGGGAAUACUCAGACAAAUCACAGUCUAGAACUCUCCAUCAUAAACAACAUUAAUAGUUUAACUACUUCUCCAGAUAAAAUGCGCACCAUACUGAAGGCUCGGAAGAAUCAUUAAAAUUCCACAGUACUUUCGAAAAGGAAGAUAAUCAAUCUCCAUGUUGAUAGAGGGGAAAAGGAAAAGUGGAUUUUGAUGACAUGCCACUACCCUAAAUCAAGUUUCAGAAAUACUGAACAUGAGACCAUACUUCAGUGAGGUACGGGAGUGACAAUGUCUCAUCCUAACUUUCAAGGGGUGUCAUAUCCUCAAAAGUCCGGAAAGUAAAUACAGAGUAUGCAUAGUGUAUGGAUAUAAUUAACUACAGUAAUUCAUAGGGUAAACACAAAGUGCAUAGUCGGAUAUUCUAUGGAUAGAAUUAACUACAGUAAUUCAUAUGGAAUUCAUAAACAUGAAAUUUUACAGUGGUGCGAGAGAAGGUAAGGCAACUUUCCGCUUCACACAGGAUCGAUUAAAUGUUACUCCUUUACAAAUUUCUCUUUUAGGUUUCGCCUCUACAUAGCUUAGCCUAGCACCAAGCAACAAUGACUAUAUGUAAAGCCAUACGGAUAGUCGGAUUACUGAUUAUAGUCACCACAUUUUUCCUGACAAUUCACUCUCUAGAUUGGAAGCAAAAUAGGGAAACAAACUCUAAUAGAAAUGACAUAGUGGAGAUGAAAAUUGUAUUGAAACUGACCAUUGGCCCUAACUAUCAAUGCAUACAAUACCAACAGAGCUAAGCAUUCGAUAAAUGCGGCCUAAUCAGCUGGUGUCAUCAAAUCAUCAGAAUCAACAGUAUAGCAAAGGAAUCUGAUAGAAUGAUAAGGAUCAUUUCGAUAGCUUUUCACUACACUGCAUAUGUUUGUCCAGAACAUAUGCAGUGUUUACUCACUGUUGUCCAGAAAACUCAUUUGUGAACCGAACAUUGAAACAGUGAGAGUUUUGUCUGUGAAGAACACAAACAAUCAGCAUACCGGAUGUACAGAUUCUGGAACCAAGCGUAUUUGGACGAAAUAUUUCGACAAGCAUAAAUUACAAGAGCUAAACAUGAAAUGGCUAAGGAGUGUUUAAGAUGUGUGCAUAAAUCCACUCUUUCUCUUCUUCCUCUUCUUGAAAACCAGAGGACUACUCCUUUUUGCUUGCCUAAGAAACAGGUAGACAGUAAACGAAGGGGAUAGCUGCAAAAGCAUCAAGGCACCCAAGCACCUAACCAGAAUCCUCUAGAACGAAUCAUACCUAACCAAUCCCAAACCCUAAGGCCUAGAACGGAUCGCACCUAAACCCCCUUUGCUCCCUCCGGGCAAAACCUCGGGCCGGAUGGCAACAUGGAGGGAACGACCCUAACCGAGAUCGAACUGGGGGAAGCCCACCGCGAAUCCGCGAUCGCCUAACCGAGCGAUCGCUCGCCCUCCGAUCCGAUGGGUAGCAUACAAGACGCGAACCCAGAGAAUUCCCCAUCCCGUCGCCUCGGGGACGGUGGGAACGAACGCCACACGCAGCACGCGAAAUGGGGGCGGAACGGAGGAGGGAAGGAGGAGAGAGGGCUCACCGCCUGCAGCGCGAGGGACGGUUUGCCCUCCUCGAGCAGCGCACGGGCGCGGGACAGCAUGCUCCACCCCUCUCCAGCCGCUGCCGGCGCCGGAGCCGGAACCGGAUGCUGGGCCGGGGCCUCGGGCGCGGGCUCCAUCUCGACGUCGGGCGGGUCCAUCGGCGGCGCCCUCGAUCUCGCUCGCCGUCUCUCGUGUGCUUUCGCCGCCGGGUGGGGAGCAGCUCGCUGAUGGCUGGCGACGGCUGCGGCUGCUGUGCCACGGCUCCAGAUGCUUCCAGGUGGGCUGUGGCGGCUUUUGUGUUCGUCUGGUCUUGGUCUAGUAGAGAAAGACGCACAGGAACGGAAACUGCCGCCCGUUUUCCUUUGCUUGAUAAUAAAUAAUUUUUUUAUAAAUUAGAAAAUAUUUUGACGUUUUGCGAGCACCAUCCGGGUAAAAGUUAGGGAAUCCCUUCGAAUUUCUUUGUAAAAAAUAAGAAAAAUGUUGGAAGUACUUAUUAUAAUAUUAAGACUUAACUACAAUUUUUCACGAUGAGUUUUUUUAUAUCGAAGUAGAUAUCCUCACUCGGAAGAGUUUGUUAGUAAUAUUAUGAAAAAUUCUUAAUAUAUUAUAUUGUUGGCAGUUUUUCUACACUUUCAAGAAAAAAACAGUAUAAAAUAGUAGUUUGUACCAUUAACAAGUCGAAAGCUUGUAUUAUGGCAUCACAUGAAUAGAAAUGUAACUAGAGUUACCACGGAUGGCACAUAAAAUAAAUAGAUGGCAGGAUUGACUACGAUAAAGGCAAGAGUCAUUAGAUCACAUAAAAAAUGCAAUUGAUUUUUGCACUAUGCAGCUGUAUCUUUGUACAAUCUCAUAAAAAACCACGCACCUAUUGAUGAAAUUAGUAGGGAUACUUCUUAGGAUUGAUAGAUAUCAUAAACAUUGUAAAAAUGGUCUACCAAAGAGUAAUCACUAACUAAAUGUACGAGCACGAUUAUGCCGAGUCGGAGAAUGGAGAUUCAAAUCUGAGGGGAUAUGUUUUACCACAAGAAACAUAAUACCUAAUUGGCUUUGAGAUAUUUAGCUAGAAACUGAUAUUUAUAACUAUAAUGUGUUAGGUUUUAGUUGAGAGUGCACAUCCUAUGCUUGUUUGCUAACAGUCUUUGUUGUACUGCAAGUAUAACUAAGUCGCACAAGCAUACAUAUGAAUUGUAUAAGCAUAUUUACCAAAAUUAUAAUUUAUCAUUUGUAAAUAGCUUUAUCACUUAAUCACGGCUAUAUUGCAAUUGGAGCUAUCUCUUUUUUUUAUUGACGCUUAAGGUUAGAAAUCAGUAGCUCGCCCUGUUUUUUAGAAUUUUUAUCUUUUCAACGGGACAUUAUUGCUUCAUAAACUCACUAACUUAUAACUUAUAAACAUAUAAAAGUUGUUAUUUCUUCCUGGCAUAAUAUUUUAUGUUCUAAUGAGUUAACCAUUGUUCAUGAAAUUUUCUAUAACUCGCAAUUUGCCCUCAUGAGCAAAAUAUAUCGCGGAGAAUUUUUUUCACCCAUCUUCAUUCUAAAAGUAAAAUUACUCACGGUUAGUAUAGUCUAUUUUAAGCACACAAAAUAAUGUGCACUAUAUCCGUAUAUUUAUUUUUAUUUUUGUGUAAAACAUCCAAAUAAUUCGAAAAGUACAGUUGUUUUGCUUGCAACGUCUGGUAGAGAAAAUCAGGCAAAACCCCGGAGGUUUUAGGUAGUAUUAAGCCCAAACAAAAAGCAGGCCUUUCUCGGCCCAUCUUUCCAUCUACACCCCUGCGCUCGACUGAUAGCCUGCCGCCGGCUCUGGUCCGCCACCGCUCGCCACGGUCGCGUACUCCACUCCGAGCAGGCUCGUCAGGGAACAGGAAAGCAAGUGCAGACUCCCACUCCCACUCCCGCGCGCCGCGGCCGGCGGCGGCGACGGGGCCGCUGCCAUGGCGGAGCUGCGGCACUCGACGGCGGCGCGCGCGUCCAACUCCCCCGCCAAGCGCGACUCCGACGCCUCCGCCGCGUCGUCCCCAUUCCUCGCCUCCCCCUCCGCCCGCGGCAGCCGCGGCGGCGACGGAGACGACGGCAAGGACACCCACCGCUCGUCCCCUCUCCUCUCGCACCAACACCACAAGCGCGUCCACCUGCUGACGUCCCCGUUCCGCUCCCUCCUCGCCCUCGAGGACCCCAGGUCCCCUGCCGCCUCGUCCUCCUACCGGAUCCUUCUUGCCCUCCUCGCGCUCCUGCUCGCCACCGGCAUCUUCUGCGCACCCUUGCUUUGGUCCCGCCUCGUGAGCUGCUGGCCCCCCUACCGAAUCUUCACAAUGCCAUUCAGUUUCGUCAGGAUUCUGACUUGCCACUGACAUUUUGUUGUUGUUGUUGUUGUUUCCUGUCUGGUCCUAGAACACGCCUUACUUGUGCCACAAGGAGGGGAUCACGCUUCAUUGCCCUGAGGUGAAGUGUGCUUAAUUGGCUAAUUGCUGCAGACGUUUUGGGACUCGUGCUUGCUUCAGGAACAUUUGGUCUGAAGAAUUUCUGCUUUGGGUGCAGACGAAGGAACCCCUCUCGCUAUGGGAGAAUCCACGUGCUGCCACAACAUCUUGGAAGCCCUGUGCAGAGCGACGUAGUGAUGAGCCCUCAGGUAAGUCCACCAUUCAUGUUGCUUGAAGACAACAAUAUACUCCCUCCGUCCAAAAAGAAUGCAACUCUUGCAUCUCGAGCAAGUAAUUUCAAAUUUCACCAAAUCUAUACAAAAUAGUAUUAGCAUUUAUAUUACAAAAUAAGUAUCAUUAGAUUAAUCAUUUAAUAUAUUUUAUACUAAAUCUAUUUGGAGACAUAAAUGUUAGUAAUUUUUUGUAUAAAUUUGGUCAAAUUUAAAACUGUUUGACUUCUUGGGGAGUGAGAGUUGCAUUCUUUUGGAGACAGAGGGAGUAACAUUUUUUUUAAAUAAAGGAAAAUCCCGGCCUUGAACAUUCACAUGUGAAUGUCUAUAGCCGAACGUUACAAGAGUUCUUAGACUCUAGACCUCAAACGAGGAUAAAAAAUAAGAAAGAAAACUCUAAAACAAAGAAAGAAAUCAAGAAGACUAAGCUUCAAUCCUUCACUUCGUCCACGUUCCAUCCUUGCAAAACCUUUACGCUGCACCAAACCAUCACAUCACUUGUCUUCUUAGAAACUCGAUGUUCGAACUGUCUGAUGCCACCGAGGUAACUAAGUCGGAUCGAAGGACCUCCAAGACGAUGCUCCAAGAAGAAAACGACAUCAAAGACGCCGUCGCCGCCUCAUCCAGCAAGCCAGAAUUGAGUUUUCACCCGGAGAUCCAUCAAAAUUUGUGUAGAUAGCGCAUCGGCAAUGCCUCCAAGAAGGAAAUCGGCGCAAGAAGCGUUGCCAUUGCCGGCCGGCGUGAGGCCGGACUGGGAUUUCUCCUUGCGCUCCCCGAAGCCACCUCCGCACGCCAGCGUCCACCAGGAGCACCUGCCACGGCCAGCCUUCGAGGCCGACUCUCCACCAACGGACUGUAGAUGCCAUUGCUGCCUUCCAAUCCCGCAGUCACUCCGGCAUCAUGGCCGAGCCUCCCCCCGGACAGGGUCCAGCAGGCACGCCGCCGCCGCGUAGCGGUCGCACGGCCGCCCCGUCAUGGUAGCGCCGGGAGGGAGUAACAUACAAUAUACAUUUCAUCCUUGCUUUAUACUGCACGCAAUCACUGAAGGUCAGUGACCUUGAUUGUGCAAAUUUUGACCUCUUGGUUGACUAGUGUACUGUGAUGCGGCAAGCAAUCUGAUAGGCCCGCUAAAACCUGAUUUCCCAAUUUUUCUAGAAAACACGCCAAUUUUUUGUCUGUAGUUCCAUGUUAGACGCCAGACUUAUGAGACAUAAAGGCCUUGUUGUUUGUAUAAAAAAUGUGCCUUCAAGCAUCAUCCACCAUUUGUUUCCCUUCAUGAUUGGGUCCUGAUGGCUGAUGAUAUCAUGUAUAUAUCAUGCAGAUGUCCCGUCUGAGAAGGAAACCUCUGGGUAUAUUUUUAUUCAUGCCGAAGGAGGACUAAACCAGCAACGCAUAGCUGUAUGUAUGCACUUAUGUUCUCCUCAGACUCCCUCUCAUAGCUGUUUGUGUUAGUUCUGAAUAUUUGUUUUGAUGUUGCAGUUUCUUUUGUAGUCUAAGCUGAAUUUUUCUGAUACCUAUUGAUGUCCUCAAACUUUGUUAUAUGAUAAUUUUAAAAAUAUGUUUCAAUGUAACUUUGUAACUCCUUUUGAUUGCUUGUGUUAGCGGUGACCUAGGAAAUCUUGUUUAGAAAAAUCCUGUUAAGCAGUGACCUAGGAAAUCUUGUUUAGAAAAAUCCUGUUGUUUAAUAUUAGAAUCCCUCUUAAGCAGAUCAUGCCUCUUUCUUGAGCAGUGUUUAUUAGUUUUCUAAAAUGCACAGAGUUUCAGCUACUUCUGUCAAAAGGUUUAAGUAGCAUCAGUGACCCAUCAGUUAAUUACCCAUAUUUGGUGUUUUUGGCUUCUGCAGAUAUGUAAUGCUGUUGCUAUUGCUAAGAUAAUGAGUGCAACACUUAUUUUGCCAGUUCUGAAGCAGGAUCAGAUAUGGAAAGACCAAACGUAAGUUCCGUUUCCUGUUCUAUUAUAUUUCACUGCUGUUAUUCAGGUGAUUGUUCUAUCAUAUAAAAUCUGGUCCAUAAAUCUAUAGAACUUCUAUCUUCUAGAAACUGAACAUAGCAUUCUACUAGAACACUAAAAAUGAACUUCUAUUCUUUCACCAAAGCUGCAACCUUGUCAGGGUUAUUGAAACUUGAAACUUACUUCUUGUUAGUUGUCAGAAGUCCAAGUGCUCGUGUUCCAAAAAUCUGUAAUCAAAAUACUUUUGCUAAGUAGCCAUUUUCUAGGUUAAAAUAUGCGGAGUAAUUAUCUGUGUAACAUACAUCUUUACUGAGUAUUAAUUUCUUAUAGAGGAUGAUUUGAUUUGCUAUGCUGUUACUUAAUUUUCAAAGUAUGUGCUUCUAAAUGUGACUGCCUCAUUUAUUAUGCUUCUCCUAUGAUUAUGGUACUGUCUUGUCACAAGAACAUCCUGAUUGUGGGCUGUAUUGGUGAAGCUGUGAUUACUGGAAAAAAUAUACGUGUAGUUGAUUAAUAAAAUAUCUACCAAACGUGCCAAAAUGUAUUUUUGACCUGAAAAUUUUGCAGCCAUUGAUAUAUAGAUCAAUAUAUAGUUGAUAAAUCAGCUAAGGAAACUCUUGAUCUGUGAUGUAAAUGCAUUCAAAUAGUAUACAGAUUAUAGAGACUAGGGCUCCAAGGCCCAAUCAUCUUUGACACAUUUGAAGUAGUUGUAGUGGUGAAAUUUGCAAGCAUGGAAGUUUGCAAUAUGAUGUAACAGUAGGUCUGAAGUUUCCUUGGUUCCAUAUUGCCACUGUACAGUGAAGUAGUCGCUAUGAGAUACACCACAUAUUCAUGAUUUCCUUAGAGCCCUUUACAUAUGUUGUGUUUUGCUUUUCUGAAAUAUUGCCUACAUUGUUGGGAACAUUUGCCUUUUCUACAGGAAAUUUGAAGAUAUCUUUGAUGUCGAUCAUUUUAUAAACUAUCUGAAGGAUGAUGUACGCAUUGUCCGAGACAUCCCAGACUGGUUCACAGAAAAAGAUGAGCUUUUCACCAGCAUAAAGUAGGUGCUACAUUUUGGUUUGAUCAUUGUCUUAACUACCUUAACUCAGAAAUUGAUCUUGCUAUAUGCAACCACUGUUGACAUGGAACUUUGUAUAUUUCUCACCUCUUUAAAUGCCGCUGUGCAUAUUUUCUUCUAAUACUGUAAUAUGAAUGUUUGAGACCAACCGACUUUAUUACAUUCGUAUUUUAUUCUAUUGCUCCCCCCCCCCCCCCCUCCUCUCUGUUGGACUUUUUUUUUCAUAAUAUGUAUUGAAUUAUGUGUCUAUAACAGGCGAACUGUGAAGAACGUUCCAAAAUAUGCAUCUGCCCAAUUUUAUAUUGAUAAUGUACUUCCAAGGAUCAAAGAGAAAAAGAUAAUGUCCAUUAAGCCAUUUGUCGACAGGUUGGGGUAGGUAAACAUUUGAAUGCAAUUAUUUUUGUAAUUCAUUCAGUUUUGUUAUUCCAUGAUGUCAGAAAGGUUGCUCUACAAUUUAUCAUAUUGGAAGAAUCUGAACCUAAUGUAAAGCUUCAAAUUUCAGGUACGAUAAUGUUCCGAUGGAGAUUAACCGGCUAAGAUGCAGAGUCAACUACCAUGCUCUAAAGUUCCUACCUCAUAUUGAAGAAAUGGCUGAUAAGCUUACGGCAAGGAUGAGGAACCGAACUGGCAGUGUAAAUCCAUACAUGUAAGCUAUAGUUAACUAUCUUCUAUCCAACCUAGCUGAAGUUUGGCAGUCUCACGUUUGUUUCACUAUCAAAUAUGGCACUUCUUUUGAAGGGCUCUUCAUCUGAGAUUUGAGAAAGGGAUGGUGGGCCUUUCUUUCUGUGAUUUUACUGGCACGCGGGAGGAGAAGGAAAUGAUGGCUGCUUACAGGCAGAAAGAAUGGCCAAGGCGCUACAAGGUCAGACAAACCCUGAGAAAUCUGUUGUGUUGAGUUUUUCUCUAAAACCUUGAGGACAUGAAGUCAUGAACCACACACUUUAUACCAUUUUAACAAAUUCCUAUUGUUUUGUGCUUGCAGAAUGGAUCCCAUCUAUGGCCGCUGGCGCUUCAGAAGAGAAAAGAAGGGCGUUGCCCUCUUGAGCCCGGUGAGAUUGCUGUGAUCCUGCGAGCACUGGGGUACACGAGUGGAACACAGAUAUACGUUGCGUCAGGGCAAGUGUAUGGCGGCAAGAACCGGAUGGCUCCCCUCAGGAACAUGUUCCCCAACUUGGUAAGCUCAAAUCCACAGCUCAGUUGAAAACACAAUUUUCCGCCGUACUCGAAAAAAGGACGGCAAAAGCAUUGCAUAAACUUUCUGUUUCCUUGAAGCCAUGAAACAAGAUGGCCAUUCUAUUCCACCAAGCUAAGACCAUCCAUACCAGCCAGCCAUGGUGAUGGUGACCUGCAUUGGCAUUGCUCAUCGCUGCAGGUGACGAAAGAGGAGCUGGCGAGCGCGGAGGAGAUGGCGCCGUUCCGGCGGCACGUGACGAGCCUGGCGGCGCUGGACUUCCUGGUGUGCCUGCGGUCGGACGUGUUCGUGAUGACGCACGGCGGCAACUUCGCCAAGCUCAUUAUCGGGGCGCGCCGCUACGCGGGGCACCGCCUCAAGUCGGUGAAGCCGGACAAGGGGCUCAUGUCCAAGUCCCUGGGCGACCCCGACAUGGGCUGGGCCUCCUUCGCCGAGGACGUCGUCGUCUCGCACCGCACGCGCACGGGCCUCCCGGAGCCCACCUUCCCCAGCUACGAUCUCUGGGAGAACCCGCUCACGCCCUGCAUGUGCAGGGCCUGACUCAGGACUGAGCCCCUGAGGUCCUGAACCAAACACCUUCUGGAGCCCUUCACCUACUAGAACUACUAGUCAGUUACAAUUCCCUGGCCAAGCAUUCUCUCAUCAGCAGCUAUGCUUCCAUUCCAUUAGCUCAGCAUUUGCAAUUUCUGCAUGUUUUGUGGCCUAAUCUGUAGUCUCACAUAGAUCGGUUCUUGCUGAAAAUAGUCCAAGAACUUGGACAGAUCAGUGAAAAGAUAAAGUAUCAGUUGAAACGCUCUCCAAAAUUCUCUUCGGAUUUGCCAAACAGAUCCACUAGACUAAUCUUGCCAGAGUGUUUCGGGCCAGAGUUUUGCGGAGACACGAGUACUCCGUAGUAAUACUAGAUUUGGCUGGCGACAUGAUGUGGACUACUAGAGAACUCAUCGGUGAACUCGCUGGUCGUGACGUUUCUUUCCACGCGGCAGCUCGGCAUGGCCAUGCAGCCUCUGUGCUCGACACGUCCUCCUGCCUCUCGAAGCACUCGAAAGUUAUUUAGAACUCGAUUGGGUACAGGGUUCUCGAACGAGCCUGGCUCGCUAAUCUCGCGCACAGGAGAGGCGAAGAGCCGCUACUACUACUAGCUAGAGUGGUCAGCAAUGGCGCAGCUGAGAGCACCCGCCGACGAGCAGCGGCAGCAGGAGGCGCUGCACAGCGAGAAGGACGACGUCGCCGGCGGCGGCGGCGGCAACGAGAGCAACAAGAAGGCGCGCGCGGGGCUCUGCGGCGUGCUCCGUGAGCGCAAGGUGGUGGACCUGGCGCGCGCCAAGCGCCGGCUGGUGGAGGUCCCCUACACUGCGACGCUGGCGCACACGGCCAACGCGCUCCUCGCGGCGCGCGUCUCCGCGGUCGCCGUGGCCGCGCCGCCGGGCCACUGGAUCGGCGCCGGCGGGUCCAUGAUCCUCGAGUCCGACCCGGCCACCGGCGCCGUCCGCAAGCACUACAUCGGCAUGGUCAACAUGCUCGACAUCCUCGCCCACAUCGCCGAGGCCAGCGACGAGGCCGAGGCCGACGACGAGGCGGUCGACCUCGACCGCCGGAUGGCCGUUCCGGUGUCCUCCGUCAUCGGCCACUCCCUCGAGGGCCUCACCCUCUGGACGCUCCAUCCAAACACCAGGUGCUUCCAUCUUGUAUUGGAUUGGAACAGGCACUCGUUUCUUCUUGGAUCGGAUUGCAACAAUUAUUAGAAUUCUUUUUUCGUUUCUUGUUGCAUCAGCGUGCUGGACUGCAUGGAGACGUUCAGCAAGGGGGUGCACCGGGCGCUGGUGCCGCUGGAGAGCUCGGCGGACAACGUGGUGGCGGUGGAGCUCGUGGAGUCCGCGCCGGGGUACCGGAUGCUCACCCAGAUGGACGUGGUGCGGUUCCUCAGGGCGCACGGCGCGGAGCUCAAGGGCGUGCUGUCGCGGACCGUGCGCGAGCUCGGCGCCGUGAACGAGGCCGUGUUCGCGUUAGCGAGCGGCGCCAGGGUGAUCGACGCCGUCAAAGCGAUGCGCGCGGCGUCGCUCACCGCCGUGCCCGUCGUGGACGCCGCCGUCGGCGAAGAGACACUGCAAGACGUAGACGCGCCUCUCGAUUAUUCCCAGACCGAGCUUCCAAUUCUCUGUGCUUAUACACGCGCUCGCUGCUGUGCGUUCUGCAGGGGGUGGGCAAGAAGGCGAUCGGGACGUUCUCGGCGACGGACCUGCGCGACUGCCCGGUGGCGCGGCUGCAGCCGUGGCUGGGAAUCAGCGUGACGGAGUUCAAGAGGAAGGUGGCCGAGUACCGGGCGAGCAACAAGCCCGUCGUCCCCGGCGCCGACGCCACGGACACCGGCGUCCCGGUCGCCGCCGACGCCGACACCCCAGCGGCGGCCGCCGUUGCCACCGAUGAAGAACGGAGCAACGAGCAGCCGCUGGUGACGUGCUUCCCGGAGAGCACCCUCGGCGAGGCGAUCGAGGCGGCGGCCACGAGGCACGUGCACCGGCUGUGGGCGGUGGACGGGGAGGGGCUGCUGCGCGGGGUCGUGUCGCUGACCGACGUCCUCCGGGCCGUGAGGGGGGCCGCGCUCGGCGAGGAUCGGGAGCUCCACAACAUCGUGUCGUCCUAGAAGUUGGCACUGAAGUGGUCGUCCAUCCAAAGUGUGAACAGCCAAAUAUAAUGUUGCUGACUUUUCCACUCGUGUUCGUCGGCAAGCUUGUGAUUUUGCCUUGUUCCUCUGUUCAACGGGUCCCCAGGCUUAGUUUGUGAGUAAAGGGUUAUUAACCCAGGGAGAAGGCCGGGAACCCGGCGGGGAAACGAGUUUCCAAACGAGCCUGCGGGGAAAGCGUGUGCCUCGUACGCCAUCCCGCGCGGCCGCGCCUCCCACUUUUCUCCCGCUGACAAACGGGGGCCACCCAACCGUCCCCACCCGCAGAUCGCCUUCCACCGCCGCCACUCCGGCUCGCCGCCGACCACCAAUCCCGCUAGCCGCUAUGGAUCCACGCCUCCGCAAGCUCGGGGCGUCGUCCAUGGCGGACGUGGAGCGCCACUUCGCUAGGUACGAUCCGACCACCACUCAGAUCGACGUUGACAGGAGCACGCGCCUGGUCGAUGCCGUGAAGAUGUACGAGCGGAUGCGAGCGGGUGUGAGAGGCGAGGACCGCAUCCAGGUCUUCAACCCGGAGCGAUUGCUCCGCAAGGUAGAAGCCGAAGAAGCCAUGCGCGGGGCGGUUGAGGAGAUGAACAGCUCCAUUGGCAAAGCGAACUUGAAGAUCCGUUCGGCGAAUGCUGGGAUUCGUUCGGCGAUUUGGGGCGAUUCGUGGGUUCAUGCUGGGAUGGUCUGAUUCCGUCGAUUUGCGAUUGGGUUUUGGGGACUGAGAUAUCAGGAUUCGUGGGUUCAUGCAGGACUUCUAAUUCGUGACUGUUCUGAUUGGUGCGGGGAUUCAGGAUUCUGACUGGGGAUUCUUCACUGUUCAUCUGCAGACACAGUUGGACAUUCCUAACCCUGAAGCUGAAGACGGUGUCCCUCCAGAAAGGGAGAUCUCCAAGAAGCAGAAGCUGAAUCUGCGGAAAGCCGACGCCGAAUCCCAAGUCACAUUUUGGAAGCUCAACCUGACAGUUCGAAUGCUGCGUUUUGUUGUUACCGAGUUCAGUGUCAGACAGGUAUAGAGUUCAGUUUCAGAUGGUAUAGAGUUCAGUUUUACUAUUUUAGAUCAGAAGACAUAGAAUUGUGAUUUUGCUUCCUAGCACAUAUUCUUAGGCUUCAUAAGCUUUUGUCAGCUUAUUUCAUUGUACUGCUUGUUGCAUGGAACACAUUCUGAUGCAGUUGAUAUCUGUGCUACACAAGUAUUUGCACAUGUCAGUUUUAUCCAUGCUGAGGUUUCUUGUAUGCUGAGGUUUUGCUUCUCUGAACCAUGAAUCAGUCACUUCUUCUUCAGCUUGAUGAACAUCAAGUAUAUUUACUAGAAUUAGCAUCACGGAUGUGAUGACUCUGUAUGGGUGUUGAAUUUCCUGUUGCCUUCUCUUGAAAUGUUUCAGAUCACUCUCUUGGUGCAGGAUAGCUUAACAGGUAUGCAAGUAUAACUCAUUAGUAACUAGUAAGUUGCAAUAUGUGGCUCUAAGCCUUUAGCCACACCGAGUACUAAACUGUGCAUUUUCUUUGUCAAGCCCAUGGUUAUCUGAGAAACCAAACCAGCUUUUCUGUUGUGUCCUUUGAUGCUUGGAUUUUAUUUUUAUUCCUGCAUAUGUAAAUGCAAUUCAUCAUUCAAGAAAUUACCGUGCAAUGGUACUUCAUUGUGAUCCUCGCAAUUGUUCUUCUUAGAGUUGGAAUCAGAUGACAUGCAUGGAUGUGGAAAUUGCGGUACAAAUUUGUGGUGGGAUUGAAUUCAUAAAUUUGCAUUGUUUUUGGAUUAGAUAUUACUGCUUAGGUACUGGGCAUGAUAAGCAAAUGUCGGGUUAUGCAGUUUAUGAGAUCCAGUUGAUACAGUAUAUUGCGUGAUUUUUAAGCUCAAUGGCAAUGGGUGGAAUUUGUCAGGGUUUGUGUUGGUUGUAGUUUAAAUGUUUAAUAUCUUAAACCAUUGAAAGUGCAGUUUAUUUUGUGAUCAAGGUUCUGAUAUAGCAGCUUGUUCUUUUUCUUGGACUAAUUCAAUAUGCAAGCAAUUUAAUUUCUCAAGUAAUGUAAUAUAUGCCCCCUGUGUGCUUGAUUCUCUGAACUGAUGAGCAUUCAAACAUUUUCUGAAUUAUUGAAUGGUUAUAGUGGUUGGAUACCAAUGUUGUUAGGAUGCAUCAUGCAUUUCAUUUUGAUUAAAGUAUCCCAUCUUAUUUUGGUGUACGUGAGAGGAUUUCAUCUCCUUGGUUCCGGUCGGAGAGAGACUGCCGGAGCAGGGAAGAGGGAGGCAGAUUGGAUGCCUUCUUUUUGAAAGAAUUGACCGGGGAGGUGGGCUGUGGCCUGUGGGCCAGCUGAAGGAGGGGGCUGCAUGCGGCAUCGUCCGGGCGAGCGUGUCAAUUGUCAAAGCAUUUUCGUUGGGAUAUUACAAUUGAGCACUACCAACACUUUAGUAUCGUUGACGCAGUUAUACACAUGCAAGGACCCUAGGCUACCGGAACCUGCUUGGUAACACAGGUUUGUCUCUUCCCAUAAUCUGCUGAGCUAGCGCGAUUAACCCACUAAUGGUGUCAUUAGUUCAUGAUUAACACACAUUAAAUAACAUUACAGAGUAAUAAGAUCGAUUCAAAAGAAUUGUUGCACGUAUUAACAUUAUGACGAUGGUUGUUCGCACGGAGUACAAGGGGGUGUCGUCCAAAAACUCCAAACUGAUCCUUGUGCUGAUCCAUUUCUCAUCCAGAUUCCAGUAUGAUAUUUUUUUUGUAGGAAUCAAGUACAAGAUUUGAGAACCGGACCAAUUUGGGGCCAUCCUUUGGUGGGUCCAUAUCGUCAGUUUGUUCAGGGUCAAAACAGUCAUUGCAAAUUCUUAAUAAACAGAGCUGAUUUUAAUUAGUGGCACACGAGAGAAGCGAAGUAUUUUCAUGGCACGUGAGGAAAGUGUAUAAAUCUCAGUGGCAUAUAAGGAUUUCACUCUUACAAAUAACAGGAAUAAGACUUUAUCCCAGUGAAAGUAAAAGGAUAGCCUAGAACAACGCUGAAGCUACAAUUGCACAUGUCAAAGUGAAGCUUGAAACUAGUCAACUCACGCAAAAGAAAAUGGUGGCUCCAAGCAGGUCCACAUUAGUCCAGGUCAAUCAAAGUGAAGCUUAUUCAUCUUCGGCCACCAUUGCAAGCCAAUCUGGGUCAAUUAGCUUGUAUGGCCAAACAUUUUCAACAUCCCUACGACGGACUUUUGUAACUUCAACAAUACCACGGUGAUCUUCUUUGAGAAGGUAUUUUCGUGCAACAUUAUAGCCAUCAACAAAACGAAGUCCAUCUUCUGUAUCCAAGUCAAGAGUUAUAGAAGCUACCAUCGGUCUCGGAUCUAUCUUCAUGGACUCAAGUAUUGUACAAACUCUGAGAAUAUGGAGUGCCAGCUCAAGCUGAUCUUUCUGACCAUAAAACCCCGUAAUAUCGACCAUCUUCAAAUGGGUGUGAGGGUGCCAAUGAAGGCUCCUUAGCUCACCGUGACACUUGUGAUACCGUUCAAGGUUACAGUCCAUCCACAUCUGCAAAAGAGAUGAAUAUGAAUUCUCUACAUGAGAGCACCGCCAUACACUUAAAUGUUCUUUCCAUAUCGCUGCGAAAUAUAUAACUUACAUGAACUUCCAGGUUUUCCAUCAAAGGAGCAACCUCCAGUAAGCAGGCUAGGUCAAGGACAUCAGUCCUCUUUUUUCUCAGGGAAACAAAAUUUAACUCCAAUCUCAGAUGUCUUAGACAGAGAAAAUUGAAAGGUUUGUUCGGCAAAGUUGCUCUCUAACAUAGAAAGUUGAUUGAAAAAUUAAGACAGAUUAAACUAAAAUAGGGAUGCACAUGAACAUUGUAAUCAAAACAAUUAUGUGCAGCUCAAACCUUUAGUUCUUGGCAAUUUGGUGAAGAUAUAUGCGAGAGAAGAUCGGAUAUCCGAUGAUUUGAUGGAUAGAUUUCUCAAAGUGCUAGGAGGUGCUUAAAUGAAUCAAUGGGCCUUCAUAUUCAAACGUUAUCAGGCCAACAUUUAACUCUAUAUCUUGAAGCAAGAUGCAAUGUCUGACUUGCAGAUGCUUAAGGUGACCUAAAGGAUGAGGUAUAUGUAGGCUAGUGAGCAUUCUACAACAAGAUAUUCCAAAGAACCCCAAAACGUUGCAGUUGGACAACAUAACUUUAAGUUCAUCACUAGUAAUAUUCACAUCUACUAGCUCAAGCUUUUUAAGGUUUAGAAAAGCAUUGAUUCUUGCUGGCUGCUUGAGAGAAACAGAACCAAGUUUUAUAGAUUGCAAGUGGGAACCACUAGUAGUAUCAAAAAACUGAAAAGGGAAGCUAUAUGGUUCCUUCCCAGGACGUUGAACUACAAAGUCAAAAAUAAGUUGUUUUGUCUUUGAUGCAAUAGCAAACUUCACCCAUCCAUCUAUGUGCUCUGUGUGUUCAUUGUGUAAUGGUGAAAAAUCGACUUCCAUUUUCUCAACCCCUAUGCCAGAGUGUUGCUUUAACACUGCAUCAACCCUCUGAAUAAAAAUGUAUUCACUUAUGGAGAAACGGGGAUCUCCUAGAUCCUUUUUUAUGAACCAAUGAUUUGAAAGAAAACUCCAUGUUUGUGCGUGAACACCAAACAUGUUUCCAAUGUUUCGAUAAUAUGCUUGUCCUCACACCCUCUCUUAUUGGUAAUCGUGAUAUGAUAGAAUGUAAAAUAUCCUGUAGCAGAGAAACAACAGUGUCACAAUUAAUUAAUCAUCUCUAUUUUAAAAACAGGAAAAAACACAUGGUAAAAGAAAUGCAUAGAAAGGAGAGUAGAUGUGUUCUAUAGUCUAAGCACGGUACAUCAUGUAGAGGUAGGAGGAGAGCCCAGUUAUGUAAUCAUAUUACUUGAGUCGUUUGAUAUUUCAUACCAUUGGUAAAUCGCUCAACUGAAGCCUUGGUCUCUUUUCUUUCACCAGUGGUCCAUUCUGUUUACCCUUUGAACUUCUCUUUCUCUUUGCCAUUCAACUGUAUCAACCACUUUCUGUAAGAAAGAUUUGCGCAAGAAUAAAUUAACUGGAACUGUUGCCUACUUGUUUGCUUAUGACUACCUGAUUCCAAACACAUUGUAAUUGUUUUUAAUGAAUUAAUUGAAGCAAGCCACAACAAAUGAUGAGAAUUGAGAAAUCUUAUUUAAAACGUUCCUCUACUCCUCUUUUGUACUAAUUUGUUUUAACACAAAACUAUAACAUAUCCAGUACAGUACACUAUGUGGCCUUUUUAUAUUUGUUACUAGAAAAAAGAGGGAAGCAAACAACUGGAGAAUUGUAGCCGUGGUAUUUAAUAACUUAGUUCUUAGUGCACGUACAAGACUACCGGAGCGCUAAAGUUUUAGCCACUGUCAUAAUAGUAGGGUGCCAGCAGCGUGGAAUUUGCAAGUCAAUGAUGCCUGUGUUGGGAACCAAUUAUCUCCCAAAUUAAUCAUAAGAAAUUCUCAGCAUUGAAACGGCAGAACUGAAAGCGGCGCCCAAGUCAGCUCGAGUUGGGGAUCAACUGCUGCUGCUCUGGAGUUCUAGAUCUGAAGAAUCUAAUUUUUAUUCGUAUAGAGGCCUAGUAGAGAGAUAAAAAGAAAAGUACCCGACUGGAAGUGGUGUCGGGUUGCGGCGGCGAACGGAAGAAGGGAUGCCGACCUGCACCCUGCUGCAGUCGGAAGGCGGCCCGACGACCGCGGGCUGCAAGCAGCAAGGUGCGUCGUGGCCAGGAGCCACCGUAUCGACGGCGUGGAGGUGGACGGAGGCGAAACCCUAGCCAGGGGCUGUACGGCGCGACGACCCGAGAGAGGACGCGGGUCAGUGAGGUUAGAAAGGAUCCGUCCGGCGAGCCCCCUCCUGCAUCAGCGUCCAACCAUGUUCAUGGGAUGAAAAACGAACCCGUUCGGCUAGGUUGAGCCGCCGCGAUCAGGAAAUAACCUAACCGAAAUACAGUAUGUCGCCGGCCCGGCCCGGUGAGGUGCCACGCGGCCUUCUCGCAGCUGACUUUCCUACGUGCCUCGUUGUGAUCCUACACGUACAGUCGCGCCGCGACCGAGGCUCGCCGGCACAUUAGAUGCCCGGGGGCUCGUCAGCAGCGGUGGCAGUAGUGUCAGCCAGGUACUCAGUCAGGUUGGUCGGCCAUUGAGUCCGGUUUGCCUUCGUAGGACGUCGUGCGCUGCAUUCCUUGCCAGAGCCGCUGGCUGCCCGGCUCCGCUCGGGCGGAGGCGGAGUGGGUCGUGGUGAGAGAGACUCGUGACUCCACGGCCGCCGGUCGCGUGAACGCGGGGUUGGGCGACUGCCACACAGCGCGCGCGAACCCAGCUCGGGCCACGACCCACGAGAGGCUCGCCGAGCCGGCGGCGGCGGCGGCGAGGCGGACGCGAGCGCUGCGUCCGCACGCCAAGCUGGCUCCGGUGGCCGCUGUCUGCCCAUCUGUGUCUGCCAGCGACGCGUGCGCGCGCCAGCGCGGAGACUGGACUGGAUAGAGCCCGAGCCGGAGUCGGAGAUGCGCACGCCCACGUCCGGGCCCGCUCCUUUAGACCGUUGCGCGCAGGUCUUUUCUUCUUGCACCCCCGCCCGUUUUUCCCCUUCUAGGCUUCCAGCAUCUUCCCCAUCUACCUUUCCAAUGGGGCAGACGGACGACCAGUCCAAGCGUGCUGCGCGCCUUCAGUAAGAAAUCCAUCCACUCCUGGGCCUUGCCCCGAAACAGCAAGAAAUUCACGGCCCGCUCAUCAUCUCAGCGAAUGGAGGUCGGCCCGUGUGUUUUCUCUCCGAUCCUUCUUCCUGCAGUGUCAGCUUCUUCCUUGCAAAAAAGAAAAAGCUUCUUCAACGACGUUCACAAAGCGCACUCAAUGGCUAGGACGUACACGCACGCGCACUCAAUGGCUGGCAACGGCUGUCCGGCGAGGAGAGCGCGUCGCUGACAUCGAAUCGAAGGCCGGCGCAUCAACUUCGUGUGGCGGUAUGCUGUGCGUUUGCUUGGAACGCGUUGCCAGGGGCGCUCCGGGCUGGCAAGUCCGGGCAUCCGGCCGCCCGGGAACAUGCCCAUGCCGGCCGUUCGUCCGGCGGCGCACCAACCUAAUGUGCCGCGCCCGCGGCGUCCCGUGAGGACGGACACCUCUCAAGUCUGAACUUCCAGGCCAGGUCUCCAUCAUCAGUUUAUCAACCGCCCCCGCUGGCUCCACUCACGCCAGUCCGGGCUGUCGCGCUGGGUCGCGUCGCGGCGCCGACGCCCCCAGCGUGGCCGGGACGAAACGGGACGGGUGCUCGUGCUGCCCCCGCGCGCCCCGGACUGCACGCGGAACGGGAACCCAUGCUGGUUCCGGUGGACCACCCCACUAGCCGAUGGAGAUGGCGAGGUGCCGAGGUGACCACCCGUCCACCCGUCGUCUGGCAGCGACGUGCAGUGCCUCCGGCCGGAGUCUGGACUGGAUAGAGAGCUAAAGCCAAGCCGAGAGCCCGGGACGCGCGCGCCCACGUCGUUUUCCUCCCUUUUCCUCCUCGUCCGGCUCAUCAUUUCCGGCCGCCACCGGGGUCGACCGUUGCGCACUUCCGUCGUCGCCUUUCCAGUUUCUGGAUUUCCCCCCUUCAGCUUCCAAAUCCAGCCGUAGCAGAGGAGGCGUGCAGCAGCCAGUAUCACUGACACCCCUGUGACCUGCACUGUGUUUUCCCUGCUCGUACAUCACGCUGUCAACUGUCAGACGGGCGACGUGAGGACAGAAAACCUGGACGCAUGAAUUUGGCAGGACGGUUGGGAGUUGGAAAAGCGAAAAUCCAUGCUUUUGCCUCUCUUUUUUGUGCAAAAAAAAAAAGAAAUAGGGAAUUCACGAGGUGCACGCAUGCUCGGCAGCGAGGUUCCUGCCUGCCGCCGCCGGCGAGUUCCUCUUCCUCCUGCCCGUCACUCGCUCACGCGCCCGGCGUGCGCGUCCGUCCUGACGCCGGUUGGUUAGGCGAUGGAGUACGGAGUACCUUGGAUCACUCAAAUCGCUCCUACCACCAGUACCACACGCACCUUCACCGUCGCCAGCGGAGAGCCUCAUCACGACCGGCGCCUCUCCCAACCAACCGUGCCGGCCGAUCACUGCACGCGCCCGGCCGCUCGAGUGCCACUGAAGCUGCUCCACCUCGCCGAUCGCAAUUAGCAGGAGCUUAAUCUCACUUCCAUUAAUUAGCACCUGCUCACAUGAGCACGCAGAGGACCUAACGCGUGUGCCUGAAUACUACUAAUCCAGACAUGAGCCACAGGUGCCGCAGCCUUGCAGGGCGCAGAUGGCAUCUGAAUGGUUGGAUUACGCUGUCGCGUGACCUGUCAGUAGCAGUGCUAUGUGACUGGACUGCACAGCGGAACCGGUUCCUCUGCAGUACUGCAGAUAAACUCGGCGCCACCGAGCUAGGAGGCUGUAUGUCAGUGGAACGAGUUCCUCUGCAGUCGUCUUCCAUUUUGAUGGAUAGGUUAACCGUGGAGCAGAUUCAGUCAGCGUUGUGUCGGGCCAUCAGCUGGUGGAGUGGAGAUGAGAUGGGGGCGCAGUACCUGUAAUCUUGAGCCGUAAUAAACUAUAGCCAGUGACAGCCUUAUUAAGGGCUAACAUGAGUGUGAUUAAGAUUCUCCACCUACGGGCGUCGCAUGUGAAAGUAGGAGCGGAGCACACCUCAAAGUGGGCAUCGCCGAUCGGGUAUGCGCUGCACAGAUUGUUGGCCUCAAGUUCUAUUAAUUGUGCGUGGGGCCCACAAUCUGGUGGUGAGUGCACUAGCACAUUGAAUGCUGUUUCUUUUCGUUUCUUUUCCCGGUUUUCACUUCAUGGGAAAGGCAAGGGAAAAGUGUGAAUUAAUUUCGGCAGAAAGGGAGACAGGUCAUGCAAGACAGAAGGUGCUCAUUAGUUCCUUAAUUGUUACAGCUAGAAAGAGUGCCAGUUUCCUAUUUUUCUGUAAUUGUUUUUUUUUCCAUUUAUCCUGGUCACGGUCCUAAAAGUAGCUUUUUUCUAGACGUGAUCCUACAAUUUUUUCGUAACAGCUCUGCGACGCUCCAGGGGAAAUAGGCUCACGAAGCAGUUUUGAUUCGAUUUUUGAAUGCUUAUGCUAGAAGAAAGGCAACAUCCCAAAUUGCUCAUCCACUCCAAUAAAAAAAAAAGAACUCAUGGGACACAAUGAUUUGCUGGAUUUGUUUUUCUGGUAUUUCUGAAGUUUUUUUUUUACAACCAACUCAACACUGAAGAUUUCGGCCUACACUCCUGCCCUCACAAUUCGCAUGGUAACUGAAUCACAAAUAGUGAUUAAAGAACUUUAUUUUCCUAAAGAAUUUACUACCGCCUCUUCUUCCCUCUGUAAAAACUAGGGCAAUAUUAAAACUUCAUUUUAUUUUUUCCUUUAUAGAAAAGCCCUUCAUUUUACCCCUGUUGCCCCUUCUCCUCGCAAGUUUUUUCCACUUGUUUCUUGGGCAACAGAGUGAGGUUAUGUUUGGAUGGGCUAAAAGUAAGAAUUAAAUAUCUACCCUAGUUAUAAUAAUAAACUAAAAAUAUACUAAUUAUAAAUUAAUUAGAGUUAAUGGAAUCUACACACUAAUUAACCACUAUUUGUGCAGAUUUGUUCAUAUUUAGUCCUACCCAAAUUUGAGGACUAAAAACUAACCAACCCUGAGAUCCAAACGGCCGAGACGAGGCCUCAUGGCCAUCUGGCUUCUCAUCACCAACAGCUCACAUUGAUUUCUUCCUUCUCCACUACCUCCACCUAGCCAUCUUCCCCACCCCACCAGGCUGCCGCCACCACCACCUCUCUCUCCCUUCCCCUUUCUUUUUCUCCUCCCUUUCUGAUGCUUUGACGCCACCGCUCGCAGCUUUGGCCGUCUCUGUCUGUCUCCCGUCAUCUCCUCCUCCUCCGCCACUAAUUAAAGCAGAGGCAGGAGUUGUGGGAGAGAACUGAAGAAGAGAACAGACUAGAAGCGGAGGCGAGGGGAAGGAGGGAGCGGGGCGAGAUGUUUGACAGCUUGCUCAACUCCAAGUUCUACAACAAAUGGUACAGAAAUCUUUCCUGCUGGUUCAGUUUGGCGCGUGAUUGACGGGCUUCAGGUCCGGUUGUUAGUUGUUACCCGAUGCUGGCAUGGCUGUUCUUGCGGACAGUCGAGUUCGAAAUCGAAUGAUUUGGGCUCUCUUCGUUCGACGAUUUGUUCAGCUUUUCGAUUUGCGCAAACGAAAGGAGGUCGAAUGUUUUGUUGCCAGCAGCCGCACUUGUUCGCUUGCUUGAAUAUCUGCGUCCAUCGUUCUUCAGUUGCUUGAUCUUUAUGAACUUUCCUGAACUUCCAGUCCCCCCCUCCCCCUCUUUUCCGCAGGAGGUUAUCAGGCCCUGUUCUUGAUUUGUGUUCUGCUCUCCUGUUGAUUGUUGGGGUUCCUACAUUCUCGAUUUGACCCGUAUUUGUUUGUUUUGUGCUAUUUCCCCCUAAUCGCUGGUUUUUUUAUUGAUUGAGCAGCAAGCAUGCAGUCAAGUGCACCCGGACUCGGCUGGAUCUGCUCCGGCGGAAGAAGCAAGCCAUGGUGAAGUUCCUCAAGAAGGACGUUGCUGACCUCCUCUUCAACGGCCUUGAAUCGCACGCCUUCGCACGGGUACUGUCUGCACUCUCAAGGCUUCGACCUGAAUAGUUCAGUGGUCUUGGAUGGAUUUAGCUUUGGUGCGAAUUUGACAAAACAGAAAUAUUUCUCGAAGUGCCGAUGCAGUUGAAAAUUAGUGCUUUGCACGGAGAAAUUUGUGAUGAAAUGCAGGAUCAUGUGAGGGUUCCUGUUGUGAUAUGUUCCUAAUUGCUGUUAUUUGUUUCCCCUGGACUACAGAUGGAAGGGCUGAUUGUUGAGAUGAAUCAAGCAUCUUGCUAUGAUAUGAUAGAGCAGUACUGUGAAUAUAUUGUGAAGCAGCUCAACAACCUGCAGAAAGAGAGGUAAUUGUCACCCUUGUCGCACUCAUCAGUGAUGCACCAAAUUCAUCCUGCUAACAUCUGUUUUACAUCGUUUGAUGUUAUGCACAUGUGCUCUGCAUUUGUUUCUGUUCUUGCUAGGAAGAAAAUUGGAAACAUUAUCAUUUCUUCCAACUUUAAUUGUAAUAUCUUGGAUUUCUAGUCUGCUGUAGCUGAUUAAGAUGGCUUAGACAUCAUCCCUUUUGAACAUUCAGUUAGACUAUGACAACUUUGGUCUAUGAAGUCCUAGCUUAUCUGGAUUGUUUGGUGAUAACUGCUUUACUGUAUAGCUAUUGUUCGAUUGCCUUGUUUAUUCAUACUCAAGGCAUGCCAUACUCCUGUUGUUAUGCAUGUGUCUCAUCAAGAUUGAAAAUUUUAAUACUGAAAGCUCAGUCAAGGUAGUUAAUCAUUGACUUGAUGUUUGCCUUUCUGGUUUAACAGUUUGCAUAGUAUUCCCAAGGUUAUAGAAGAUAUGAAAAUCUCAAAGCUACAUAUUCGCCAUCGUUCAUAGCUGGAAUUGAAACUAUUCUCUUUUGGUUGUGCUAUAUGAAUGAAGUGUGUGUCACUAUCAAAAGAUCUUGUUCUUUCAUCAUUAUUUAAGAUUACAAUAAGACUUUCUUCCUUCUCCAAUUUUCACUGAAUCUGUGAUGUCCUUCAACAGUGAAUGCCCUCAGGAAGCCUUGGAAGCUGUGUCUACUCUGAUAUUUUCUGCUGCUAGAUUUCCUGAUUUGCCUGAACUGUGUGACCUCAGACAUAUAUUCACGGAGAGAUAUGGGAGUUCGGUUGAGCCUUUUGUUAAUUCUGAGGUGCUUAAAAUUCUUUUUCUUUCUUAUGUGUGAGUUGAUCUCCAUCAUUUGGAACAUAUCAAUUAACUUAACCUUUGUGUUAACAGUUUGUCCAGAAGCUUCAGAAUAAAUCAUUUACUAAUGAAGAGAAGUUGCAAGUGAUGAAAUCCAUUGCUGAAGAAUUCUCCGUUCCAUUUGAUAGCAAGGCACUGGAAUGGAAGAUAACUUGUGGACCUCAAAAUAAGCAUGUAUGAUCUUAGUUAACUUCUUUGCAUUAUGUAAAUAUAUGCUCUCCUUUUUAUUAACUACUCAGCCUAUGGGGUCAUUCAAUUCUAUUUUUGACAUUCUUUUUUUCAUCAGGAUCUUCCGAAGAAGAGUUCAGUUAAACGGGAGGUAGAAGCAUCAGCACGAAAUGGACACAAGGUUGAUAGGCAUGCUGUGAAUGAAAGAAAAUCUAACCCUGUGGCUGAAAACUAUGGACAGAAGCAGGAAAUGAAGACAAAGCCCAAAGAUAUCCAUGUCAUUCCUGAUGGAAUUGGUCAGUUAGGUGAGAAAAGCAGGAAGAACUACUCAGAUAAACCUAGUGAAAAAAGGCACAUGGAUAAUUCUUUGCCUCCUUUGGACGUGAAAGAAAGGAAUGGCCAGAAAGAAAUGAAGAAAUAUGAGAAAAAGGAUGAUCACCUUCGAAGGGAACUAAGGAAUGCAGAGGAGUUGGACCUCAAUGGCUUAAAGAAACAGGAUGGUGGUUUAGUGAAACCUCCCAGUGGCACUGAGCAUAGUUGGGGACAUGCUGACUUAGGGCUUAAAACUCUGGGCCUAGAAAAACAUGAAAUUGAUUCAAGUUGCACCUUGAAUGGUAAAACAGUGAAUAAGGCUCCUCCUUAUUCUAAGCCCUACAGAGCAACAGGUGAGAUGUCCGCUGAAGGAAAUUCUAACAGUUUGUAUGAUAGACGAAAGCAUGAAGGAGAGUUUGGACAGUCGAUGCGAGAUAGGCAGCAUGUGCCAGAGAAGGCAGCCAGUAUGCGGCCUCCUUAUGUUAAGCCAAAAUUUGAAAAGCAUACUGGUGCUGAAGAAAUAGGCCACCCGAAGGGUGAACCGGUUUAUGAUCCUGUUUCCGUCAGAAGCAGGCAUGCAAAACCACCUGCACAUGCUGAUGAUUAUGCCAGAAUGGCUUAUGAGGAAAAGAUGGCAGACCAAGCACCUGAUGGCCGAAGAAGACAUUCAAGCAGGAGGAAUGGUGCCUAUGACGAUUAUGACCAGAAAGUUGGUCAUGUGCUACCCCUAGAAGUCAUGGGGGGCAAUGAUGAUAUCAACAAUGCGAGACCUUUUCACCGAAUCCCUAGUGAGCGAAGAAAGCACAGAAGCAGGCGUCAUGGAUCAACAAGUGGCAGCGACUACAAUGGGGCCAUUGAUGACCACGAGUCAGAUGAGGACGAGGCGAACACCGCAAUUGAUUUUGGCAAUCUUCUGCCCCGAGCCCCUAGUUCACACAGGAAGCACAGGAGUCGGAGUGCUGAUCCCCGCAAGGGAGGCCGUGACGAUGAAGAAAGGAUGAUGGAUAAGCUCCUCAUGCAUUACAGCAAGAAAGGUCUAGACAGGGAGGAGCGCAAAGAAAGAGUAAAAUCUCGUAUCCCCCGGCCUCGAGCUGACCGACCUGCUGAUGGUGCUGCAGAACUAUCUAACAAAGAAGGGGUGUCUGCAAACCGCCCUGAAAGAGCUCUAUCUCUACCUUCAGAAUCUGCAAGCCCAAAGGCGAAGCCAAAGGCCCCUGUUCGGUCCAUGUCCAUGCAGCCAGAAAUUUCUAGAGGGAAUGUGCACCCACCGGAUUUCGACGAACUGGCUGCACGGAUCAGCGCGCUGAGGAACACCUGAGCUGCCACGAUACUGUCUUCAGCAUGGCCUCUAUUCGCUCAGGAACUUAUAUCAUAGCAUCUGAGAGCUGAUGGUGCCUGGGGUCACUGGAUUGAGAAGAGGACAUUUGAAAUGUGGUUGCCUCCUAUUUUUUGCAACAUUUUCUCAUGGUAGUAUACUUGUUUGUGUUGCUCUGAGUGUAAUCUUGGUAGAGCAUUGGCAGGAAAGUUAAAAAUGGCAAUUCAUAGGAUACCAUACCUUACUACAUUGAUUUGGAUGUGGUUGUUUGUUGUACUCAUAGAACAAUUGUUGUCGCUGUACAGAUGCCAUUGAUGAGGCUAUAGUGAUAAAGUGAUUUUCUACAUCACCGUUGAGUGCUUCCUCCAUUUUACAAUAUUUUUACAACCUCACUGUCAGCAUACACUGGAGAAGAUUAGGCAUUUCUAUCAAGAUACCAUAAUAAUUGAUCUAAUGACUAAUUAUACUUAGCUGCCAACCGUAUAGGAUUGUCAGUUUUGUCUGACGGACCACCCAUCAUCAUCUGGAGCCAUUUUCUUCAGCAAAAUUAGGCAGCAUGGUUGCCGGAUUUCUUAUUUCUCCUAGGAUACGAAGACCAUGUGACGGUUGCCGCACAAAACGGUGCCGACGUCGAUAGGCUCUGGUAGCAGAGCUGCCUAAUAAUUCUGCGCACGUUCCUCUGGAUUCCUGAUCAAUCAUCACUGCUACCUAGUAGUAUUCUAUUUUUUUCUUGGAUCUUCAAAACAAUAUUCUAGUAGUUGUACUAAAUUGUCAACAGAAACAACUACCACUCUUAUUUCCAUUUCGCCCGUCUAGACAUAAAAGUGGGACAAAUUUUCAUGCUAUUCUUUAGUUCCUCUGUCAUUUUGAGUCAAAACAACUGACGAACGCUUGCCAAACUGCUCUAUCAUCUCAUCAGUUUGUCAAAAGAAAACGGCAAAUCUAAGUCAGUAGUGGGUGGCGGCUUGGACUCAGGCCGUGCACAGGACUGCAGGUGCAGCUAGCAGGCUAGCCCAAGGACCUCAUGACACCGACGACGAAAUGCAGGAUGCAAUCGUCGCCGCCGCCGUCGAGUAUGUCGUCGCAGACCAGCCGCUCCAGCGCGGGGUCCCUCGGCAGCGCCCCGGCGUGGUACAGCACCGUCGCCGCCGUCGCCGUCACCGGCCGCGUCGCCACGCAGGCCGCCAGCCUCGCGAACGCCCGGAGGAACAGCGGCAGGAGGCCCUGCACGCGCGCACGCGUUAGCUGACGGUUGCUCUCCAUUCGCGCAGCGUGCUCCUGCGCAAAAAUGCAGUGAAAACCACGUGCUCACCAUGGGAGAUCACGGCCGAUCAAAUGUGCUCGACGAUGCAGCAGCAUGCGCGUGAGACCUGAAGCCUGAAGGGUUGGUUAGUGCGUUGCUGAUGUUUAUAUAUAUACAAAUCGGUAGCAUCGGAACCAUCUGCUGGGAGGUUUGGAGUUGCAAACGGUUGGCGGUGGCAACGACGGGCGCCCAUUGUCGCCUUCGGUGCCGGCCGUUGCUCGCUUGUCUCGGCACUGUGCUCUCUCCAGUCCAGCUCUCGGUUUUGGACUCGGCUGCUUCCUCAUAUUCUUUGCCUCUGCGUCCUGCUUUCCUUGCGUGCCUUUCUCCUCGCCAGGGUCGCAAAGCCGCCCAACGAUGACAGCGACCGGGGUUGUUGGCAUCGCUCGAGCCUGGCAGCAGGAAAGCCCUGGUCAGUUCUUCCAGAUGAAGAAGUUCAAGACCGGUGAAAUCUCAUCUUGUGCUAUAGCUUGUGAGACUAUGAUCCCCUCUCCUGAGUUUUCUUCCACGAAGGGCCUCGGAUGGAUCCUUGAUUCCUUGAUACACUACACAAGGUAUUGCUGCAGUUAGCUGCGAUGAAGGUUCCAGUGUGCCAUUAUCGAAGAGGUUUCCAAUACUAUACAUAUAUUCAAUGCAUAAAUACAAGGUGUAGUAUAGCACGAAUUUAUUUUCUGCUAAUGUUGCAUAUGUAUAUACCUGAGAUAGUAUAUGAAUAUAUGACCACCUAUACUACAUAUGUUCAUAUGUUCCAAAAAUUGUUUUAAAAACCAGGAAGUUUAGUUAUUCACCACCUUAACCCUUGGUGUCUCAUGAAACGUAAGAAAUCAAGUGACGCCUACCCUUAACUUUUUGCAAGGCGGCAGGAAUUAAUUCCCUGCUAACAAUGCAUAUAUACAUUCUAUGACUGACAAGGAUUAAUUUCCUGCAAGAAUGUGGUGAAGACUGCAGUAUGGCAGGAAUUAAUUCCCUGCUAACAAUCCAAACACGCUAGGUGCAGUAUAGCACGAAUUAAUUCCUCCCUAAGAUGCAUGCGUAGCAGAUAUUGCCUGAUUUAACGCGUCAUCCAUGAGAACGCCAAGCGUCCCCCUCUGAAUCUCUCUCGAGCAUUGCCUACAAAUAGGCACACUCGGUGACACCAAUCAACACCAGCUCUCUUCUUCCUCACCAUCAAGUGGUUUGAGGCCAUGCCUCGCAACGCCUCGGCGAUGUCGUCCAUCCUCCUGAUUGUGCUGCUCUUGGGCCUUGGUAAGCAUGGAUGAUAGUCAAGGACGAUCCAGCAAUUCAGCAGCUCAAGCACCUCACCAAAUGAUCAAACAAUAAUCUGACCAUACUAAUGCUAGCAAAUUCUUCAGUCUGACUGCUAUGUUGUUCUUCGUGUAUGCAGGUGGCCACACUAAUGCUAGCAAAUUCUCGACGCUGCACUACGAUGUCCAGCAACCGGGAGCUGACGAAAGCCCUCGUGAGGAGCACCUUCAAGAAAAACUUGCAACCAUCAUGUCAUACAAUCUUGACUGGGCCUGCCUUCCCAAUGAUCCUUCCAACCCAAAGUGCCGCGCGAGCAAGUUUUCCUGGCCUGAGCUGGUGGGGAGGAAGGGCAGGGAAGCAAAAGCUGUGAUUCAGAGGGAGAAUCCUUCUGUCGAUGCUGUGGUUUACGCCCCGCAAGACGCCAUUGUUACGGACAAGUACUGCUGCAAUCGUGUUAGGCUCGUCAUGAACUGUGAUGCUGGCUGCGACUAUGAAAAUGCUACGGUGUUCCAAAUCCCAAUUGUUGGGUGAUGAGCAGGUUAUUUUGUUGUUGGGGGGUUGCAAGUGCAUAUGCAUCCUCUUUUUAACUGCUGCCACAGCGAGCAUUCUCCAUUGUGCAAAAAAAGAAAAAAAAAGGAACCACCUGAAAAGUCUUGGAUUUUAGAAAAUGCCCCAAAGAACAAGUUGUGUACAAGAGAUGCAAUGGAGGCAUUUUACUUGUCAAGGAGCAAAAUGAUGAAGGAAUUCAAGAUGAGAGUUUAUCAUGGCGUAUGUCAAGAAUAUAUUGCAGCAGGUUGGCACGGCUGAUUCCAAGCUUACUCGAUAUAGAAUUUAGGCAUUGGAAGAUCUAAAAACCACGUAAAAGUUGUUCUAAAAAUUAGGAAAACUAAUUCACCCCCUCAACCUUUGGUGUCUUAUGAAACUUGAGAGCACUUUGUUGGCAGUUGCACGCAGUGCAUGACAUGGGCUGGACCGCACGGCUCAGGUGCCUGCGUAACGGCCCAGUCCAGCUACUUAGAGCCUUCCUUACCUGCUUCCUGUUCGCUCUCCACGCGCGUACGCCGCCGACACACGACAAAACGAGGCAUAAUCAUCGUGCGUGGAAUCCGAGCCAGAAACCUAAACGAACACCUGAUCCAAGAUUCCAAGGGUUCUAGUCGCCUACUCCGCACGUCCUUGGCUGUAUAUAUACGAAGCAGACAUGCAAACCCUCUGGCCCCUCCCGUACGUCGCCACUGGAUCACGUACGCCUUUUCGAUCGAGCAAGCUCUUGGUCGUCGACGACGACGAUCGCCAUGGCGGGCGGGAGGCAGGGCGGCAAGCAGAAGCCUCUCAAGGCCCCCAAGGCUCCCAAGAAGAAGCCGCAUGCAGACUGAUCUGGAGAACCAGAAGAAGAAGAAAGAGGACGAGAAGGCCCUCAAGGAGCUGAGGGCCAAGGCGGCGCAGAAGGGCCCGCUCGGAGGCGCCGGGCUCAAGAAGAGCAGCGGCAUAAAAAUAAUUCUGAAGACUAGUGUAUGUCUUAUUUCUGUUUUCAUCAGAAGAUAGAAAGAAAGAGACAUGCAUGGUGCCUCAAUUUUGUGCUGGUCUUGAUCUUGCUGGUGUAGAAUCUCGUAGAUUACCUGUCCUGAUUCUGAAAUUUUCUUCAGUUUCGUAUGCCUCGUGUGGUUUGUAUGAAGUUGGGAACGAUACAGCAAUUCGCUUAGAGACCGUUAUUUUUAGGUGGUGUUUGGAUCCAAAUGCUAAUGGCUAAAAGUGUUAAAGUUUAGCACUAGUCCAUCUAAACAGGAGUGCUAAUAUGAUAAUCUAAACUUUAGCCAAGAUUGAAAAUUUAAGAAAAGAUAUUCAAAUACUAAUAUGUGCUAGAAUCUAGCACUCAACUUUAGCUUAUCCAAACAGGCUUUUAAUCCUCCUCUCUAGUGUUGGUAUCGCAAAGAGGACAGUAAUAAGGUAUUAGCAUCCGGAACAUUGCAAAGGUAACAAAUCCGGCUCGUGUAGACCAGCUAGCUAUGACGCUGCCGGCCGCUACUGUUGCUAGCCAACGACCUCCUUGCUACGAGGCAGCUGGAAUCGCCUACUUCUGCACGAGCAUAUGGCGGACCGAGAGAUUGAAAGCAGCCCGGGCGAAGCGCAGGUAACUCUUUCUUCUCAUAUCUGGCAGAGCAGAUGGGCAAAAGAUUCUAUGGUUAGCCUCUGGAUACAGAGGCAUCGGAGCCCGGGCGCCCUGGGUCCGCCGCAUACGAGCAUGUCUGCCAAGCAUACCAUGUCCGCCACACUCGAGUGUCUCCAUUGUCUAUGGGAGUGAGGAGGCCACACGCAAAAACUUGCGUCGCUCCUGGCAUUUUCACUUGUCCUGUGAAAAAGAAGUGGAGCUCGAAAAGGGGCUCUAAGCAACACGCAUCAAGCAUAAGGAUAAAGCAGUCUUGAAUCGAUAAACAAUCUUUCAAAUGCUUUCUAGUUCCGAACCAAGUAUAUCACGUUCCGCAGUGAACAUCGCAGGUGGCCAAAGCAGAUGCUCACUAUAACAAAAUGACAGAAUUGCUAUUUCUGGAUCUAUGCUGCAAAGCGUGCACGCAAUCUGCUGCGAUAAACUGCCUCGAGAUUCAAAUAUCCUAAACCUCAGAAACGAACAUGCAGCAGCUAGCGACCCACAUGAUCUUAUGCGUCAGUUGGUCUUUGUUGACUCGGACAAAAUUCUUGGGAGAGAUUCAGAAAACUAAGGUGCCAUUGCUGAGUGCCAUCUCAACUACUUGUGCUCUUUAAUUUCUUUAAUGAUACCGUCAGCGAGGGAAUCUGUAUCAUAGUUCUUGCCGUAAAACUUGACAAACUCCAUCUUUGGAUUCAUCAAGUACCUGAAAGUAGAUGAACAACCAGUCAGUGUUUUGAGAGGGCAUAUCUGAAUCUUCUCAGUAUCACUAGCCACAUGGCAGCAGAAGAAUAAAUCAGAAGCUUCUACAGUUGCAAUGAGUUUGGAGGGGGUACUGAUGGAGAAUAUAACAAAUCAGAAUGUGUGCAUUUUCUCAGUAUCAGUAGAUGGUGCAUGGCAGCAGUAUUAACAAAUUAGAAGCCUCCUACAGUCCUUAUGAGUUCAAAAGGAAUAUAUCUGUCAACCACUUAGUUAAUUUGGGAUUCAGGCAUUCCCAGUAUCGAGUCUCUAAAGCAUCCAAACGAGUGUAUAUCAUAAGUAGUUCCUACUGGAUACCCGUUGGAGCCCUGCAAGAUAUAUUCAGAAGGGUUCAUAUGCAAUAGAGAAACUAACAGGUUUCUUCAUUUUGCUAUGGAUAUUGUAGAUAUGCCAUAUCUUGUAACAACGAAAUAACUAGAACCAGAAUCAUCUCAAUUGCAGAACAUUAGCAAAAAUAAAAAAUAGCCAAAGUCAUUGUCCAGGAGAGAGGAAGAUUAAAAUAACAUACAUGACAAUUGAGUGGUCAACGAGAUAGUCAGAACCCUCCUCCUCCGUCUUCAUAUAGUAAACUCGGUAAGCACGUGCAACUUUUCUUAUCUCAUCUGUUGUGCCCGUUAGUCCUACCAGAUCUGGAUGGAACUCUGGGAGACACAAAUAAUUCAUCAAUAAUAGGAAAUUCAUUGAAUAAGAUGAACUAAUAAUAGUUCAAAUAGCAACAAUCUUUAAGUGAACAUAAGCAUUAGGAAUUGAGGGACAUAAGUGCACGGACACACACCUUUAACAUAGUCCCGAACCUGCUCAACAGUAUCUCUUUCAGGAUCAACUGUAAUGAAAACUGGCACAAUAUCCAAUUUUGCCUUUUCCUCUGCAAAUAACAACGGAGUUUAUUAAAAAUAUGCUAAUUUAACUGUCUACUAGCUCUAGUUAGGCACUUCAGCGGAAUUUUUCACCAAGUGCUGUUGUAUGUGCAUUCCACUUGCCCAUUCACCAUAUUACUUUGUACAGUAACGUGCCUUCUAGUUUCUAGGUGACCAUUUAAAGCAAGAUAACAGUGUUCUUAUACAUACCAUGAAGACAUGAAGAUAUAUCAAUAGACAGUAAACAGCCAAUACAUGACCUAGGAAGGUAGUUAUAUCCAAGGAACAAAAGAAACAUACUAAUUUUGUCAAUCGCUGCAGCCAUUUUCUGGAGCUCAUCUGGACAAAUGUCAGGACAGUGUGUGAAUCCAAAAUAAAGCAGAGUCCAUUUUCCCAAGAAGUCCUUUUCAGUGACAGGCUUCCCAUCAUGGUUCAGAAGCUUGAAUGGACCACCAAUGGCUGCAGUGCCUACUGAUUGUCCAGGCUUCACAGCACUUGUUCUAUUCUUCAAUUCUGGGGAAGAUGGAACAGAAAAUAUCAUGAAAAAAAUUAAACAGGAUUCAAGGAGCUGAUGCCUUCCUACUAUGCUGAUAAUACUUCUAAAAGGCACAUGUCCAUUUGUACAAUCAAGUAAAGUUUUGCGACAAUUGCUAUAAUAGCAAAUAGAGAUCUGAUUCUGAACCAGGAAGAUGGUUUCUUUUCAUAUUCAAUGGUGUCAAAACAACAUACAAAAAUAUAUCAGAUAUGAUUAGCACGGAGUCCUCUAGCAAUUGUUCCACUGGCCCUAUAGUAUGGUUUCUGAAUUUUUGCUGAUGUCAUGAAGAAGUAUGACAAGAGCAACAGUAGCCACAUAUAUACCGUUUGUUCAACAAGUUUAGUGUCCCGUUCAACUUUUGUAUAUGUGUCCUUGAAACCCAUGCAUAUGCAUUUACAAAGAAGUUAAAAACAGCAACAAAAAUGCCAGCAGUGGUUACAGAAGAAAAUGCAAACAAAACAUUGGUCUUCAGCUUAUUGUCUCUUAGUGUAGACUGGGACCAAAUUGUUGCUAAAAGCACACCAGUUUGUGGCAGGGAAAGCUUAGGCAGCUGGCAAGGUUACGGCUCUCCAUUUUGUAUAAACUGACUUGGAAGAAUUGACAAGAAAUGUAUGAAAUCGCCAAUUGGUCCUUUCUUGCUCCAACAUGGCUGUCACAAAUCCAGUAAGCUAACUCUUCCCUUAAUGAUGAUUUCACUUAUAAGUACCAUAUGUUUUCCAAAAAGAAAAGGAACUUUUCAGAAUAGGAGAUGUGUGCUCUACAUUUUUAUAGAACUUGCAUGAAACGCUGAAUAAAAAAUAAUACAAUGCUAGGGAUGUAAAUUAGGUGCUAGCAGAAAAAAUAAAAGCUCUAAAAAUUCCUAUUUCGGCACUCACAAUAAAAUGGGAUUAGAACAAACAUGAGACAAUGCAUUUAUUGCGGGAAAAAUGCAUUCCAGAACAUCACAUUCUAGUAAGUAGGUAUACAGCAAGGUGCCAAGGUGCAGCAGCAGCAGCACUCAUGCAGGGAAAUUAGAAGGCAUUAACAUGGGUAAUAUAUAAGACUCAGAAGCCAAAUUCUCACUAAAAAAAGAUUUGGAAACCGAUAAACUAUACUUCUCGUACAUUUAAAUGUCACUUUAUACCAAUCAAUUCACAGCCAGCAUGACACUCGAGACACUUCAGUGCACAUGUAUACCACACGCACCAAAACAUUUUUUUCCCAUAGCAACAUUCCAUAUAGCCAUGGCAUAAUGUCACAAAGUGUAGCCAGAAAUUUUAAGAUGGGGUUCAAGCAUUGGAUUUUAUUAUUAGACAGUUCGAUAUUUAUAUGGACUGAAGAUAUGGUAUAAUGAAGGUAUAUACUAGGUUAAACUGUUUGCUUUAACAUAAUUUUGAAAAUAUCUGGUGAGUCAAUUGAAUCCUGUGAACUAUGAGAAAUCCACUCACGACAUCAUGAACUGCUUUGGCUUAUUGGACCAGCAUAACCUCUUCAAAUUUGGCUAACCGUGUUUCCUCCAAUCAAUACGCCAUCGUACCAACACGGACACUACGAAUAUUUUUCUAUUCAUAGCUAGAUACAGUCCUAGCAUCAGUCAAACAACAACACAAACUCACCAUAGUAAUCUACCUUCAAUGUGACGCUUCUUUUCUUUAUCGUAGUACACAAUUAUCCCUCCUCCAGUCACGAGCAGCAGUAGAAAACUGAGCCAGGACACCGGCUGCAAGGAAGUGACAAGUGCUUCUGAAUUAGCAUUCAGAAAUGGCCUAACAGUCUAGAAACAAUAAAUGCCCUAAGGAAAUGAGAAAUUGGUCUCUUGUUAGACGCUACGUACAUCACUACUAAUUCGUGCCGAAUGAAAGAUUUCAGAGCAAUUGUGUUUAUUUUCCCCUGCAUAAGGAGGAUAGAGUACGAAUUGGGAUUACAAGCCAUAACUCACCCCUCCGCGGACGGAUUUUCCGGCGUCCGCUUGCUCAGAUUUCCCAGACUGCCCAUCGCCGCCUCCAUCCCCGCCCGUCGUCGCCGCCGCCGUCGCCGCGGGAGGCUUCGACCCGCCCUGCGCCGCAGUCGAGGCGUCGGCGGAAAAGAAGCGCGCGCGCCCCAGGAACGCCGCUCCGAACCGAGACUCACCGGGCCCAGUGAUCUGCAGCACGAACAAAACCAAACUAAUCACGACCCGGCGUCGCUACCAGAAGGGUGAGAGAAGAUCCCGCGCUCGGCGGUCGCCAGCGACGAAGAGAAAGGCGCUGAGGUACCUGAGGCAGAGCUCGAGCGGGAGGAGGGGCGAGGCCGGGAGCGAGCGCCCGCGAGAGGAGCGCGCGGAGGUGGGACACGCGCGCCCUCAUCGUCGACUCCGCCCGCGCCGCUUCGCCGGACCGGGAUUGGAUUCCGCUGCGGGAAGGGCAACGGGUUGCUCCGCGCCGUCACCUCGUGGCUCCGGCGGCGCCGUGGGUUUCAGAGGGGGUUUUCCAGCUGCGAUGGUUUGCGAAUGCUUUGCUUCUUGUGCAAGAAGAACGUUUCAGUUUCACGAAUCGCAACCCAGGAGGUUAAGCGCGUCAAGCAUCAUUAACAUUUUACUGACUUGUAACAUGUCUAACGAUUAACAUUACUUCAAAGAGUACGUCCUUUGCGUGUGAGCCUGCUUCAAUUAACAAACCUAUUUCGCAAAACUUUCUUCUUAAGUUGUCAAGUAACAAGCAUUACUAACAAACGAAAGCAAGGGUAUACUGAUUAGCCAUCCAGUCAAAAGUUUAAUUUGGAUUUGGUUGGGGUGCGCCAGGCCCUGCCAGCAGUGCAACGGCUGGGCGACGCUCGAGGGCCCCAGUGGCAAGCCACUGUAGUGGACCCUCCCCCACAAAAAAUAAAUUUAAUAUCGAAAUGGGCACAUGGCCCACAUAUCAGAUAUUAAACUGAUAAGAACAGAUACUACACUUGAUCUUAGCCAAAAGGCCGAGAAAGGUAUGAUUUGGGAUGGAGCCCUGCGCCUAGUUUUAUAGCACGCUCGACCGCCUCACCCGCCUUCAGCUCGCGAUGUGGUACUAUCCGGGAAACCAGAAGCGGGGCGGAGGGGCGCUGCGCUGCGGCUCCCUGCCAUUUGGGUUUCGGUGUUUCAUUACGGCCCAACUUGGCGGUAUCAGCCCACAUGAUCGGACGGCCCAGUAAUGCGACUUCUAGAGUCGACCGGGCCACUUGUGGAGCACGGGCCGGCAUUGAUAUACUCUCUCUCACACACAUACAGGUUUUGUCAGUGUCUCACGCCAGUACGCCGCCUUCAUGGUGGCAGCGAUGCCAUAUGCUAGUAACAAGCAGUGUUUGGGUUAUCAACUCAAGCAGGUCUUACUUCUUUCUAACCUUGCUUUAGGUCACCUCGUCUCUCAAUCUACAGAUUUUGAGAAGGUAGUUGCGACACCGCGACUCCCUAAAACGAGGCCGGGAGCUUUACCGACCUAAAGUUGAGAAGAUAGCACGCAAGAUUUACCGAACUGGGCUAAAAAUAUCGAACCGAGGAUGCUUCUUUAUGCAAAUGGUUCCUGAGAUUGGCAGUUACCCAAGUCCUGUUUCGCACUGCCGUAGGCAUCAGAUUCAUAUUACUCCCCAGAUUUCAGUCAUGGUGACUAAGUCCUGCUAACUACGAGCAUGUUCGGCUUUCAUUAAAGAACAUCAUUUCUUACAUGCCAUCGUGCUCGCUAAGGCUUGGCUUGAGCCGACAAAUAGGAUGUCCACCACAGCAGGGAAGGAAUUUCUCUAACGACGGCAAAAGCGACUACAAGCUUACAGGUAUCAGAUUCCUGUGACAUACAAGCUUGCUGCAAACACAAUGUCACGCUUGAUAGCAUUAGACGCGACCUCCAUCUUCUUGUACAGCGCAGAGUUCCCCAUUAUCGAAGCCGCGUUCCUGAAUUCUCUGCAUGUUUCAUCCAGCCGGACGAUUGUUCUUACAAUGAGCCCCUCGGAUACAUCUGUCAGCUCACAUAUGUCCGCAAAAGGAGUUCCCUGCAUUGAAGCAACAUAAAACAGCAUUACAAUCCAGCAUUCAUCUUGGAGAAGUGUUACCAUUACGAUGUGUAUACCUUUGCCCACUCGUAGACAACCUCAACAAGGCCAAACUUGAGAUUGUCACGUGCAUACUCCUCAGGAUCCACAGGUACCUUGAACUGUGCUUGGAGCGUUCCUAGUCUGAUCGCGGUAUCAUAAAGCCUAAUACAGAGAAAAACACAAUUGCAAAAGGUGCUUCAAACAUGUUUUCCAAGGAAAUACAACUGAGAUUCUUAAGAUGGAUCAUGACAGGAAACAAAAACAUGAUAGCAAAAGGUGAUUGAAACAUGUCUUCCGAGGAAAUACAACUGAGAUUCUUAAGAAGGAUCAUGACAGGAAACAGAAAAGGGGAGCAAAAAACUAAAAAUCUAACCUCUUUUUGGCUUCAGUCAAUUUUGGAGUAAGAGAUGGUUCUGAUGUAUUCCUCUGCUGGAAGACAAAUGCAGACAUAAUGGCCACGGCUUCUUCAGGUUCUAGGUCAUCCAAUUGAUUCUCGAACAGACAUUCUGUUGAUAUUAGCUCCUCACCGGAGUUCAUUUCACAGGCUACUCGUCCCUUAAGUUGCACAACUAGAUCAGAAUCAAUGUAGUUGAUUACCUUUAGUAAAUCAAUCUGCAAGGAUGGAAAAAUUAAAGUGUUAGAAAAUAACUUAAAAGUAUAGAAAUGAAAUCAGAGGUGGUUCACGGAAUGAUAUUAAAUUCUUGAAAAUCUGAUAAUAGCCAAUAUAAGCAUUCCACGUACAUUCACCUCGAUCUUAAUGAUUUGCAUGCAACUUUGUGAUCCUGUAUGGAUUGGGUAUAUAUGAAUCAUUUAUCUAUUAAGCCCAGCAUUUAAAAUCGAUAAUUCAAACUGUUGUUCCAGCACAGUAGGACUGGGACCAAAAACCUCCCAUAUGCACCAACGCAAAGCAAUUGAAGAAAUGACAAUAUCAGGUUUUUCCUAUGCUGCAGCGGCUAUGAUCCCUUGACCCGUUUUUCUUCAUGUACACAACAGGGCAGCAAGAGGAAAGAGUACAUGAAGAAGUCUUACUCUGCCUUGAAACUCCGGCAUCUGUUGAAGCGCCUCAUCUGACAUUUGGAAUUUCAAUUCAUUCAGCUGAUCCUUGUACACCUUUUGCUCCCUCAUCAAUGAUAUAUGCUCCUUCAGUUUUAUACAACCAUGACACUUGUUUUCAGACAUUUUUUGCAGUAGUCUGUGAUAUGCAUGGUAGCUUUCAACAAGAGACAUGCUCUUCAGAUUUAGAUCUAUAGCACCAAAUGACCACAUCAAAUAGUUAUACAGUUUACAAAUCAACUGAAGGAAAUCAGUGUGCUAAUGUUAUAUUCAGAGCUAAAAAUUAAAUUAAAGGGUGAAAUACACCAGAGGUCCUUAAACUUGUUCCAGAUUCUCUUCUUGGUCCAUAAACUCCGAAGUGAGCAUUUGGGUCCUUAAACUUUUUAAUUGGUUCAUUCCAAGUGAGGUCUAGGUACAUAAUUGGACCUGAAGUGAACUUAGAAUGAUCCACUUGAAAAGUUUAAGGAACCAGAUACCCACUUUGAGAAUUUAUGGACAUAGGUGAGAAUCUGAAAAAAGUUUAUGGACCCCUGGAGUAUUUCUCGAUAAAACAUACUGCUGAUAUUACUUGAGAACUUCGCAGGCAUGAAGGCCAACACACCUACACCAUUAUAUAAUUUUUGAACCAAAAUUCCUAUUUGAUAAUGCUGUUGAAUUAUUGUGUCUAACCCACUCAUCCCCCUAAAUCCAGGAAAAUAACAGGCUAGGAAAAAUGUCAGGCACAGUAUAAUGUAAGGUACUAAGAUGAACAUAUGGAACUUCAAGUUCAACAUCACUUGGGUUUGAGUUUUAAAUUCGGAUGGUUCAGCACAACCUAUUUACAGUUGUACAUGGUCACAUAUUUUUACCAUAUUCAUUUGGGUUUUUCAAAAAUCCUAUCUCUUUGGUCACUCAAACUUUGCCUGAUCCAAACAAACGCUUAGGAGUUUGGUGGUAAGUAUAAGCCACGAGAAUGCAGGAAAGCACCCAUUUACACUGUCCAACUUACAAGAUUGACAGAAUCAUAAGCAAUCCACUGUUUUAAAUAGCUGACUCCUUUCCUAGCCAGUUUAAACUUCAAUAAAAUAGCACAAAACAAAUAAUCGAGCCAUGCAGAAAAUUUUUACCUUUUAUUGCAUCUAAAGCAGGAGGAUACUUAGUUCCUUCUGGUUGCUCUUUUAUAAGCAGUUGGACAGUUUUGAAGUAAGCAGCUUUGCUACCGUCCUCAAGGAGUUUAACUUGAUCAAUCUUUAUUUUACUGGUGCAUAUACUCAUGAUCUCUUUUUUCUCUAUUGCUCUUACUUCAAAGCCCAUUCCAGAUGCAUCCCCCUUGUAUGGUAGGGAGAUUUUGAUAACACCUGAACCUUUUCGUGAGCUGCCGGAAGAGUAAUAUUCAUCAUCCAUGCCACGUUUUCCUUUCGGGGUAAUAAAGCGUCCUUGUUGAAAAUCCCCAGGUUCCUUUUCAGUUUUAUUGGACAGCUCAGGGGAUAAUGCAGAUGAAGUGCAAUCACCAGUCAAUACAAGAACAAUGUAUUUGUUUAGUGCUUGAGAUGGACCUUUCAAUAUAACACCAAGCAAGUGAUCAUCAUCCUGUCAAUAUGUUCAAAAGUCAUAGGGUUUUAAUGUGGAAACUGGAAAGGAUGCAACUAUAGCACAUCUAACAGUAUGUGUUCAAAAAAACCAGUCUUGUUCGAACAUAGGGCUAUGGUACAAAUGAUAGAAUGAUAGCCUCCAAAAAAAUUAAUAGAACCUUCCGAAGUACUUGCUUAAAUUUCCUGGUUAAUUUUAUCCUAAGCAUUUAAAGUGGAGGUGCUAAGUAAAAAGCUCACGGAAAUUUAGAUCGGCUUGAGCAAAGAAUAUUCUAAGAUCAAGCUUGAUUUCAAGCUCAAGAUUGAUCCCUAGCAAGCUAAUAUCAUGCUUGUGUAUGCUAAAGUCACAUGAUUUUUAGUGAUUCUUUUGGAUUUUGAACUCGGAUGUUUGAUGCUAAUUUAACAAGAGGGUUUAAACUUCAAUUUGGAACUUUAAAGAAUGCUUUGGUUUCUUCUAAGCUUCUCAUAUUUCUUUAUGUGCUACUUCUGUAUCUUGCUAAAUGCAUAUAGAAAAUCUAAAGACCCAAGUGCCGAGCAAACUUUCUAUUGAGUUUUUAACAGUUCGGUGUUGUGAAAUGAAGCAAUAGAACUAUGUAAAUAAAAGCAUUGCCAAAAGGAACCGACAAACAAAGAGGAAGUGUGCAAAGAGAAAUCCAAAUAUGAUUAAGACAUACAGUUUCAGAUUUAACGACCACCAAUCUCCCAGGCAUUAGGAACUGUUGAGCACUGGACGACUGCAUAAUUGCCUCUGUUAUACAUUCCCUAUGCGCCUCAGCUUCUAAUGACAUCUCAUAGUAUUCUUCAAUUGAAGGCUCUCCUUUUAUGCACCUAAUACAAGAAUAUAUAUAAUAUAAGGCAAAGCGAUAAAAGAAAAACUAAGUUCAGUGCACACAAAUACUGGAUACUACACUUUUAUCGGUACUUCAGAUAAACAAUGAAAACGUAUCAUAAACUGCCAUUGCAAAGAAAUUAUAAAAAUAAACUUGUUGCAAUUUUAUAAAGAAUGGAAAAUGCCUACAUCAGCAGGCUUCUCAUCCUUUGGGAGCUAAGGGCAGCUCUAAGCCUAUCCACGUUCAAUAUCCACAUCUCUGCAUUCGUGGAAUCAAAUCAUCGUCGCUACUCCUAGAGUUGGCUAUGAAAUAAUUGCUGCUAGCCUACUAGAUUGCUUGUGUAUUCAUUAUUGUCAAUUAGACAAACAUUUCCACGGUCCAUAUGAUUUAUUUAUUUAUAUAUAUAUAUUUUCACCUCUUCAUUGUGCCAAAGCAGUGGUAAUUACAGCCUACAAAGGAUCGUGGUUCCAGAAUUUGCCUACCAAAAUCACAAAUAAAACACCAAUACUUCAAGCUUUAGCUUUAUAUGUCAAAUGAAGAUUCACUUCUUUAUGUUUCCAUUUUUAUGUAGAAUUUGGAAAUUUGCUUUUGAAGUUUUGGCAUCUAUUGUAUCAAUCAGGUAAACAUGUUAAUGUCUCAGAAUCUUACUCUAUUGUCUUUGUAGGUUGACGAAGCAUUUGUAGAAGUAGCUUUUCCUUCUCAGGCAAAUUCUUUUGUGCAUGGAAUUCUGCAAAACUUCUCUUGAGCAUGUCCUCAACCUAUCAGAAAAAUCAUCAUUGAAGUAUAUUACCUUCCCUAUGCAUGAGGGCCUAUUUGUUUGAGCUUCAGCUUUUUGAAGAGCUGAUUCUAGAUUGUGGCUUUGAAAAUGCUGAUUUCCAAAAGCAGACUAUUGGAGUGCACAUGCUCAUAAAAACUGGAUACUUCUAGUGACAGAAAAGAGUGCCCCUGUCGCCCUUUAAUAGUCAAAUUAGUAUCAAAAGGAGAAAAAAUUUAACAUCAAAAGAGCCCUGAUAUAUACACUAUUGAGCAGAUAAUACAGAAAGUUUAUCAAAGACAGCCUUGGAAGUAAACUUUGUUAAGGCCUUGAGGGCAGUAGCAUAAUAGUCUGAUGUUAGUGCUUCACCUGAUGGUUUGCUGCAAUGUUUUUUUUUUUUGAAACAUAUGGUUUGCUACAAUGUUAUGUUUUAGGAAAGACUUCAGUGGCAUUUCAAGAGCCCAAUGGGCAACCAUAUGUAGCUAAACUAUACAGAAAACAAGGACGUUACCACAAAUACUCCUAACCGACACAUACUAUUACACAGCUACCCUUGACAUGCUGAAAUUUGGGAUGCCUUUAAUUCAGAAAUGCUUCUAUCACCACACGCACACACUUAUUGAUUUAAAGUAUUUUAAGGAAGCGCAGAGGCUGAUACAAGUACUGCCAUAGGAACAACAUAAAUGUCUUGUCUAGUUCUGUUUUCAGUCCAAACUCCAAAAAUUCAAAUGUGGACCUGUAAGACUCUAAGAAAUGUGCAUGGAUGCCAACAAGUAUAAGUGUUGAUAGGUAUACCUUCAGUUCCUCCACACGUAGAAGAUGUAGUAUCAUAGUGUAUGUUAAUCGAAAUUGAGAUUCCAAUCGAGUUGGUUUUCCAACAAUCAAAUUUUUCAAAUCACUUUCUUCAGGAAUUUCAUCACGACACAUAAUGAUCACUGUACCAAUGUUAUCAAGUCCUCUCCUACCAGCUCGUCCAGCCAUUUGAAUAUACUCCCCUGGAAGCAAUUUUCGGUGUUCUUUUCCAUCAAACUUUCUUAAGGAAUCAAACACAACCUGUUGGGUUUACAAAAACGCACUCAGAGCUAGCUUCACAAUCCUGAGCUUAAAGGCAUGGAAAAAGCAAGUGCAACCUAAGCACAGUUAAAGUUAGCUCAGUCCAAAAGUGCACAACGAAACAAGAAAUCAAAGCAUGCAUCUGUGUGUCUCAAACAUCUAUGUUUACAUGAGUUCUCUUUCCAACAAAGAAACACUGAGCAAUGCAUCAUAUGUAACUGUGAACAGCAAACAACAGAAUAUGUAGAAAUGGAAAUAUGUAAACAAAUGUUGGUAAGAUUAAUGCAUAAAAAGUUGGUUUCAUCAAGGCAUGUUGAAUUAAAGCAUGCCAACCUGCAGUCCAUAGUGCAAUCAUAUAAAUUAGAUUGCUAUUUGCGCUUAAAUAUCCCUGUAGCAGCUUCCAAUUUGGAAGAGAUUGUGUAUCAACAGGAAAAUGACAGGGAUUGUGUUCCCAUGGUCGAAAAAAAACACAAAUAAAAUUAAUAAGUAGACAGUGGAAUGCAAGCGGUACCACCUAACAUAGAGUCGAAUGGUAUUUGGUAAUAAAAAUACUACAGCGAUUUAUUCAAGAUACAAAAGCCUUGAAAAUCUUUAUUAGGCACAAAGAAUCUCACCGUUCUUGCUGGUGCAUUAACACCCAUAGCAAAUGUCUCAGUGGAAAACAGUACCUGAAAAAAGUUCAAGAAAGUUAAAAAUUUACCAUUCAGUUAAUUAAGACGCAAUUGUACCACAACAUGCUAUAAUUGUCAAAGGAGCGUUAAAAAAAAGUAACUUUUCAGGAGCAACUGACAACACUGCGAUGUGAUCACAAACAUAGUUUCUCUAUUACUGUUUCAAGUUAAUGGACACCUGCAGCAACUUUGGACAGGACAGGAUGUACUUAAGCCAGUGAUCAGCAUUUGCAAUUUUUUGUUCUAAAUCUAGUAAACAUCCAACAGUCUCAUAAACUAGAGUUCAUGCAUGGACUCGUUUCCUACGAGCUUCAAGAAGUGAAAUUACUAAGGCAAACGCCAUCAUGAAAAAAAAAAGGAACAAGCUGCUGCAUCGGUUAGUACUUAGUACAACAGCAUCUAGUAUGUAAUUAAAUAUGCUACGUAUACAAGUUACCAGAUGUUCAAAGCAUAACCUUGAUUACGCCACGACAGAAUAGCAUCUCAACCACUUCCUUCACAAUAGGGAGAAGCCCAGCAUGGUGUACUCCAAUUCCUCUUCGUAGAAAACUUUGUAUUCCUACAACCUAUCAAGGAGGUCAAAGUUUAAAGCACUGAUUGAAGCAAAGGCGCACAGGAUACAGCACUAAAAUUUAUGAGGUAUUAGAUCACCUGUGGAAGGUUCCUAUCAGAUCCUUUAAGGCGCGAAAAUGCCUUGUCACAGAAGACACGGAUUUCACUUUUCUCCGAACUACUGGUGAGAUCAGUGCCAAACAUGCUAUCUGCCGAUUUAUCACAACGGUUCUUUGAGAAACAAAAGAUCACCACCUGCAAAAGGACCAUCUAAUGAUCAGAUAAACACAUUUCAAAUGUGAAAUGACAUGGUAUGAUUAUGAUAAAAAGGAAAAGUAGAAUCCAUAACCAAAAUGUUGAGUAAUUGUCAUUUUACAACAUGUUGAGAUAGGCUUCAGCAUACAAAUCUAGGGUAAAACAAAUUCAAUGUAAAUGCUGAACAAGAAAGAGGUCAAAUAGAACUAAUAAUGUCAUGAUUGCAUGAUAGAGAAAACAGAAAAGUUAUACUCUCACAUACAGGCACAAGGGAUUUCUUCAGCAGGUUAUUCACAAGUGGCAUCCAAAAUGAAGAUUCUGAUCUCUUUGGCCCUGAGGAGCUUUGUGAAACUGCUGCUGCUCCUGAAUUGGCAUUGUGGUGCUUUGGGUACUUCUGAUCUCUCCCCCUGCUUGAUGUAUCAGGAUUUUUGCCUUGAAUUCCAGCACGUACUGCAGGUGUUCCUGAUUUUGGACCAGGUUUCACUCCAAGCUUGUUAGAAUUUUUCUUUUUGAAAGCAUCCUUUGCUUCUCUAAACCCUUGAGUAAGAAAGGUAUCCCUCUCACAUAUUUUGUACAUUUCUCCAGAAUAGAACAAGCAAUGCUCAAGCGGAACAGGCCUUUUGUUAGUCCUGGUGAACACAUAAUGACAGUAUUGUGCAAUCAAAAUUAUAGCUGGAGGUAUCCAAGCAUAUUCAAAUUUUGCACUUUAAGGCAAAGCUACACUAUCAGCCACUUAACUGUUUGGCCCUCUGCAAUCAAACCCCUAGUCUAAUCUUAUUUAUCCAAUCCCCUAUAUUAUCCACUUAUAUGUAAUCAAGUCCCUUUAAACCAAUCGAUUUAAUUUGUGCUCCUCAACCGAUUUUGUUUAGUUAAGCAUGGCCCUUUCAAUUGGUGCUACUCAGCUUUAUUCAACUUUGAACUAAUGCAUAGGUGUCUGGACAUUAAGUUAAAUCAAUCAAGAUUUGCAUCUUAAACUCAAAAUGUUAACUAACUAAUAUUGGUCUAAAUCCUCAUUAAAAAAUAAACUCUAAUAUGCUGCCAGGUUUUGGCUUAUAAAUGUAUCAUAUUUGUGCAACGUUAGCAAUCUGUUGUAAUCUAAAUUCAUUAAUCAUCUAUAUUACAAACAGAGGAGAGAGCCUUUUCUACAAUCAUCUUUCAUAGUGUACGGGCAAUCAUUGUCCUUGGAUCGCAUGCGUUUACUUGCGAAAUUAUUUUCAUAUCCUGAAAAAUUCAAGGCCAAACUAAGGUCGUGUUUGUUUCAGCUUCGGAUUGUGGCUUUUACAAUCAUAAGCCGAAACAAAUAAGCAGUCUGUCACCCCUGAUCAUAACCAAUUAAUUUCCCUCUUAUACAAUUGAGUACAAGAAUGCUUCAGAACCUAGAAAUGAGUUGUAUUUAAUGGCUACACCACCCUCAUAACCUGUCAUAAAAAACAAGUAACUGAAAUUUAUGAUUUUUAAAAUAACAAUUCCCCGAUAAGGUAGAUUCCAUGUACCCGUUGACUAGCAUGGAGAAAGGAGCUAAUUGGGUAAUUAGAACCAACCUGGUGGCUAAAGCAACUGAUAAUACAGUUCAAGGGCCUUAAUCUAAUUAAUUAUCUUAAAAUACGUACUAACAGCACUUACGACGUGACACGAAUUUUCUUCUGCUUUGUUCGACCAAUCCAGUCAGCAAAUUCAACUGUAUUUGGAACCUGAGAAGAAACAAUUAGGGUUCAACUCCAAACUAAAUUUGAACCAGAGAAAUAAUAUAGAGUUCUCGAACUUUAUUCAUAACAAGCAAAGAAAUUCCGACUACUGCAGUGCAUUAAAAUGGUAAUUUUUGCAUCAGAUUAUUGUAUUAAUCAUUGUUGAUAUUUAGAGGACCAAUUUUCAGUUAUUUUGUUUCCAUGUAGUCCUAUUUCAAUUUGUGGUUGAAUACUAACAGCCAAAAUUUGGACAAUUAACAUCAGAGAAGAUGUCACUUUAGUGCAUGAGUAUCAGAAAUCAGGGUGAUAACACUAUAAGAUCAAAGUCACAUGCUAUAAACUCGGCCAAUCGCACUUCCUAGCAAAAUUCACCUAAGGUCAGAGUUCUGCAUCAACUAUUUCAAAAGAAUAAAAGAUCAAAAGCGACUACAAAUGGCAUUAGCAUGCCAUACUGUCCUAGUUAUUAUUAGGCAACUGUUUGAACAACCAAUAGUGUGCACUGUGCACAGAAUGUUUGGUUGAUAGUGAGCAUAGUGGCUCAAGUGCAGUUCUCAUUAAAUCCGUACCGUUGCCGAAAGGAGAACAAUGUUAAUGUGCUUCGGGAGCAUUAUAAUAACUUCCUCCCAAACUACACCUCUUUCAGCGUCGUUUACAUAAUGCACUUCAUCAAAGAUUACCUGAUUGUACAAGUAACCACACAUCAGCACACACUACUCCUUAAGAUUAUAAAAAUGAUAUUCAAAAUUAAAGGCACAGAGUAAUACACAAUGAUGCAGAAUUGAAAUGGCUUACCCAUUCAAUGUCACGUAUAAUGUCCGCACCUCUGUAGAGCAUUGAGCGCAAUAUUUCAGUAGUCAUAAUUAAACAAGUUGCCUCUGGCCUGAUGCUGACAUCUCCUGUCAGAAGUCCCACAUCAAACUUUCCAGAGAAAUCUCGGUAUUUCUGGUUGCUGAUAGUUUUAAUAGGAGCAGUAUAGACAGCCCGAGUACAAUGCUGCAUAACAAAAUUAUCUGUCAUCAUAAGACCCAUGCUAACAUUUUCUUUUUAUCCGGUGCUGGUUUAAGCCAACUAUUAUGGUAAGCAACGAGAGAUAGUGCACGGAAGUAUGUAGUCUAAAGCUCCAUCUACUAACAAAACUACAAAAGUAACGGUGAAAUCUUAUCAGAAACUAAGAACUGCACACUUCUCAAAGGUUAAGUUAAAGCUUUCCCUCCUAACAGAAGCUGGGUGCUGAACAUCACAGUUUACAAGCUAUAAAUGUGGAAGACGUUAGGUGGUUUCAAAUGAACAGAAGUGCCCAAAAAAAGAAGAAAGAGCAAAGGCAGUCAUACUUUUGUUGCUAAAGCAAAUGCAUACUCGGCAACAACUGUCUUUCCUGCUGAAGUAUGGGCUGCAACGAAGACUGACUCACCCUUCUCAAGAUAAUAUAUAGCCUGUGCUUGGUAGACAUAAAAAAUGUAUAGAUUAUCAAAUUGGCAAUUAUACCAAGCAUUUAAAAACGUAUUAAUUUCAAAAACAUAUUGGUAGGUGAUAGCAAUUAAAUGCCUCCUUGUAAUACAUAGUUCGCACAGGAAAUAUAGAGGAAAGGAAAUAUCUGUCCACUUGGUGUUUCCUUUCAUUCAAAAUUUCUGUGGUAAUCUUGUAUUCCAGUUCAAGGAAGGACAAGAUAAAGAGAAGACUGGACAGCACAGAAAAGACAGAAUAGCAUCGUCGUUCAUCAAUUUCUUAAUUGCUAUUCAAAUUGAAAAAAAAAACUCAGAAGUAUGAAAGCCAGUGACCUCAGCUGGGAAGGACAGAAAUUUAAUCAGUAGAGUCUUUUGGAAGGACUAAUGAUUCCUAGUAUAAUUUGAGUGAGGUUUUUCAGAGUUCAGGUUAACUUAGAAAUUCACACUAUGGCACAUAAAGAAAAAUGGAGAAACGGCAGAGCAAGAGGUUUAGAUGGCGAACAUUGUUAGCUCCCAUACAAAAAAAGCGGGAGUAGUAUUCUCAACACAUCUAUAGUGACUAGAAAUAGCCACUCUAACUAUCCUAAGUCCUAAUAAAAUCUUGUCAAGUUCAAGUUGUGACUGAGUAUAUACUAUCAAACUAAAAUUGCAGGCCAAGCCUGUCAAAUAUAUACAAAGUAUCACAACCACAAAUAUGUAGUAUGAAUGUGCCUAUCAAAGUUCAUGUAAAAGGAGCGGUGUAUACUCUUUGGAUGCAGUAGUAUACUAGAUGCUGAGAUAAGUACUGAGAAGGCAUUAAGAUAGAAGGCACAGAUGAUUAUGAGUACCUUACCUCCUUCUGGAACUUAUCUAAUUCAAAUGGAAAGUCGAUUGCCAUAUCUGGAACGAGAUUGUAGAAGUUAGUCACAAUAUCUUCGUCCCCACCAACAAGUGCCCAAACCUAUAAGUGAAAUAGAGAUACAUUGCCGUUAAAGAUUCAUCCAUGAUCUAUCUUUAGACUUUAGGGAAUUGAGAGACCACUUUCUGCAACACUAUCCACCCAUGAAGCUUAUGGAAUGAGAAGCACAGCAUACGAAGUGAGAUACAAAACGAAGCAUAAAGUGUGCCUACCUUGCCAUCAUGUGUUGGCUUGUCAUCACCUGAUAUACCUGAUUCUUUUCGUGUAUCUUGAACUUCAGAAGAUAACAUUUGAUCCAAGUCUGUUUGAGUUUCAGGAUCAUCCCUUAUAACAUCUGCUUCAUGAUUCUCGGCGUCUAGCUUUGUUAUAGUCUCAGAAGCACCUUGCCACACAUCAACUUUUUGUUCGCCAACUUCUGCCAUCGGAAAAUGAAAAUCUUAACAAGAAACAAUAAAGAGUUAACAAAAGCACAGAAAUGCAAUAAUGUCAUAGUAGCAAUAAUGGUGAUGACAGCCCAUAGUCUCUUAGCUAUUACAAUUUGCCAAGAGAAUAUGCUCAUGCGACUUGAACAUAUACCUUUGGUUCCCUCAUCUUCAGCCGAUUGUUGAACACCACCCUCCUGCAAUGCCUUGUUGGCAGCAUCUUCCUCCCACGCUAUCUUGAAAAGAUCAUCAAACUGCACUGAGUACUUCUCCUGCAGGAAAAUGGGAUAAUCAGACUAUAAUAACUCUAGAAUGGCAAAGUAUGCAGAAAUGUGGAAUGUUGCUCUAACUACCAUUGCGUCAUUCGAUGACGAUACAGGUUGCUCCUCUACAAGUUCUCCAUUCCGGAAACACUUCCAUUGGCUUUUAUACUCCUACAAGAGAGGUAUAGACAACCGCAGUCAGUUUGGCGCAUCCACAACAAUCCUUACGGUUACAUGGCAAAAGAGAGAGAAAUAUAGUAAAGGACAAACCUUCAAUUGGCCCAAUUCCAAUCCCUUGCGGAACCCCGGAGGAGCAACCUGUGCCGGGCCACCAGUCAUAAGCUCACGCAUCCAAUCACCGUUACGCGCACCCUCCGGGAAUGCCUUCUCCAAUGCAGCCGCCUCAACAUCGUCAUCCUGUAGACCACCCGGACGAAAGGGUCUGUUGUUGAUGCUCCCCCUGACGAAGUCCUUCGCCGGACCAGGCAUCCGUGGCGCCAAACCCACGGUCCCCGAACCGAACACCUCGCCCAUCUCCAUCUGCACGGACUCAGGAUCCCACACUUGCGACUCCAACGCAGGCUGCGACGUUCCCCGGCCGCGCCGGAAAGGCGGCUCCCAGGCGGGCGCGAGCACUGUGCGCGGUGCGGAGGGCUCCAGCGGCGGCCUGGUCAGUGCAAACCAGUCCACGUCCCACACCCUCCCGGCAUCGGCCGCGGUGGGGAGGUGGAGCUCGGGGUUGAGGUAGUUCGCCUCGAGGUACUCCUUCAAGCUGCUCGGGCUCCCAGGCGGGUAGGCCGGCGGCUGUGGGUCGUCACCACAACAAUGGCGGGUUUAGGGUUUACAGAUUGCAGAGAACAACACGGGUGAUUUAGGGCGGAAUUGGUGGGUCGCGUACGUACCAGGACGAAUUCGGGAAUGGGGCUGGAAGGGUGCGGGGUAGGGUCGAGGCGGAGGUGGCCACCGUGGCCGGAGAAGCUGAUGCGGAACGGUAACUCGCUCGCCGGCGAGGGGGCAGGGCCGUCCAUGGAGGCGCCUCGCGGCGAGGCGGCCGUUUCCGUUUCGACGAACUGCUUCAGAGUUCAGAAGCUUGGAACUUGAGAGCCUGCUUGCAAGUUCACAGCGUUUCGGUCAUGUCCUGGAGAAAUCAUUACCAAAAGAUUUUGACAGCAUGUCAACAGGGUAAGGCUUGUUCCAGGUCAAAAAAAAAAGAUCACAGAUUUUUGCCCCUUCGUUAAGACCCGUUUCAAACCAAAAAUCCCCUUUGAAAUGCUAAGAUUAUUAUGCAUAAACCAAAUAAUUUCCGGUGGAAACCAAUAAAAUCCCCCCCCCAACCCAGUACGGAUCAAGGUUUUUUUUUACUUAUGCUCUUCAUAAUGGUCAAGGCAAGUAUGGAAUUCAGUAACUUUAAUAUCUCCUCUUUCUUUUUAUAUAAAAUCAUAAAGUUCAUAACAAAUCCUUGUACGUAAAUGUAUCUGCACGGAGAAUUAGUACUUUUAGUAUUUGACCUCUCAAAAACUGUACGUAUGUUUCACAUAAGAACCAUAAGUAUGAUUUCAUUUUCACGAGGAUCAAAGAAAGAACAUGUUAUUAACCUCAUCUUGCACCUAAUGGCAUCGUGAAAUUUGCCUAGUGAUAGUUUUUUUCUAUAAAUUAAAUAAAUCAACAUUUUAUUUCAUUUUCAAUUAGAGUAGAAAUCUUAUCUGGAGCAUGAAUUAUUUGCUCCAUCACAUAAGAGUUUGAGCCAUGUGAUAAGUUUUCAAGCUUACAUGGUCCAGGCUAUUGCGGUUUUGUACGGUAACAUGGCUUCCGAGUUUUAAUUCUAGAAUAUUUUGAACUCGACAUCUUGCAUGAUCGCUAAAGAGUAAUGUUCAAACCUCCUUGCAUACCAUGGCUUUUAAGAAAAAAUUGUGAUGAGUUGUUUGGUAGAUUACUCAAUUUAUCUUCAUCUGUAAAGUAUGAUAGCAUCAAUGACACCAUUGUUAUGAAACCCUUCCUAGAGCUCAAUCGUGUUUGUAACUUGUUGUAGUUUAAUUUGAAAAAAAUCCAAUUUACUACCUCCAAAUAUAUGGUAGAUCCAAAUAACCACCUAAACAAUAAAAUGGUUUAUUUAACCCCUAGUUUGCUAAACCAGAUCAAGACACACAUUUAGUACAUAUUUGAAACCAUUGUUGAUUAGGCGGAAUUAGAAAUCUAGUUUGCUAACUAGGAUCGACAUGUCAGCAGCCCAACGUGGCACGUAUAUUUAUGUUCAGAUCACCCCCUGCCUGACAAUACAUAGUAUUACUCAUGUUCUUCCUCAUUUCUAUCCGGUUCGACAGUGCCCAGCUCCACCGCCGGCGGCCGCGAGGCGCCGGCACAGCGGCACCCUCCCGGCACUGUCCUGUUGCCGCUUGGUGCAGAACGCCUGGCUUCACAGCAGCCUUUGCCCCUGGGCGGCAUCUGGCUCUUGCCUCGCCACCGCUUGCUGCUCGGCGCACGGCUGGAAGAGCACGAACUAGGAGCCGUUGUUUUUGGGGUGGUGUCACUGCCGGCUCUAAGGAUCAAGCGACGCACAUCCUCCACCUCAUGCUGGGUAGGUAUUCGAUGAAUUGUUUCUUUAGUAAAUAUUUCACUGACGCAACAAUUUUUAUAGCCUGAGGUUGCCUUGGCUUGUAAUUUUGUAGUAAAUUGAAUGUACAAAUUUCAGUUUGUUGUCUUCUGCUACUUUAUGGUCCAUUUGGAAACUGAUUGGACCCAAUCUCUCUCUAGAACUUGACAGCAUCGAGCAACUUUUGGACCCCAUGGUCAACUCUACCAGGCUCUUUGCUUAGUAUCUCUGUAUCUGAAGGAAGAACCGUACAAUGCCGCACUGAAGUGUUCCAAGUGACAAUGUACCACUGAAUUAAACCAUCAUAUCCAGGUAACUAAUCAAAAUUAAAGUACAGUGAUUUACUAGACUACCAGCUAGCAAUUAUUACAUCGAAAUAUAAGGAAUCCUGCCAUAUGCUACCAACAUAGCAUGUUACUGCCUGGAAGUUUUUUUCUUUUGCUUUGCAGCAGCUAGUUUCUUCUUCUUGCUCGCAGUACUGUUGAAGCUGCUCUGGGAAGGCAUAUUAGAUGCCUCAUCUUGAGUGUUGCCUGGAGCUGCUGCAUUGUUUCUGGACUUUUUUUGGCCCACUGCACUCCAAACCUGGAACAAUAAUUUCAGUUAACAACACUUAAAUAAUAAUUAAUUGUAUAGCAAAAGAAUGAGAAAUGUUACUUGCCUCUUUGCCUUUCUCCAUGAUGUUUCUCUUCUUUGAUUUAGACUUUGCUCCACAUCUUCGAAUGUUGUGACCUGGUUGAUGACACUUGCUACAGUUACCUCUCGAGCCCACCCUAGAGACCUUUGUGGCCUUUUUUGCUUCACUAGGUUCCCUUCUUCUCUCCUUUCUCGGCCUACCUGGCAUCUUCACAUAGGCUGGAGGCUUAGGCUUGCCGUGACCUCUUGGCCACUGUUGCAUUCCCUCCAUUGGCAUCAUGCAGUGAUCAUAUGUCUUGUUGUAGUGCUCAACUGAAUAGCAGUCAGCUAUGUAAUCUUCAGGUGGUUUAGAACUGAGAUAAAGUGCAGUGAUAGCAUGAGCACAAGGGAUACCUGCCAGCUGCCAGUAUUUGCAAGAACAAGUUCUUCUCUCUACAUCAAUUUUGAACCUCUUGUCCCACACUUUCACCUCAAAGCCAUCCUUCCCAUUCCAAAUUGCAAAGCAUUUCUGUGCAAGAUUAAUAUACUUGUUCACAUGUCCACAUGACUAAUUCACCACCUACAGCCUUGUAUAUCUCGGCAUAAACUUCAGCUACUUCACCCACUAUGAUACAAUCAGACAUGUACCUGCAACUCUGAUCAUCAGCUAAGCUCCUCACACCGUUACUCAUAUCAGCUCCGGGGGGCAGCCAAUGAAAAUCAACAUCCUCAACUGUCAAAUUGACAGGGUCACUAAGAAAACCCCUCAACUCUGGCAGUGAUAGCUUAUCCCUCUCUAUGUGUGACAAUGCAAUUCUACCACGCACAUAGUUCAAUGAGUAACCAUCAAAAUCAAAUUCGCCUCCAAAGUGAAAUCUUACAGGCACUACCUCCAGAGGGUCCAUAUCCCCUGUCCAGAAUUGUAAAAAGCAAGGUGUAUAACCAUCACAUUUUUUCUAGAAAAAAAAAAGAAAGUGAAAUCAGACCUGAGUGCUCCGUGCUGCUAGCUUGAGUACUAAUUAUAUUGAUCCACAAGAUAUCUAAUGACCACGUUCUUGGUCCCUACCUAAGCAUGAUGGCCAUGGUCAUGUUCAUGCAAUUAUCCCAACAACCAUUAAUAUCCCUCCUCACGUCAUGACACAUCAAUGUGCACAAACAAAAGAUCCUGCUCCAGUUUCUCUCUUAACUUCACGGUGCCAUCCACAGUUUCUACCUGUGCUACGAAGACACGUCGCCGGCUGCUACCUUGCAAAUACACAACCCUAGGUAUCCAAAGUCCUAGCCGCAAGUGCAAAUUAAUAUGUCAUAUUUGCAUCACACGAGGGAGAUUGGAAAAUGGAAACAUACCUGCCCGUUUUCGUUUGUGCUGAUGAACUUGUUCACUCCUAUAUCAUUCACCUAGUUGAUCUGGCUGUGUCACGCAGAAACCGAAGGCGAGGGCCGGCGGCCGGCGGGCGAAAUAAAAUUGACGAGCGAGAGAAGGGGAAGACACGGGACGGCCUAUUUUGGAUCUAAAGAUACUUGCCAUGUAUGGCUGCCAAGGUGUCAGUCUUAGUCAUAAAAAACCGGCCAUGUCAGCAAAUCUGGUUUUAGAUAUGUGUAAAAGGUGUGUUUUGAUCUGGUUUAGCAAACUAGGGGGUUAAAUAAACUAUUUUAUUGUUUAGGGGUUAUUUGGACCUACCAUAUACUUGGAGGCGGUAAAUUAGACUUUUUCCUUUUAAUUUCGAAGGUGCCUUUUUAUCCCUAUUUUGUGUUGUAAUAUAUUUCUAAAUUUUAGUAGAUCUAAGACCGUGAAAGCAUUUCUGAAGACAAAUGCACAUGAGUAACUUGUAUUUUCCAAACAGAAAUGUAUUUUGAAGUCAUUGACGUACAAGCUUUAAAAAAUCUAACCAAAUGGAUUAUUUUAUAAAAGGAAAAAAAUGUUUCCUAUAUUGCAAGGAACUAGUUUCCAUUUCUUUCCUAAAAGUUUACAUGGCACAUGUUUAUAGAUUGCAAAUUUUAGUUCCCUUCUUAAGGCCUAACACAGCAAGAUAUAUUGAAAAUAAAGAUGCAUAGCCUGGACAUAGGCACGUAGCAAUAAAAACUUAACCGAUAGCACUACAAAUAUCUUCUGCAUGUCCGAAUUACCAACGAAGGCAUGCCCAACUCCGAUCAGAAGUUUGAAAACAAGGCAACGAGUUUUCAAAAUUCAAAAGAGUUUAAUUCACAAGACGAAAGACAAGGCCUAUGGUUAAUUUAGAGAUCCUAUAUUACCGGGUGCUCUCCUCUCCUCAAUCCCAUCGCUCUCCUUGUUCGCUCCGGGCUCCCACUCCGACUCGAUCCCUUCACAAAAACACCUCCAUAUGCAUGCACCUCCUCACCGAUGCUGCCGCAAGUCGUUCCGAAUUCGUCUUUCUUUCCCGGAGCUCAUCACAUCUCGAGCGCGCGUUGAAUUCCUGAUGCGAGGAUAGGAAUCGAUCGACCUGCAGCUUCCACACACGCGCCGGUGCAGCGGUCUCUAGUCGGCGUCGGCGUCGGCGUCAGCUGGGAACGCCGCCGGCCAUGGCGAUGUCGGCUUUGUCAACGUCCGCCCUGAGCUCUCUGGAAGCGAUGCUCCAGUCGCUGAUGCGAGGAUCAGGAGGAGGAGGCGGCGACGACGACACGCCCGUAGACGACACCCUCGCCUCCCCGCCGCCGCCGCCUCUACCCGCACGGCCGACCCCACGAGGCCGUCGUCCCUCGCGUCGCAGAGUCCGGCCCGCCGCGGCGGCGCGUACAUUGAUGUCACCGCCGCCGUCGUCGUCGCGGUCACCGUCGCCGUCACCGCCCAAGGUUCCACCCCCCAUUAACGUCAUCAGCAUUGUCCAUUGAUUUGUCUCAAAUGAUCCGUGAUCGCGAGAAUUAACCAGCCGCCACGCAUCUGAUGGCUUGCGUUGGCUCAUUAUGGCAGGAACGGGAAGACGCUAGGACGGAUGAUGUCUCGCUGCUGGUGGAGGGGCUGGAGAGGAAGGCGGUGGAGUUGGAGGCGCAGCUGCGGCGCCGCAGCGAGGAGGAGAACGCCGCGCUGAAGCGGCGGAUGGAGAGCUACCACAUCCGGUGGCUGCAGUACGAGAUCAGGAUCAAGUCCCUGGAGGAAGCCUUCCACGAACAAAUGGCCGCUCUGCAGGUUCGUCGGAGUCCUGAAUGAGCACUGCAAAAGUUUUGCACGCACCGUCGACAUCCCAGUCUGAAACUCUGAACGCGAUGAUCCAUCGUCUUCUUCCUCGCGUGUCUGUGUUGAUGCAUGCAGCUGGCUCAGGACGCGGCACGGAGGGCCGAGGAAACGGCGGCGUACGACCACCGCGAAUCCUCGGAACACCACGUCGACGCGCCCGAGGACCCGCCGGUGAGGCUGUGGCACGGCCGGGACCGCAUGGUGGUGGGCGCCAGGCGGAGCGCGGUGAGCCGCCUCGGCGCGGAGUUCCGGCGCCAGAGCCACACGCUGGAGCGCGGCGCGGAGGCGCUCGUCGCCGAGGAGCCGGCGGCGGCCGCCCCGAGCGGCGGCUGCCCCUCCUCCUCCGCCGCCGACGACCUGAAGAAGCUCAAGGCGCAGUUCCGCGCAUGGACCAAGGACUACAAGGCCCGGCUGCGCAGGACCAAGGCCGAGCUCGGCAGCAGGGACGCGCGGCGUCAGGGCAGCUGCUGGAUCUGAACCUGUCACGUAUGGAGUUCGUCUAUGAAUGAUGGUGUGAAAUUUUAAUUCAGAGAUUCGACGAAUUUCAUGAAAUCGAUUCAAAUCUUGGAGUAGAAAUCUUUGGCAACGUUGAAUGAGAUGUAGCCGUACAAAGAAUUCAAAUCAUGCGCAUGCUGUAGCCGUUCAGUUGUUCAACCACUGGAGUAGCAGCUGUGAGUAGCGCAGGAAGACGAGAUAAAAAAAUAAGUUUGGCUUGAUUUCAGGUGAGGAUUUUACCGGUCUACGAUUAGGGAUUACGUUACCGUCACCUUGCUUGAAAGGUGCUGCACGAUUUGACGGCAGGGCAGGGGAUUAUGCGGAUGGCUCCUCGGCUCCUGCCCUGGGCCUGCUACAGCGUGACCGCGAAACAGUAAUCAACGAACGAUGUGGCCAUUUUCUCUGAGAAGGGUUAGCGCCAGCUACUGGGUGUCACCUCACCAGGAAAAUGUCCACGACAGCGAGAGGAGAGGGAGACCGGGAGGAAGGUUCUCUGUUCUCUCGACAUUCAGCAACGUGUUUUUAUAGAAGUUUUUGGGAGUUUAGCACGCCUGACAUCCCAAACGAGAUCAAAAACUGCAACGAACGACCCUUCACUUAUCAACGGCGGAGCAGCCACCGGCAUGGCAAUAUGAUGGAAACGACUGAACUGAAAAAAUCGCUAGCAUUUUUGCAUAUGAAUGUAAAACAACAAUGAGAUGGCUUUCCCACGGGUUUGGCAGGGGAGAGAGAACCAGGGAGGGUCAUGUGAAAGUGGGUUGGAGCACGAACCGACGGCUAUAUUCUUUUUGCAAACCUUUAUAUCUUUAUCAGCAAAGAACAGUUGAAUUGCAACCAUUAGAUCAAUCAUCGAAUUCUAGGGUUUUCAUUAUCUCCGAACCAGCUACAAUGACCCAUUUCUCCUCCUCCUUUUUGUCUUGAAGUUGAAAUUGGCAUAGGUAUCACAUCAUUGACUACAACACAUCAUUCUUGGCUUUCUAUGCCGUCAUCUUCUUGUACUAUCUCUUUAUAUUACAAUAUGCUCACGACCCUUCCAUCUGAAAUUACUGGUUAUUAUUUAUUCAUAUCCAACAUUUUGUCCACUAGAUUUGUGAUGGAGAGAUAGAUGCAAAAGCAUUGAUUGUUAUAUGACAUCUUGUGGUGGUGGAUCAAAGAAUGAAUUCUGAUGCCAAUCAAAUGGAAAGUCAUUCAAUUGUCCCCCAAUAUAAAUGUCUGACUAGUUAGCAGAACGGAAUGAGAUCACUGGUUUCAAUAGGAUCAUAUUGUAUGAAAACCUACGUUUUUCAUCUUAAUUUUGUUUUGCUUUGCUUUGCUUUUAGUUAGUGUUUGUUGAUUCUCUUUCGAGUCCUGUCUAAUAAGCUAGGGCUCCUUCAACCCGAACUUGCAUCGAUUUUGACUAUUUAAGGCAACUCAUCAUAUCAUAAAAUACUUGACGCAUUUGAUAAAAAAAUCUUGCCAAACUUUUAAAGCCACGACCAUCAAUAAUUGUCAUAAUCUUAUAUUUAUUCGAUAUUGUGACUAUACUUGUAUAAGAAAAGAAAAUACUAGCCAAAGCUAAGCAUCAAAUCAAAAAAGCUAUAGACAUCAAGUAUUAGUGACCGGUUCAACCUUAUAUUGGCACAUAUACUGCUCUGUUAACCUUUUUCCAUUAUUAAAAGGUGACAAUUCUCGUGUUCGCUAAAACGCGGUAAUAUUUGUUACUUGUUCUUAUUUCUAUGUACUUUCCUAAAACAACUGACUAAACCGUACCAACAAUUUUUUUAGAAAUAUGACCAAUCAAUUUAUUCUAAUCCACUCGAAACAAGAAGAUGAUAACAAGUGACCGAACAUGCAACCACACACGUGACUCUUGUAUUCUUUCUCGUUCCUCUCAAGUGCCAUGGAUACUCGCUACGCCUCUAUCUCCCUUACCACUAUCACUCACCGUGAUACCCCGCACCAGCACGUUCAAUAUAACCUAAUCGCUAGAUCGAUAUGGCUUCUAUGCGAAGAAGAGUGUAAUCUUAAACCUGACUUCUUUUUUGGCAGAAAAAAUAGGAAGAUCCUCUCCAAAACGAAGCAGUGGAAUUAAAAAAAGGAAAGAAAACAAUGCCUGCUUCCACAGAAUUAGCAGGCAUUUUAUCCGAGGGCUCAAGAUUAGCACAGCAUUGAAAACGGCGCGAAAGGUAAGCAAAAAGGGAGAGAGAAGAAGGUCGCAGCCGGCGACCCGGCGAAAAGCCCAAACGGUAAAGCAACGUCGCACCGCACCGCAUCGCAACGCAAAGGAGGGGAGCGAGCGGAGGAGCGUGAGCCGGGUGACCCGCGCCGCGCCCCCCACCCCAACAAGUAGCCAGCCAGCCAGCCAGAGCACACCACCAGCCGAGGCCAGAGAGAGAGAGAGGGAGGAAAGAGGGAAGCGGGCACAAGAGGCCACCGCAGCGGCGAGCAAGACGCCUCCACACGUCUCUCCUCCUUCCCCUUCUUCCCCUCCCGUUCCUGUAGCGGCGCCCAGCCCAGCCCCAAACCCCGUGGAAUCCUCGCCCGAUGCGGCGCGGGUAGGGGCCGGGGGCGGAGCGGAAUGGCGGGGGGCGGCGAGAAGCGGCGCCGGGUGGGAGGUGGGGGCCACGAGGAGGAGGAGGAGGAGGUGAAGGAGAUGGACCGCAUCUCGGAGCUGCCGGACGCGCUGCGGCUGCAGAUUCUGAGCCUGCUGCCGCUCAAAUCGGCCAUCCGCACCGGCGCGCUCUCCUCGCGGUGGCGGGGCCUCUGGGAGCAGCGCUGGCCGGAGCCGUCCUCGCUGCGCGUCCGCCUCCCGCCCGGCGCGGCGGGGGCGGCGGCGCGGGUGGAGCAGUUCGGGGCCAUCGACCGCCGCGGGAGGCGCCGGAUGGACUGCUUCUCGCUCGCCUUCCACGGGGGGCAGCUCACGCAGCCGGACCUCAGGCGCUGCCUCGACUACGCGGCCGCGUGCGAGGUCGAGGACCUGCACCUCCGCCUCGACGGCGCCGCGGGGAGGGGGUCGCGCGGGGGAGGGGGCGGGGCCACCCGCGGCCGGGGCAUGCUCACCGUGCACUUCCCCGUGGGUAGCCGCCUGCUCGCGCGCCUGUCCGUGCGGGGGCUCAACCUCACGGCGGCGGCCAACGCGAUGGUCGCCACGCUCGAGGUGAUCCACCUCCACUCCGUCUUCCUCACCGACGCCGCGCUGCGCCGGGUCGUCGCCGCGUGCCCCCGCCUCCGGGAGCUCGAUCUCCGCUACUGCCGCCGCCUCCGACGUAUCGACUUCAGCGCCGUGGGGGUGCCCAACCUCAGGAGCUUCACCAUCGUCGACUGCUCCCGCACCACCGAGAUGCGAGUCCCAGUGGCGCCACGCCUCCGGUCGUUCCGCUUCAGCGGCGCCUUCCUCUCGAGCAACAUCCUUUCCGGUGCUUCAGGGUCUCUUGAGCAUCUCUACCUCUGCUCCGGCGGGCCAGAGACCGGCUUGCCGCCCACCAACUUGCCCACCUCAGUUCCUCGCCUAUCGAACCUCAGUGUCCUCACCCUCUGCAGCAUUGCGCUCCAGGUCUGCUCAGGGAUCUAUGCCAUUUCCUUUCAGCCCAUUUCAUUGCUUACACGCUUAUACUUGUUCGUAUUGCCUUGUAGUACAUCUCUGCUUCCACAGCCAAGGACGUAGUGGAGAGCAAGCUGCACAGCUUGAGAGAGCUCCAUUUCCUCAUGUUUGGCAUGGCCAACUCCAACCUUGCUGACAUCUAUAGCUUCCUCAAGACUUGUUCAUGUCCUCAGUUGGAGCGGCUCUUUGUGCAGGUAUCUGCUUAUUUUUUCAUGCAAAAGUUUGCAUUUGGUUGCUAGUUUGUCUAUGGCCAUGUGAUCUGUUUCUCAACAUGUUCCACUGAACAUGCAGCUCCCGACGAACAUUCAUGAUUCAUUCACGGAGAAUUUCUUGGCGGUAGCGGAGGAAGAGCCACCAAAAGGUGGAUUAGAAAACCUUUGUUUAGCCAAGAUGACAAAUUUCAAGGGGCACCGUAAUGAGAUGCAACUAGUAGAAUUUCUUCUUAGAAAGUCUAGUUGUCUGAAGAAACUAAUUCUGACUGCUCCUACGGAGGAUCACCCUCAAGGACUCCGCAAGAUUCAGUCAGAUGUUCUGCCCAAUUUUCCUAAAACAGAAAUAUUACAUCUGGAAAGAGCUUCAGCAAAUACCCAGAUAAUUUUCAGCGAGCCUGAUGGUCCUCAGAUCCAACCAUUGCAUUCGGAGGUCUUUGUCAGGUUUUAGAUUGAAAUGAGCAAAAUAUUGUUGUAGUCCAGUGUCUGCUCAUUAAUUUUUAGAUUUCUAGCUGUUAGAUAACAGACAUGGGGAAAAGAAAUGUGCAAGGCAUACAGAGUUUGAUAUAUGUUUUCUACAAUUCAUGUUACUGAAAUAUUCUGGCAUAGUGGUUGAAAUGCGAGGUAAUCUGAUCUGCCACAUUUUCCUAUUCUACCAUCCCCAGCCUCUCCUUGCCAGCUUGUGUGCAUGCCUGAAGAAUUGAAUGCUUAUCAGGCAUCUCUUUGGUGCUAGCUUAUUCUAAGCUGCUGUUACACAACCAACCAUCUAUUGGAACAGAACCACCUUCAUUUUAUUUGGGUGGAUUAGUUUUGUUGUACAUUAAAAUCGGUAAGUUAACUGUGUAUUCCAGAUAACUUAAAGAGUUAGCUGGAGCUUGUGCAAUUCUCUUGGUUAAUCCUGAAAUAACAUUAUAUUAUUCUGUCUAGGUUUCUUCUAGAUACAGAAGGAAUCUGAUAGAGCAAAGUUCAUAUAACUUGUCACCUGUUUUUAGUGGUUCCUGUAAAAUGAUGCAUCAGGGUAGCUUGGAAAAUUGUCCUUUUGUAGAUAGGAUUAUGUUACCUUAGUAUCUAUGGACUCUAUCUGGAUUCUCCAUUUGUGUGAAGAUAUGGUUUAAGCUUAGAUAUGACUGGCAGCAUGGAACAUAUUUUUUAUCGUUAGAUGGAUAUGAUUGUAUGAACUUCUGUACACUGAAACUUCCUUGCAGAUUGAAUCCAUGAUAUCUACGCACCCUGUAUGGGGGCUGUUAUUUCUGGUCCUUGCAUCCUGGUAUUGUCUUAUUUGUCUUAUAUCCGUGAACUAUAUAGGUCUUCCCUGUUUGACUAUCUAGCAUCUUGUUUAUAGCUGUUCCCAUGAAGUCCUAUAAGAAAGUGAAUGUAUAUUUGGAACCAUAUUUGAUUCUUUUUUCGUGAUUAGGGGUGAACGUGUUUCAGGACAACAGCUUGACAUUGGGUAGCUUGGAAGUAGCGCUGCAAUGUUGUUGAUGUGUUACCUUCAUGCCAAAAUAACAGGCUUGCCUUACAAUGACAACUAUUAUGAAUUUAUACUUUAUGUGGAGAUUACAUCCUGAUGGUACUAGAUGUAUGUGGAAUUAUUGGAUGAUUAUGUUUUUUUCUUUUAUUGCAUCUUUAUAAAUGUAUGAAUGUAAUGUUUAUUGUUCUGAUAUUUUUAGUGUGAUUAUCCAUAAUUAUCUUCCAAUUUGGUCUACUAUGGCUACUAUACUACAACCAAUCAAAUUUAUUAUUGGCCUUGUAUGGAAGCAGAAUUGCGGAUGGGGGAAAUGAGCUUACUCACUACUAUCAAUUACGAUUUUUUGAGGCUACUGGUUGCAAUACUUCGAUUAACAGGAAAUAAGUUAUCAUGCUAAUUUUUUUAUGACAUAAUUGACAGUGUGCUGUUGGCAGUUUAGUUUAGCCUUAAAGAUUUUAUACUUGGGCUGUUGAGCCAAAUUUAUAUUUGCUAUAUUUGGUCAUCUGGGGGGUCUUAAGUGUUCUUGUUUGAUGUUUGGGCCACUGAGUAGUGGUGGAGAUAAAUGAGGUGAAGUGGUGCUGUGUGCUUAGCUAGCUUUGCAGUGACGAGCCACUAAGGAAUGUUGGGUGUAGCAAUUUCAUGCUGAUGGUUGGUAGUAUUUUCUGCGUGUACCUUGGGGUGUUUGGGGGGGGGGGGGGGGUGAAUCUUUGUGGAAAUUCUAUGGUGCUACUUUUAUGAAGUGAAAGCCAUAUCACCUUAGUGCUUUGCACUUGUGCCUUAUCCUUUCAAACCAUGCAGAGCUGUAGAGCCACACAGCAUAGUGAAAUGAUAUGGAUAGUGUUGGUAAAGGCGUCCAUUAUCUUUGAACCUUCUUAUGCACUUGAAUGUUUGAAGCAGUGAUAUUUGUGCGUAGCCUUCAUAUCUCUCCUGAAUUUAGCACUUCUUUUUGAAAGUUUGGGCUGCUUAGGAAUGUCAAACUACAAGGAAUCGCACUUGAUGUGAAGUUACGGAGCUGGACUUUGGACUUGAUGAUUUAUGAAGCUGAGUGUUACAAGAUGUAUGACAAGCAAUACAGAAUUUCUAUGUUUCUGUUGCAAACAACCUGAUGAUCACUUGAGUACUUGACUAUUAAUAUGCAAUAUAUCGCUGCCUUCGACUCAAUGUAUCUGUCUGUACUGCUCCAGAUGUGGCCACUUUUUGACUUGUUUACAUAUAAUACAAGUGCACACUUCAAGUCUACCUUUGGAGCAAACUAUGUGUUCAUUCAACCCCUGAAAUCCACCCCCCCCCCCCCCCCCCAAUCUUUUAAAUACUGUGACCUGGAAGGCUGGAACCCCCACUGAUCAAUUGUGAUUUCUUCGUUAAUGCCAGAUUUUUUCAUUAAUAUUUUUUAGUCUGUAAUCUGCAAUCAUUAUAUAACAAAUUUGUUGUAAAAAGUACUUUACCUAUCUAUAUCCUCUAAUUAUAUUGCCAACUUGCAAAAUACAGGAAUAAGAGGAUGCUUACAAGAUCUUGAAGAGUGUGGCAUUUGGAAAAGAUUGCUUAUGCUGGUGAGGAAAAGGUGUAUCCUACUUUGUGUAAAUUAGUGGUGGGUCUAGGAUUGACCUUGCAGGGGAGGUGCAUGAUUUUAUUAUUGAAGGCUGGUAUAGUUAUAUCCCCCAUACUUUGUUAAGAUAUGUCUUAUUCAAUCUCUAGGAUAUGUUGGGUAUCUUAGGCAUAUAGGUGACUCUUGUUUGCGACACUACCCAUAGUUCUUUCGAGUAACGUAUGCUAGCUUUUCCUGUGGCUUGAUAAAUAGUCUUCUAUUGAAGGGACUUGUACAUUAACUAACGCAACGUCCAAUUCUAUUUUGACCUCAGAGAUAACUUUCUUUUCUUGUCCCAUUUUUUUAGUAUAAUUAUUAUCUCAAUAAUAUAUUCCUUUGUGUUAGUUUUAGGCUUUGAGCCUUUUGUGGUUCUACCAGGGCAUAAAUAUAAUAUAGUUCUAUCUGUUAUUUGGGCCUUAGCUUUAUGCGAUUCUUUGUAAGAUAUGAAUAUCUCGAAAUUUUCAGAAGAUCCCAACCCAAUUUUCAUGAAGCAUCUUUUCAUGAAUAAAGGUCAUUAGGCCCAGUUUGGUAAUUAAAUACACUUAUUAAAUCAAAACUUUGAAUCUUUAACACUGACAUAUCGAUUUAGCCAUUAUGUAUUAGUUUUAUGAAGAGUUGAAAACUUGAGAUGCAUUCAGAUGCUACAUUUCUAAUAUUCGGGCAUCUGAACUAUCUAGUAUUCUAGUGUGCUGUCAGUCUGCAAAUUACGUCUUGUCCUUUGGUCAUUUCUGCAAGUACCUGAACGUGUUUAUGGUCCUGCACUCAUAUUUUAAAUGUUGAUGUUCAGAUGAACGUUUAUAUGGUCCUGCACUCGCAUUUAAAUGUUUGGUAAAUGGAUGUUUCAUUAAUAUUGAAGGGAAAGUUCUAACUUUCUAGGGAGUCAAGCCGAGGGAGAAAGCAAUAUUCUUAUUAUGUAAUAACCAGAAAGAACCAAUCAUACAUCAGCUGAUGAAAUGUCUGCAUACGGCAUGGCUGUUUGGGCUGCUCUUCUUUUCCCUUGCAACAAAUUGGAUAGGGUUGCUGGCAUGGCAAGAUAAAGUGGGGCUUGCCAGGUGGCUUCUACUUCCAAUCUUUCUCAGCACAUCUUGCAUUACUCUUUAUCCUUAAUAAAACCAAGAUCAAUUAAAUCACAAAAUUAUAUGUAUGUAUGCUUUCUUAACGUCUCUUAAACUUUUGGUGUCCUUUUUCGUACCAGCUUUUCCUCUGUCCUUCCACUCCACUGUAUUGCAACAGUAUCUGUGCAGCUACUCAGAUAUGGUCUGCAAGAAACCUGCUAGUUGGGUGGGUGGGUGAGUGGGGUUGUCUGUGAUUUAGAGUUAGGACUGCAUUUAUUUGUAUGCCUCAUGGUCGUGGUCCUUGGCCUAUGUGCUACGGUCCAUACGGGGUACGGGCCCAAUUUAUUAUCACUGCUGAUUUACUUCAUCUGUUUAAGAGUGAACUCAAUUAGUUUACAACUUUUGUGAUACAAAAUUGAAGUUAUUAUAUUUGUAUUCAAAAGUACUUUAAUGUUCAUAUCAGAAAAUGAUAUAUUAAUAGAGUAAUGGUUGGUUAAAGUCAUGUCCUAACUAAACAAAAUAUGUGUUAGACAGGGAGAAGCAAAUAGUCCUACCCCAUCCACAAAGUUGGAGAGAUUAACAUUGCAUGUCUAUGCUGCCUACAGAACCCUUCAAACAAGGUUUGGGUACAAAAGUCUCGCCAAAAAGAAAGGUAGCCUACAGAAUUAUCGGCAGCUGUAAGUUAAAAAAUGGGCGACUACUGUCUACCUAAUACUAACUGAAAGGCUGGAAUUCCAUCGAUGCUAUUUUACUUCUCUUGAUACACUCAUUUCUGGGGCUAUCUACUCACCCUUGAUUUGUUCCCUUCAACCAUACUUUUGUGCUCCUAGGUCCUUGCUCUUUAUAGCUACUAGGUUCUACAAAAAAAAGUGGGCGCUGGGUAGACAUUUCAUGCUCAUCCAUGUGUUGCAAUUUGCAAUGUUUUUUUUUUGAGACAGCAAUUUGCAAUGUUAUGUAGUGGCACUCGUAGGAGAUAUGAAAAAGAACUUUUGAGCAUAUUAUAUGAUCUUUCAAGAAACUUUUGUCAUCCUUCGCUAUCUCGUAUUGAAUUCUAUCGACCAGCAUUUUUUAGAGGAUAUUGAGUUUGAGGACCAGAAACGCUUCCUUGCAGGUGAACCCGGUCGCUUGGCCAUUUUACAUGGGUGGGGCGCUGGGCUGGCCGGCUGGGCUCUGGUGGUAGCUGAGAUUAAAUAGCAUCAAGCAGGUACACCAGGACACUGCAACUUUGUUUGCAUAUUCAGAGGGAUUAUUUGUCUGGCAACUGCAUUCAAGUCUUGAUGUAGUACAAAAUUCUAAUUCUUUUUUUUUGCCUUUGAUUGAGAGAGGUUAUUAAUUCGAUAGCUGCAUUCAACUCUUGCUGUGCAAUGUUCUUAUUUUUUGUAUCUUUGAAUUUGUAGCUUUAGCUCCAAAACUUUAUCUCCAGAGUUUCCUGGAGGCAUAUCAAAUAAUUAAUGAUGCUGUCUGGAGGGUCAAAUUUGGUUCUAAUUAUUACUAUUAUUAUCCCUUAGGAUUAGUACUGGCCGUACAUUCUGAACUAACGAAGGUGCACUGGUACAUCACGUGGGCGGUGGUACUAAUAGACCGGCAGUACUGCACUACUACUGGCAGAUGGUCCAAGUCCAUACCUGCUCAGUCAGCCUCACCAACCGGAUUGCCUGUUUCGAUCACGUGCACCGCGUGUUAGAAUGUCCCCCUUACAAAUACCUCUUGUAAUUAACAAAAAGAACUGCACCUGUUCAGAUGCCCUUCAAAUCGCUUCAAAUUCAACACCAUUUCGGUGUUUCCAGAUCAUCCAACAGCACAGGAAUAUGAAGACUUGAGUAGUGGAUCUCCGGUAUCGUUGGUGGACGAACGUCCACUCCAACAUGGCGAUAGAAAGCCGCACGGAAUGUUGAACAAUUACGAGUUCGAGUUGCGUAGCCUUGCGAUUUAAAAUUGAAAUUUUCUCUACUUGAUAAAUUCAAGUGAGCAUUCGUUUGGAUCCUUGGAAUUAAAUUCUAUUCUAAUAAUUAUAAUUUAGAUAUAGUUAAUUAAGCUAAUAUAGUUAUACGUGGAAUAUAUUUGUAUAUUAUUAUUGGCUAUAUGGGAGAGAUACUUAUGUACUAUACUUCUGCUAUACUUCUGCUAUAAGAAAGCGAGUCGAAGAGUGUGCUAUAGGUUGUACAUUAGAAACAUAAUAUGAGAUCUACGGAAUCAAUUUUCAUACUCCACCCCCAUAAAUAUAAGAUAAACUUGUAUAUAUAUAUAUAUAUAUUGGUAAAUUGUGAAACGUCAUAUUCCAAGACAAAUAGUCUACUCAUAGAUUCUAAUUUCUCAAAAUGAAGAGAUCCAAACAGGAGGCACUAGAGAAUUUAACUUUCUUGUUUAUCUUAAUGACGAAAUAACAUAAAUUUUCUCUACUUGAAAAAAAGAACGGAAUGGUGGUUUAUCUUAAUGGUUCUGAAUUUUCGACUACCGGAAUAAGUUAACGUUUAUGAACUUUAUUAGAUUGCCAGUCAAAUAAAUUUCUGAGGUGGAAUAUAUGUAGCAAUUAAAGAAAGGAGAGAACGAAAAAUAAGAAAAUGGUAUGGCGUGCUCGAAACCGGGUUCGAAGAACAAGCGAGUUGCGCGUUGGGAGAAUCUAUCGUUUCUUCCCAACGCAUUUUCCUCGAUCUCCCGACUGCUGUGCCCGCCUCCGCCCUGGCGCAGGUGGCGCUCCAAGAGCCGGCGGCCCUCCAGACGUCGUUGCUGCCCGAGGUUUGCCCAACCCGGAAGGGCCCAGCGGCGGCGUGGUCAUCCCCUCCAGUCCGUCGAUACCGGCAGACCCUACCUGCGGCAGCGGCGGACAAAUCCACGAGUGGCGGCGCCUGGAGGCUGAACUAGCUGCGCGCGCUGUGCCGGACUGCCUGUGCGGUCGGCGCUGGCGGCUUGGGGUGCUGCAGUGCUGCUGCCUGAUAGCGUGCGUCCUAGCGGUGCGGCCUUGCGGCGCCGCGUCGGAGCGGGAGUGCGGCACGCCGGUGUGUCGCCGUGCGCAGGCGGAUUCCCGCCGCACACGCACUUAGAAGCAGCCAAGCAGGUCAGUCCUUGAUUGUUGAUUCAAUAUUCAGCAACGAACUCUACCAGUGGGACAUCAGCAGCGAGCCGAUUCAGCAAUCAGUUUCUUCCCUUUUCGUCUCCCCUCUACCGUAGUCAAAUAAUUGGAUUUCAUCCCCUUCCUAGUGUUCAAGUAAAUAAACGGAAUGAAGUAGAGUUAGCGAGUUAAUAGAAACAAUUAGUGCUACUGAUAACUGAUCUAAGGUUCCUCCUCUUCUUAGCUAGACAGGUAAUUUGCGAUCGCUGAUCCUUGUACAUGCAUGUUCGUAACUAUUUUUUCCCCUCUGCCAUAGACACUUAGCACUGGAGAAGGUUAUGUCUAAGAUAUUUAUUCUCUUCUCUCUCCUGUAGACACAACCCAUGGACACUUAGCAUUGAACCUUAUGACGCAGAAUAGUAGUAGUUUAGUUAUCAAGAUGAAUGCAUUAAUACUUAAUUGGUCCUUGUACAUGUAACCUGCCACUCAACUUCACUAGAUAGCGGAUGCCAUGCCAAGCUUUAUAUAUUGAUAUUCAAGUGAUUGAAUUUAGCCUUCUUGUUUAUGUGGCUGUUCAUAAUUUGGUUGCAUUGGUUAUUUGUAAAUUUAUUGUCGUAUAGUUUGAUUAUGUAUAUUUAUCUGCAGGACUUAAACAAUUGAAUAAAACAAGCCAUGCUCAAAAGCAUACAACACUGUUAUGAUCUCGGGCCAACAUAUCAACUUCUUCCUCCCCAAUUUGCUCCACGAAGGCUCUAGACACAUUUAUUUUUACCUAGGAGCAACAUGUACUGCUCCUCAACAGUUUUAUUAUUUUGGUUAGCUCUACCAUGAUCCCAUCCAGCAAGACCCUUACCCUUCUAAUAGCAACAUUCUCAUGUUGUCAAGUUGCCACAGCGUAAUCCAAUAGCUCAACAAGAAACAGAUAGAAGACCCCAACCGAUGCAGAACCAUAAUGAUGCAAAAUUUUAUUGUGUACUGUCCAUGCUCGCUAAAAUACAAGUCUUAUUAGAUCACAUUUCUCAUCAGACACAUUCUGUAACAACAAUAAUAGCCAGUCUGGACUAGAAUAAUAGCCAUAGGUCACCUCUUGCUCUUUUUUUAUAUAUAACUCUUGCUCGUAUCCUUUGUCUCCUCUCUGAUACCAUUGCAAUUCCAGGGUAGAAGGAGGAGGCACCUGCACAAUGACGAGGCAACAAGGGAUACCAGGAAGGGCAACCGGGCAACCUCUUGGGCCCUAGCAGUUUAUCAAUGGUAUUUGGAUAUUAGAGUAGGAAAGAAGUGGCAUUGGAGCAGUCUUCGAGGGCACAUCACCCGUUCUUGAGCAGGGUCUCGAGCGCCCCAGAGUCCAGAACCUUCUAGAAGCAUCAGGAUAGCUAGAGCAUCGCUCCAACCCUGGUGUCAACCAUGUCGGAGAAGCUGGCCCCCGAGAAGCGCCACGCCUUCCUGCACAGUGGUGAGCUGCCUCCCCCCCAUCUCACCUUCCAUGGUCUGCCUCCUCCAGGGCUGCCCCCACCCUUCUGACCUAGGAUUCGAUCCCCACCCCCCUUCCAUGAGCAGGGCAGAAGGUGUUCGAGUGGGACCAGACACUGGAGGAGGUGAACAUGUACAUUGAGCUCCCCAAGGGUGUGCCCACCAAGCUCUUCCGCUGCACCAUCCAGGCGGGCCAUGUGGAGGUUGGCAUCCGUGGCAACCCACCAUACCUCAACGUCAGUGCUUCUCCUCAAUCUCCCUUUGAGAUUUGGUUCCACUCAAUUACCUGCUGAUAUAUGUUUUUCCUUUUCCUCCUUGGACUCUGUGGCGUGUGGUUGGGGAUUGAUGCCCCUUUUUGGUGAUUUUGCAGCACGAUGUGGCGCACCCCGUGAAGACAGACUCCUCGUUCUGGACAAUAGGUGAGUCCCAAUUCCAUCACCUCUGCAAUUCUUGCUCUUCAAAAUUUAUCGUUUUCACUGAGUGUGGAUGUGUGAAAUGUUGUGGCCUCUGGAUCUAGACAUUGAUUUGUGUAUCAUUUCUGACAUCAUUUGAGGACAGUUAUUAAAACUUUUGUUCUGUUUAAUUCAUCUGCAAUGCAAGCUAAUUGCAUUUGGGGAUGACCUUUUGCUACAUUUAGCAAUCAAGAUGUUUCUGUGCUGUGGUGAAUUUUAGAACACCCAGUCGCUUGUGACUUGUUAGUGAUAGUAAUAUAGCAUGAGAUUGUUUUUUAUAUCGAUGCCGUAAGGAUAUUGUAACAAGAACCUGCAGCCACUCACAAAUAGUACUAUGGAGAUGUUUGUAUUGGCAUUUAAGUCAGCAGCACCUUUUCCCACUCAAAUAGUUAUUAACACGGAGGAUGGUGAUAACAAUACAGAGGAUGGUGAGAUGCAUAUCACACUGCAAAAAAGAGAGAAGGGGAAGACAUGGUCAUCUCCAAUACAAGGGCAAGGUCUCUUGGAUCCAUAUGCUGCAGAUCAAGAGCAAAAACGGCUUAUGCUGCAAAGGUUUCAAGAAGAGGUACACCCAACUUUUUGUACUAGCUGUGUUGAUGUGCAUCCCUUUUUUCAUAUAUUUGGUCAUGCUUUGCUGUUGGAUCCUAUUAUUUUCAGUUAAUUUAAGUGUUUUUAACUCACAUAUGAUCACCUGACUACUGACAUAUGAUCUGACAGCUUGAUGGGAUAGACAAAUAGUCGGAACAUAUUUUGUCUUUAGUAGUGUGCCCGUGGAAAGUUGAUACUUCAUCCCUUUCCCUAGACAAUGUACUUGUCAAAAUUACCCUGAAUGAACCAUUUUUAGGAUAAUAUGUCCAGGCUGUUGGCAGUUAUUAGCAUUUAGCAGUUUUGUGACUCUGAUUUUGUCAAACAUUGGAUAAAUGAGGCUUUUUGCAAGAUCCUUUUGAGAACUGAAACAAUGUGUAUUUCAAAAGAAAUUGGUUGAUGUGAUAAUCCAACAUGACGUGUUCUAGCCUUAUCAUAUGCGUUUUCAGCUUGAAUGUGCAUUUACAUUUUCUAAUUCCAUUAUUUACCCAUAUGUAGAACCCAGGGCUCUGACUGAAACGCCCAGCCUGAACGGCAUAAUUCUUGCUAUGUUCCUGCUGCUAUCCUCAGCAUCUUGUUAGAUGCAGCAGCAACUGGUUGGUGUUUACCCUUGAAAUAAUGAAUUAGUGAUGAUGUGUGACCCACCAUUCCAUGACUCUGUUUGUGACUUCAGUUGAUUGUAAAUAUCCCUGAACCGGGCAACCUGUGCUUGUUUACCCCCGAGCUGAUUAUAGCUAUAGGGUCAUCAUUCGGUGCCCGACUGCUCGUUGAUGAAUCAGUAUUUGGGAGAAUUGAUGACGUGGCAGUCUAAAUUGGCUUCCGGGAUGCUCUAGUGUCUUAAAUUUUUAAUUGCCAGCCGUUUGAUACACUCAUUCAUUCUUGCUUCUCUUGAUACACUCAAUUUCUGGGGUUACUCACUCCAGCUCUGUUCCCUUCUACCUUAUUUUUGUGCUCCUAGGUCCUUGCUCUUUAUAGCUCGCUGGCCCCGGCCAUAGGGUUUACAGCUCAUUAUUUUUUGAAUAAAACUACGACAACCCUGAGGUUGCCUGAACUUCAUUGCUUUUGGAGACAAAUAAUUACAAAGAUGACAAGGAACUUUCUUUUUUUGAACAAGACAAGGAACUUUAGAAGUAGCCAGAAGGACAGCGGGAAGAUGUGCAAAGGAAGCUAGAGAAAAACAGCUAGUCCUAUAUUACAUCGGGAAGAAAUUACUCCACUCUACUAAUUUUGCAUUAUCAGAAGGAGAAGAACAUCUGUUAGACCACAACGUUAGGUCGUCCCUACGUCUCCGAGAGAUCACCAAGUUUGUUUCAUCCUCAUGUCUAAAAACUUUUGCAUUCCCGCAUUUCCAAAUCUUCCAGAGUAUGCAUUUCCAAAUGUUUAAAGCUCAUUACCAUUCCCAUGCUGACAGUUAUGAACAUCGCUUUGUCCACGACUGGUCAUUCAGCCCCCGUGAGAUUCUGAGCUGGCCACUCUUACCUGUGUUUCCUGCCAGCCCUCCUUGUGGAGCAUGAACUCAUCAUCAUCCCUUCUCCCGGCUGGAUUGAAGCAAAUGAGCAGAACAUAUCUGCAGGAUGCAAUAGCCACAGUACAGCGCCCCAAUUCCGCGCUUGGAUUGUAGCAGCCACAGAAAGAUUUUACCAAGAAGAGCCGGCGGCUUGGCGACGACGAUGACCAACACUGCGGCGAACAUCAGUUUCUGCAACAGAUGGAGCCGACAGCUUCCGUUCCUGUCCCCCGCAGCAUCAGCCGCCAGCGAGCCCAGCCCCUCUCGCUCGCUUAUGCAACAGAUGGUAUGCAGCAACGAGAGAUGCUCGCCGCAGAUCCGGCCGGCCACCUGCAGCGACAUCGACGACUAGCGCGCUGCGAGGUCGGCUCGGCUGGGCGUGGCGCGUGGCGGCGGCGGAGGAGCGGGCCAAGGAGAAACGGACGCGGCAGGGAGAUACGACGGGCGUUGGGGACGAGCGGAGGUCCGGGGGAGGAGCGCAAGCCCGUUACCGACGUCCAGGCGAGGCCGCCGUCGCCGGAGCCGGGCGGGAAAGGCAGCUACUGGGAGGCAGGACUGCAGGAGGGGCUAUUUUGCAAAUAAGUUGGAUCGUGUUUGCACAUAACCCCUCAGGGGGGUAAAUGAAACUUAAUAAGGGGUUUUAUGUAAUUAAUUGGAUCGGGAUCAAUAAUCGCGAUCCGGUUUAGGGUGUUUUAUGCAAAGUAUCACGUCCCCGUCCCUAUCGACAUGGCCGGCUCCGAGCUCCCCGAACCCGCCGCCUCUGCUUCUCUCCCCGCUGGCAGGAGCAUCGUUUCCCCGUCCCCAAGCUACCCGUUCGCACUCUGAUGAGGAGAAGCAAUGAGACGAGACCGUCGACUUGUCUCGAUCCACCGCCCCGGCCAUGGAAUGGAGACCGUCGUCUUCGUCGACGGAUCGGACUCCCGCUAAGCCGCUCGCCGACCCUGCGGGAUUGCCGCUCCGGCUCCGGCCGAGCGGUUCCUGGUCGUCGCUUCUUCCAAUGUAUCAGUGACACCAUUCUGAAUUUCUGAAUUCUGAUUGAACUCGUCCCGUCCAUGCAUGUCUCCAUCAUCGGCCAUCGCUCAGCUUGUCUCCCGCCGCCUGAACCGCACCACGCCACCACGAGCGCACGCAGUCCACUGCUCUAUAUAUUCGCGCGAUCGCCGCCACGUACUCGCUCGUUCGCCCGCUCGCUCACUGCGCCGCCCGUCCACCCGCCCCUCCUUCGCCCUCUCGAUCGUCGUAGCGCGAUCCAUCGAGCUCAUCGCCGGCCAGCUCCAUUGCCCGCGCCAUGGCGGCCGCAGCUGCGCGUUCCACUCCGCCGCGGCGUGUCCCGGCGCCGCAGGUGGCCCUCGUCAUCCUCCUCCUCUUCGUCGUGCUCGUGUGCGCGCCGUGCGGCGCCGGCGCCAGGCCAGUGCGCGAGGGGGUGCGUAGCCAUACAGAUAAUGCGCGGGCGCGGACGUCGCCGGCGCUCGACGUCGGUCGCUGGGCGAGCGGGAGCGUGGCUACGGGGGCGGGGGCGCACCGGGUGGCCACGGUCGGCGGCGGCGCUCCCACGCCGCCCUCCGGCCCGUCGCAGAACCACAAUUGACCGGUGGUGCUCACCGAGCUCGCCGCCGCCCUGGAGAUCAAGAUUUCCGGCUGUCCGCUCCAGAGCAUCAUCAACAGAUACCUGGUUUAUCCUUCCUUGAAAAUGCCGGUGUUUAACUAGUUUCAACGUGUAAAUCAGCUGCCUUUGUCCACGUCAUUAGACAGUAGAUGCGUGCUAUUUAUUACUCAGUCUGCAGUUAUAUAUAGGCCAGUGGCCAGAGCAGGAUUUGAUUCGACUAAGUUUUGUUCAACCUAUCGUGCCAGUGUUUCUUUCAUUCCUCUUUGCAGUUUAAGCAAAAAAAAACUCAGUUUUUCGUCAUAUUUUGGUAGUUGUUCUUGAUGGAGUAUAGUUGUUCAGUUAAGAACUUAAGAUGUGGCGUGCUACUAUAGACAGCAGCUGACUGCGUCUCAGCUCAGCUCAGUCUCUCUCUCAUGCAUCGUUCAUGCAGUCAGCCGGUCAUGGACUGUGCUAUGGAGAUCAACCCUACGCCAGCAAACCAUGUUGCCGUGUUGGUGCUACGGCCCCAAUGGCCAGGCAGUGUCCGUGACGGAUCUCACCUGCUCCCACUCACCAACACCGUGCAUGCAUUUGCAGUGGAUGCGUCAUCUGAGACCAAUUCCCAAACUGAAAACUUCAGCUGCCGUGGAAUUUCAAAGGCCGAUCAUCCUCAGUACAGAAUCCACUACGGCUACGGUGCGUACAAGUCCUAUACAAGCCGUAGCUUCUUUGUGCAGCAGAGGAUCAUACCCUGGCGGAUGGAUUCGCUUGAAAAAUGACCUGUACAACAGCAGCUCCAAGCUUGAUAUCCAUCUGAAGGGUAGACUUGCAAAUUGAACUUUGCAUUUGCCUCCAGUUUGCAUCAGUUCCUGGGUGCGGUGCGGCGCAUGAUGCAGCAUGCUAAAAUUGGAAACCGCGGUGUCCAAGAUUAGAAGCUUCAAAGCCGUGGUUGACCUUGAAACCAUGGCGACGGGCGUUCCUGGGGGGACACGGACUCGCGCCCGGGAGAGGACACGACGACCGGCACGCGUCCUACGAUUUAGGACGGGACCGCCGCACCACUCGCCGGGCCCUUCACCGGUUUAAGUGCUCGCCGCUCCCGCCCUGACGCAUUCUUCCCCCCGCCACGCAAGGACGAACAGGAGGGGCCCACACCUCCUGACGCCCCCUUCCCGCCGAGAGAGUCGUCGAUCGAUCGACCGGCGGACCGGUUUGGUUCCGCCGCCGCCGGGGCCGGGCACAAUGGCGGGAGCCGUGAUCGUGCACCACACCACGAGGUACAAGACGUACCCCGGCGAGAUCACCGGCAUCGUCGUCUUCGCCUGCCUCAUCGCCUCCGUCGCCGGCUGCAUCUUCGGCUAUGACAUCGGCCUCACCUGUGAGUGAGCACCAUGGCAUAGAUAGGCUAGAAUGCCAAAUCAGGGGAUUGCUCUGCUCUGACGGGGGGUUUCUUUGCUUUCUGCUGUUGUUGUCGCCGCCGCCAUGGUGAUCGUGCAGCCGGGUUGACGUCGACGGAGCCAUUCUUGGUCAAGUUCUUCCCGUCCAUCUACGAGGAGACGAAGAAGCAGGUGGUCGUGAACCAGUACUGCAAGUUCGACAGCCAGCUCCUCACGCUGUUCUGCUCCUCCCUCUUCCUCUCCGCGAUGACCGCUGCCUUCUUCGCCGGCCCCUUGACCCGGGCCUUCGGCCGGAAGUGGACCCUGUUCACCGCCGGGUCCGCGUACGUGUGCGGCGCGGUCCUCGGCGGCGUGUCCGUCAACUUCCCGAUGCUGCUCACCGGCCGGAUCCUCGUCGGCGCUGGCGUCGGGCUCUCCAUCCAAGCGUCCCCCCUCUACAUCUCGGAGAUGGCGCCCGCGCAGCAGCGCGGGAUGCUCAACAUCAUGUUCCAGCUGAUGAUCACGGUGGGGAUCCUGACGGCGAACAUGACCAACUACUUCGCGUCCAAGAUCCCCGGCGGGUGGGGGUGGCGCAUCGCCGUGGCGUUCGGCGCCGUCCCCGCCGGCGUCAUCGCGCUGGGCUCGCUGGCCAUCCCGGACACCCCGACGUCGCUCAUCCAGCGCGGCGACACCGCGACGGCGCGCAAGACGCUGGCCCAGAUCCGGGGCGUGGGCGACGUCCGCGAGGAGUUCGACGACCUGUCGACGGCGAGCGAGGAGGCCAAGGCCGUGGAGAACCCGUGGCGGGAGCUCUUCUUCGGCGGCAAGUACAAGCCCCAGCUGACGUUCUCGCUGCUCAUCCCCUUCUUCCAGCAGCUCACCGGCAUCAACGUCAUCAUGUUCUACGCGCCCGUGCUGUUCAAGACCGUCGGGUUCAAGCAGAACGCCUCCCUCGUGUCCUCCAUCAUCACCGGCCUCGUCAACGUCUUCUCCACCUUCGUCGCCGUCUUGACCGCUGACAAGGUCGGCCGCCGCGCCCUCUUCCUCCAGGGCGGCACGCAGAUGAUCAUCUCCCAGGUCGGCCGGCCGCUGCUCAUCUUCUUCUUCUUCCCUCCCGAGCUUGCCCAUGAAUGUGUCUGAAUGCGUUAUUCUGUAUCUGAUGCCGUCGCCAUGAUCCAAAUUCUUGCACGCAGAUCCUGGUGGGCACCUUCAUCGGGCUGCAGUUCGGCAUGAGCGGGACGGGCGCCAUCUCGGAGCAGUAUGCCAUGUGCAUCGUGCUGUUCGUGUGCGUGUACGUGGCCGGGUUCGCCUGGUCGUGGGGCCCCAUGGGGUGGCUGAUCCCCAGCGAGAUCUACCCGCUGGCGGUGCGGUCAGCGGCGAUGAGCGUCACGGUGGCCGUCAACAUGUUCUUCACGGCCUUCAUCGGGCAGAUCUUCCUGACGCUGCUCUGCCACCUCCGGUUCGGGCUCUUCUACUUCUUCGGCGGCUGGGUGCUGCUCAUGACGCUCUUCAUCGCCAUGCUGCUGCCGGAGACCAAGAACGUGCCCGUCGAGGAGAUGGCGCACAUCUGGAAGAAGCACUGGUUCUGGAGGAAGUUCGUCGUCGACACCUCCCCCGACGCGCGCAGCGCCGAGAUGAGGAAGAGGAUAGCGCUAGAGAUGAGCUAGCUGAUGAUGAGGCCGAGCAAAGCCUCGUCAUCAGCCAAGUACAUUUGAUGGAUCGAUAGAUAGAGUGCAGAACACACAUGAAUGUUGUUGUAGAUUUGAUCAUACAUACUCCUAGCACAUCUUGUACUAACUAAACUGUUUUACCUUCUCUCUUUUUUUCUUCGGUUUCAUGUGCCGAGUUGUCAGCAGCAUUUUUUUUCUUUUUAAUUGAAGAAGAAUACAGAACGAUUUAUCAUCCAGUAAUCUCACGUGGAGUGUGCUACUGUGAUCACAAUGAUCGUUCUUCUUUAAGCAUCACUUUUAGUAGUUCCCACUUAUCAUCCAGUACAAUUGAAGUCCUUUUCUGUUCACUUUCCCUUUUCUCUACCUUUUUCUAAGUAUUUAAAUUCCUUUCUUUUUCUGUUCACUUUCCCUUUUCAAGAUUCUUUUAGGCAAAACUAGCUAAGCCAGCCUACAAGGAAUUAGGUGGAUCCAAGAUCCAUGCUACGAAGAAGCAAAGCACCCAAACUCUCUUGUCAGUUUCAAGAUCUUGACUUUCAACCAGCAAUCCGCAUACAAAACGCACAAAGGGAAAUGAGUACAAAUGAGGUCGUAGCAUCAGGUUUCGGCAAAAUUUGUAGCAGAAGCGCUAACCUUGCCGAUCCUGACUUUCAACUAGCAAUUGACUUUCAAGAUCCUGACUUUCAACUAGCAAUUCACGAACAAAACCCGAAGGGGAAAUUAGUGAUCUGGAUGAGUACUCACAAAACGCGCAGGUAACUUAAAUUUCACACACACAAGUACGUGUUCUUAGAUUACAGGGAUACUCUGCUGCUCCAAACACCACUCUGGGACUUGCUAUUUACAGAAAGCUCUUAGCUAUGGCUUCCAGCAGCUCAGACCCAAACUGACCGACGCGACGACGACGAGCAGUCGAGCAAACAGCAGAGUGGUGCAAGACAACAGCAGCAAGCAACAACCAGUGGUGGUGGUAGUACUAUGGUACAGCACAGUACAGAUCCGGCCGCCGGAAGCACGCCGGAACGCCGCGGGAGCUCGCCGACCGAGCAGAGAGAGCGUAGCAUCACUUGGGCCCCCAGAGCAGCAGGUGCAUCACCUUGGCCGUCUUGCCGUGGUCCUCGCGCCCGCCGCGCCGCCCCGGCUGCGGCUGCUGCUGCCGCCCCGCCGCCACGCCGGCGUCGCGCGCCGUCAGCGCGCGCCGGAGGGCCGCGAGCUCCGGCCACCUGCUCUCCCGGCCGCCGCCGCCGCUCAUGGCUCCUGCCGCAGCUGCUGCGCCACCGUAGCACCUCUCGGCUCUCGGCUUCUGCUACAAACAAAUCAUGCCGUUAGCAGCUAACUCUACUCACCAGCACCCACCAGGCCGGCCACUUAUAUAUAGCGGCGAGGAGCCGGCGGCGAGCCUGCCAGCGAAGACGUGACGUGUCCAGACUCCAGCGGAGGGCCCGGCGCGGCAGCUGGGGAUAAGCGGUAACAAAUAUCGCGCCGCGUUCUUAUCAAAAGAAAAAAAAUAUCGCG
rnacentral:lncRNA from 1 species